AGUACAAGUCUCCUCCACCACCUCCUCCAGUGUACAAGUCCCCACCACCUCCAGUUUACAAGUACAACUCACCUCCACCUCCUCCCCCAGUUUACCUGUCUCCACCUCCACCCUAUCAUCACUACUACGGUUCUCCUUCUCCUCACCACUACUAAGCAAGUGCAUAAGUUUUGAGGUAAUAAUACCUAUCCAAAACUUUAUCAACACAAACUGCCAUGUAUAUCAUGCUAAGGACGUACACUUGAUCCAUGAAAAUGACUAGUAGAAGAUUUUUUUUAAGAACCAAAGAAAUACAUUAUUUUUUCGGUCUGUUUUCAAGAAUUUGAGCAGUAUACAGAUUAAAGAGUGUUUUUUUUUUUGUAAACUUGCUUGUCAACUUAAAAAUGCACAUAGCUGAAAGCCAACUGAAUAUUUGCAGGCAAAGGAGAAGGCAAUCGGUGUUUGAGACCUUCAAGAAGAUGUAGAAGAAUAAGAAUAAAAGCCCAAUGCGAGGAUGAUUCCAAGUUUCUACGUUACCAUUUCUACAUCUAAAUUGACUUUAGCUCCUGAGUUCCAUGUUUAUGGGGUUUGUACCGUUUUACGUACCAUGCAGUACAUGCUUGCAAGGUUUUCUGUCCUGUUGGCAAACUGCAGGUCCAUAUAAUAAAUGAAUACUAUUUACAUUACGACACUUUUCUCUUUUUCUCUUAUAUUUUGUCUUUAAUAUUGUUGAUCAUUUUUUUUUUAUCAAAAGCAUCAAAUGCUUAGGUAAUUUGGUCUAAUGCUAAUUGUUUUACUUUUAUUUUUCACCUACACCCCUUUUCAACUCAAAGGAUGCUAUAGUUUGUGAUAAUUGUUUAAGACCGAAGCAUGAUACUAAUAAAUAUCUCAUUGAAAGUCAAGGAAACUAACAUUAGGAAAAGUUUAAAUCUUGAUUUGAUGAAACUAUUUAUUCGUGGAAUUUAGAGAUACAAAACUCAAAUUGUGACGGUGUUGUUGCUAAAUUAUUAAGGACAUUAUCACCAUUAUUUUUCCCUGAUCACUAGUUUCAACUGCAAUGAUCUCAAUCUUUUUGUGACUAAUUCUUUCCUUAAUAAUUUAUAAAGACAAAACUCACAAAGAAUAUGUGACUAAUUCUUUCCUUUCGUCUUCUAAAGAAAAUGCCAACUGUUAGUUUAUCAAGGGGAAAAAGGAUCGACAUCAGUUAUUAUUGAAACUAGUAAGGAAUAAAUAAUGGUGAUAAUGUCCUUAAUAAUUUAACAACAGCACCAUCAGAAUUUGACUUUGAGCUUCGGUCUUAAACAAUGAUCACAAACUACAGCAUCCUUUGAGUUGAAAAAGGAAGUAGGUGAAAAGAAAAGUAAAAAAUACAAUUAGCAUUCCCUCAAAUUGUAGAAAGUUAGGUAGCAUUAUAGACAAGUUGAUAGCGGCAAUUUUACAUUUCAAACUUCACCUAUUCAAUAACUAAUUCGAUGGCUUGCUACAUGGUCAAUCUUUGGACCCCUUCCUGCCUCCAGAUAUCCCUUUCCUCAAUCAGGGGCUUCUACAAUUACCAGUUUCAAUUGUAUGGUAUAGUGUAAAUAUCAACAAAUUAGAUGUAGAUGCUAACAUAAUAAAUGUGAAUGCUAAGACAGCAACAUACAAUCGAACCUGCAAUUGUAUGAACCCCAAUCUCGCUUCCUAGUCCACCAUCUUUCUCUAGGUAAUAAUCUCCCUUCUAAUUUAUUCACAAAAUGCACCUUUCAUCACCUCCAAUAGCGUCGACAUGAUCUUUACCCUAGAAGACUAUUCACCGACUCUCAAUUGACGUCAGAAAAUCUAAGAGUAAUUCUACUUUACCCUAAGAUUGAUAUCAACAAGACAAGGACAAUUUAGAAUUAUUACACGCCUCUUCUUAAUAGGAAAAAGAAAUAGAGAAGAAAGUCAGGCCAGGUCUAAUUUCUUUUCAAAGGCAAUACAACAUUACGAAAUCAAGCAUUCAUUCAUACAAAUAUUUCAUAGUCACCGGUUUGCUGAGUAGAAAAAUUUAGACAAAAACUUAAUAUUAUAUUGUUUAAGAGUUAACAAUUUAGAGCUUAAUCUCCUUGUACUUUGGAGUUAACAAUUUAGAGCUUAAUCUCCUUGUACUUUGGACUAAACUUGAACGUGAAAGGAAAUCCCAAAACCAUAUUGGGCAUGAAUUCACACUUAAUAUACCCAAUAAAAGAUGGCGACUGGUGAAAGGCAGUGGAGACUGGUGGAGAGAUUUGAGGAAUAGAAGCAGACGGAAAAGCAACAAAUUUUUGCCGAAAAACGGUCACUUUCAUGGUUAAUUUUGCUACUCUCCAAUUGUACUUGACCAAUUACAACAAUUUCAUGGAGUUUGAUACGUGAAAAGAAUUUUUUAUAAAUUUUAUUUUGAUCCAUAAUGUUAUCUUUACAUAUAUAAAACAUUUUACAAUUUUGAUUUUGGCGCAGCUAACUUUUGGUUAACAAAAAUGCUCAUGUUUAAAAAACCAGAAAUAAAACAAAACAAGAAACAAAAGAAAUAAGAGGGUAGCAUAGACAUUUUGGAUUUUUCCGUUAAUUUGGAUGAUUUCCACCCACGUUCUAAUUUAAUCCAAAACACAAAGGAAUUACGUAGAGGUUUUAAAUAAUCAGGGAGCUUCAUGAUCGAACCCCAAACCACGUGAUAGCAUACAAGAGUUCUAUUUCACUAUCGGUAGACAAAGACUUUCUAUGGUUGAUGUACCGUAGGAAAAAAUCUGCCUAUACAACGUGAUAGCAUUUUUUCAAAAACACAAGAUGGAAAAUUGCCCCCUUAAACGUGGAAAUUCAUGAUCUUUCCUCGAACAAAGAAUACUCACGCCUAUUCAAGAUGGAAAAUUGCCCCCUUAAACGUCUAUUUGUCAAUUCUUGAAAAAAGAAUACUCACGCCUAAAACACGGCCUCUUCAUCUGCAGAAUUCUAAAAAGUUACGUAAACUCUAUAAACAAGUUGAUAGGUACAAUCGUACCCAAGAUCAAGUACAGAUAGUUGUACAUUCACUGCUGCAAUAACUAAUCUGAUGACUUACAAACAUAUCAUGGUCAAUCGUUGAAUGGUAAUGAGUCUUUUGUUAUGCAUUAGUAUUAGUGUGUACACUCUAAUAGAUUGAUACUUAUACUCUUUAAAUUAUCAUAAUAAUACCCUUAAUUAACUUUAACUCUUAAAAAGAAUACGUGUUAAUACACGAGAGUGUGUAACCUGAAUUGUUACUUAUACAUUAGUGUGUAAUAGAUAGGGAUGGCAGUGAGGGCGAGUGCCCGCGGGGGGCUCUCGGGGCGGGGGCGGGGGAGAAUUUUUUCCCCCCGUUUAGAAACGGGGCAGGGGACGGGGGAGUAUACCCCCGCCCCAUCCCCCGCCCCGCCACCCGCAAAAAAAAUUAUAUAUAUAUAAUUAUAUAUAAUAUGUAAUUUAAUUAGUUAUAAACUUAUGAUAAUGAUAUUAUUAGUUAGAUGUAUUAUAUAAUGUAUAUUAGUGUAUGUAAUAUAAUUAAUAUUAUCAAUUAUACGAAUAAUUAGACAUGUCCACUAAUAGAGUUUAUUAAUUAGUUAUACUAAAUUUACUAAUACAUUUGUACUAAAUUUCUAAUUACACUUAAUAGAAUAACACUUUUUUCUAAAAAAAAAAGCACAAACACAAUAAUGAAUUAGUGAUUGUAUUUGUACCAAAAGUGAAAACUUAACUAUUUUAGUUGUAUUUAUUUCAUCAUGUUGGAUUGUAUUCAAAUAAUUUUUGUUUGAUUGUUUUUAUGAGUUUCAAUUGUAAAAUUAAAAUGAAUAAUAACUUGAUGAUGUGUUGAUAUUUUAGUACUUGAUUAUUUAUUGAUUUAACUAUAAUAAAAUUUUAUUUUAUUAAAAUUUAACUAUAAUAAAAUUUUAUUAACCAAACGAGUUAUUAAUCCCGCGGGGGCACCCACGGGGGAAGCGGGGCGGGGCGGGGGAGUGGGAGGCGGGGGACGGGGCGGGGGUGGGGGGAGUUGUAGGUAGCGGGGCGGGGGAUGGGGGAGGGGUCCCCCGCCCCAACCCCGCCAUCCCCCGCCCCGUUGCCAUCCCUAGUAAUAGACUGGCAAGCAUUGUGGUGGUCAUUGAGAACUUACUGGAGAAAUAGUCCUAUAAGCUGUUCAAUGAGCAAUCACAACUUGCUAAUUGGAUGACUAAUAUAGCUCUAGCUGUAAUGUUUUAAUUAAAUUACAUCACUAACGUUGGGAUGACUUUUUAACCAAAAAAAAAUGCCUUAGUUCAAGCUUUUCCCUUUAUUGUGCAUUUUUUAAAGCAUUUGAUAGGCACUGCAAAUCUGUCAUUUUGGACAUUUUAUUAUUGACUAACAAUGAAAGCCGUGACGUCUACCCAUAACCAACACAAGAUUAAAUUAAUAUUAGAAAAAAUAAUUGAGUAAUUGGAAAAAAAAAAAGAGACUCAUUUUCAUUGAAACCCACCGACAAACUAAACGUGUCCAUGGCUUUUGAAUAGUGCAUUCAACGUUUAAUUGUAUAGUCCAGUUCAUUGCAGAUUACAUGGAGUAAAGAUUGUGCUCUUUCCUUUUUCACCCCUUUUGGAAUCGAUACUGUGGAGAAUUGGGUUUUUCCCUUCUUUUUUUCUUUUCUUUCCUUCUGUGCUUUGCAAAACAUAGGUAAAAAUAUGAAAUCCGAAGCAUUCUUUAAUUGGGAUUAAGUAUUGUUGUUGAAAUUAAAAAGAAAAAAGAAAGAACAACAAAAUUCCCAAUCUGGGUUGAUUGUUGAGCUCUAGAUUGGUUGCAUCGUGCUUCCAUAGAAGCUCUCUUAGUGUGAUACACUGCUUUCAAUCAGUUUAACACGGGAAAAAAAAAAAAAGAGAUGAAAAGCAAAUUUGGUGGGGAUAAUUUCAGAAACCUCCCCUGAAGAUUUUGACUAUUCUACUGGUCUCCCUUCAGAUUUUAAAAAUUACACUAAUCUUCCUUGAAGUUAAUUAUCUUGUAACAUUUAAAUUCAAUCAAUAAUUUAAAAAAUGAUAUUAUGAGAGAGAAAAUAAUGAUUUUAUCAUUGCCCCCCAUCUUACUACAUUAUUUAAUUAAUUUAAUAGCAACCCACACAUUAAAGAAAAAUAUUAAAAUUUGUUGUUUAUCAUUAAAGAUCAAAUCGCUUAUAACAUCAAAUAAUAGUAUAUUAUUUAUAUUUUUCACUCAAUAUAAUAUCCAAAUUACUCUUUUCAAUUACAUACCCAUUGUUAGACAAUCAACAACAAAUAACCAAAAAAUUUGCAACCAAAAUAUUACAAAAAAAUAAACUUUAACAUAUAAAUAUUCUUAUCAACAUAUUAAAGUUAGUUACUGAAAUUUUUAUGCUGUUAAACUUCACUCUUUUUGGUUACAGAUUUUUUUGAUUAUUUGUUAUUAAUUAUGUUUGAUGAUGGAUUUAUAAUUGAAAAGAACAAUUUGAAACUUACAUUAAGUAAAAUAUAUAGAGUGAUAUACUAUUUUUUAUAACAUAUGUGAUUCAAUCCUUCUUGAUAGGAUUGGUAAUAGAGGUAGAGGGGGGAGCCGGCUGCAUCCGGUCUACUUUUCAUAGAUAGUACAAUAUUGCGAAAUCGAUCGCAUUCACGCAAUAUUAUUUCCAAGUCAUUGCAUGGCUAAGCUGCAAAAAAAGUACGAACACAUGUUAUUAUAUAGCUUACGAUUCAAAACUUUAGAGCAUAACCCUCCACCUAACACAAUUGAAUAAUGAACAUUCACGUUUGUCAAAUCUGUCAAAGCACAGUUUGAGGACAACCCAUUCCAACCUGCAAAAGAUUUUUUACUUUUCUAAAGUUGUUGAGAGCUGUAAAAAGACUUACCAUGCUUGCAUCCUCCGAGCCUUGGGAGUUAAAAAUGAAGGCACUGAGUGCUAUAAAAAGGGGAAUAGAGGCUGCCUAGAAGCAUAUCAGCCUAAAACAAGAAUUUGUAGUUAAGAUGGGAAGCAAAGCAAAAGCAAUGGGGUCUGGGCUGACUCCUCUUCUUGCCACUGUUUUAGUGGUGUUUGUUGCUCUUGGCUUGCCCUCACAAACUGCAGCUGAUGAUCACUACAAGUAUUCAUCUCCUCCUCCUCCUUACCACUAUCCCUCACCACCACCACCAGUGCAUAUACCUCCACCUCAUCCUGUUUACAAGUACAAAUCUCCACCACACCCCCAGUACAAGUAUAAGUCACCACCACCACCUCCUCAUCCGGUAUACAGUCUCCUCCGCCACCACACACCCAGUUUACAAGUACAAGUCACCACCACCACCUCCUCAUCCGGUACCACACCCAGUUUACAAGUAUAAGUCUCCUCCGCCACCAGUUUACAAAUACAAGUCUCCUCCACCACCACCUCCAGUGUACAAAUACAAGUCUCCACCACCACCAGUUUACCACUACAAGUCUCCACCACAGUUUACAAAUACAAGUCUCCACCACCACCCCCAGUUUACAAAUACAAGUCUCCACCACCACCAGUUUACCACUACAAGUCACCACCACCUCCUCCCCCAGUUUACAAAUACAAGUCUCCACCACCUCCUCACCACUACUAAGCAAUUGCUUCUGAGGUAAUAACACUUGUUCAAUAUACCCACUUCUGCAUGAUAAAGCAUAUCUCUAUCAACACAAACUGUCAUGUCUAUCAUGCUAAGUGCCUUCACUUCAUCCACCAAAAUGACUGCUAGAAAAUUUUUUUUAUGUUACCAAAGAAAGGCAUCAUUUUUUCCCUCUGUUAUCAAGAACUUGUACAGUAUAUAGAUUAAAGAGUAUUUUUUUAACUAGCUUAUCAACUGAGAAAUGCAUAUAGCUGAUAGCCAGCUGAAUAUUUGCAGGCAAAGGAGAAGGAAACCAGUGUUUGAGACCUUCUUGAAGAUGUAGAAGCAUAAGAAUUAAAGCCCAAUGUGAAGAUGAUGAUUUCAAGUUUUUCUACGUUACCAUUUCUUUAUCUAAAUUGGUUGUAGCGCCUUAGUUCCUUUGUUUAUGGGAUUUGUAUCGUUUUACGUACCAUGCAGUACAUGUCAUGUUUGUAAGGUUUUCUAUCCUGCCGGCAAACCGCAGGUUCCAUGUAAUAAAUCAAUACUAUUUAUAUUACGACACUUUUCUCUGUUUCUCUUAUAUUUUGUCGUCUUUAAUAUUCUUAAUCAUAUUUUUAACAAAAAUAUUCAAACACUUAGGCAAUCUGGUCUAAUGCUAAUUGUAUGUUUUACUUUUCUUUUUCACCUGCUCCCCUUUUCAACUCAAAAGGAUGCAAUAGUUUGUGAUCACUGUUUAAGACGGAAGCAUGAUACUAAUGAAUAUCUCAUUGAAACUCAAGGAAACUAACAUUGCGAAAAGUGUAAAUCUUGAUUUGAUGCAACUAUUUAUUCGUGGAAUCUAUAGUUACAAAACUCAAAUUCUGACUGCGCCAUUGAUAAAUUAUUAAUGACGCUAUCAUCAUUAUUUAUCCCUAACUAGUUUCGACUACAACUGAACCCAAUAUUUUCCCCAUGAUAAAAGUUUUUGACUAUUUUACUGGCCUCUCUUCAAAUUUUAAAAAUUACACUAAUCUUCAUUGAGAUUAAUUAUCUUGUAACAUUUAAGUCCAAUUAAUAAUUAAAAAAUGAUAUUAUGAGAGAGAAAAUAAUAUAAUUUUAUCAUUGCCCCCCAUCUUGCUAUAUUAUUUAAUUAAUUUAAUAGCAACCCACACAUUAAAGAAAAAUACUAAAAUUUGCUGCUUUUCAUUAAAGAUCAAAUUGCAUAUGCCAUAAAACAUAGUAUAUCAUUCUAUAUGUUUCACUUAAUGUAAGAUCCCAAUUGUUCUUUUCAAUUACAAACCCAUUGUCAAUAACAAAUAACCAAAAAAUUUGCAACCAAAAUAUUACAAAAAAAAACUUCAACAUCAUAAAUAUUCUUACCACCUCUAGUGCAUUCACCCUCAUAAAAUAAUUCAAGACCCUACUGUCAUAAAAUGACUGAUCAACUCCCGUAAACCUAAUUUGACAACAUUUAAAUGGAGAACUUUAGCUAAAAGAAUUAUGGUCAAGCUAAAGAAAAAACCAGUUAUUUUCCAACAUAUGCAAUCAUUGAUCAGGGAAAAAAAAAAGAGCAAAAAGACAUCUUCAAUCAUUUAAUAGCUUACAGGGCAAAUUAACCCCUAAGCGAAAACUGGUUGCUCUAGAAUCAAAAUUUUACUUUAGUUACCCAGGCAACUUUUUUGUUGCUUUUUUUUUUUUUUUCCUUUAGUUUUGCCCCCUCUGUCAAGCUUAUAAAAUUAUUAAGAUAAUAAAAGUGCCUUGAAUAGUAUUAAUAUAUCCAUUGACUUGAGCUGUCGUCAGUUUGCGAUUCCAUGAGGCCUUUUCAAAGUACUCAGAAAAUGGGGAGUCAUGAAAUCCAUUUGUUCUAUUCAUUGCUAAGAUGCUUUUCUCUAUAAAGAGACUUCCUAACGAAAAUACUUUGUAGAUUUCUUUACUCCAAGUGGUGCAUGGAAAAUUAAUAUUUUCAAUUAUCAAAUAAAAUUCCCUUUUUUCGGCGUAGAUUUCAUCCAUCCAGCUGUUAACACAUUCUAUAAAUCCGAAUUGACUAAUCUUUUCGUUUCCAUUUUCCAACUUGCGAAUACGGCAUAUAGUGUCUGCUAAACACUAUAUAUUCUCUGCCAAAUAUGAAUACAUAUCACUUUUCUGAGCAAGUGCAGAGUCAUUAUCAUUUUUAUUCCCACCUAACAAAUUAGGGAUAAAAAAGUUAAUAAUCUUUACAUGCUAUCAGGUCACAAGUUAAUAAUCUUUUAAAGAACAUGUUAAAUUAAUUUAUUGGUAUGAAUAGUAGUCAAAGAAGUAUGUUAAAGUUAGUAAUCUUUAAAAUAAUAUGUUAAAAUCAUUCGUACAAAUUAGUCAGAGAAGUAGCAUAAACACCGCGAUGCAAUUAAUACUUUCAAUCUCAAGGUCUCUAUUAUGGAAAUUUGCAUCGGUCAAUAUACACUUGGCAUAAUAUAAUCUCCCAACUCAUUUCUUUACAAAUGCACCUUUAAUCACCACCAAAAGGUGUGGACAUGAUCUUUACCCUAGAAAACUAUUCACCGACAGGCAAAUUGACGUCAGAAAUACUGAGGAAUUCUAGUUUCCUUCGGGUUCAUGCCAUGUUGUAUCCUUCAACUGUAACUCGAUUUCUAAGCUGUAAUUUGUGACAUAAUAGUCCUUAAACUAUGAAACCCUUCUUACUUAAUUACAAUGGUUAAUACAAUGCCCGUGACUAGACAAGUAUGAAGCAACCAUAACAGAAAAAAAAUCCAAAAUUAGAGAAAAGAAAGAAGUUUCGCGACCACCACCAGUUUACAAGUCACCUCCACCACCUCCUCCAGUUUACAAGUCACCUCCACCACCUUACCAUUAUUCCUCACCACCACCUCCAGUGCAUUCACCCCCACCACCACCAGUUUACAAGUCUCCGCCACCACCUUACCAUUAUUCCUCACCACCACCUCCUGUGCAUGCACCUCCACCACCAAUUUACAAGUCACCUCCUCCAGUUUACAAGUCUCCACCACCACCUUACGAUUAUUCCUCACCACCACCUCCAGUGCAUUCACCCCCACCACCACCAAUUUAUAAGUCUCCCCCACCGCCUCCCCCAGUAUAUAAGUCACCACCACCACCUCCUCCAGUAUACAAAUCACCUCCACCACCUCCUCCAGUUGACAAAUCUCCACCACCACCAAUUUAUAAAUACAAGUCUCCUCCACUACCUCCUCCAGUGUACAAGUCAUCACCACCACCUGCUUACAAGUCUCCACCUCCUCCAGUUUACAGUUCCCCACCACCACCAAUCUACAAGUCUCCACCUCCACCCUACCAUUACUACUACAAUUCUCCUCCUCCUCCUCGUCACUACUAAGCAAUUGUAUCCAAGUUUUUGAGGUAAUAACGCUUAACCAAUAAAUUAACUUUCGCAUGAUAAACCUUAUCUCUAUCAAGACAAACUGCCAUGUGUAUCAUGCCAAAUACGUACACCUAGAUCCAUGAAAAUGAAUGGUGAGGAGGGCCAUUUAGGCUCGGAGCGCCCUAGGCCUAGUUCCCCACCAUUUCCUGAAGUGCCGCCUCGGGUAUUAUCCUGGAAGGCGAUCGCGGCCCAUUUACCACCUCGGCUACAAUGUCAGGUCGUAACACCGAGGUGGACAUUGAAUGACAACUACGAAAAGGGGAGAUGUGAUCUCUGACACCUGAGCAAAGGCUGCUCUGACCCGCCGCCUGAAUCUGACAGAAUGUCCCAUCACGUCUCUUCAUGGAGACCGGUCAAGUCCACCUGAUCCACUGACUAUCUCAGAUCUUUUGGGACCCGUGCAAACAUCUCCUCUCUCCUAUCAGUCCCCUAUAAAUACACGAUACUUCUACUGAAAAAGGAGAUGACCAAUUUCUGGUAAAACACACUCCACUCAUUAUUUACUUCUCUAUAUCCGAACUGACUUAAGCUUCGGAGUUAUACCGGGGGAUCCAGCCCCUUUCUUAUCCAAGCAGGUGACUUCGUCCAAGAGAGUUGCCCAAGGUAAAGAUAUUCUUCCAAUUGAGGUGACUCACUCCUGCGGGUCGAAAAUCACCUCUUCAAUUGGCGCCGUCUGUGGGAACCGCAAAGAUAUUAGAAGAUGAAGCCUGCGCGUUCUAGAAGCAGAAAAGCUCUCACUAUCGAGGCUGGGCAAAGCAAUGCAGCUCAACAAGAAAAUAUUUCUGAAGGGCAGGAGUCCCCAAGGACUCAGCCCGCAAACGAAAAAGCCAUAACCCGUAUGGCCGAGUUUGUGACCGAGAACCCCAACAUCUUUGAAGAGUUGGGAAGAUACCUGAAGAGGCAAGGCAAACAAAAGGCCGAGUCCUCUAAAAGGAUGUCAGAUGGGUCUCUUGAGGACUCAUCUGAGGAGGAGUCGGAUGGAAGGCACUUAAGCCGAAGUGCCUCAAAGCGAGCAUUUUCUAAGGCCACUUCUAAGGUAGCCUCCCUGACCAAGGCGUUUUCCCGAGGGCUCUUGGGCCGACGACCCGAGGAAGAACCUCGGCCCUUGGGAAUACCCGGGGUGGACUGCAUGAGGGCUCCACCGUUCACGGAUGAUAUAAACGAGGAAAGGCUUCCUCCCAAUUUUAAGCUCCCCGCAGUACAAUCUUACGAUGGCCGAGGUGAUCCCGAGAAUCACAUCCAUACCUUCAUCUCGGCCUUCCAAAUAUACUGCAUCCCAGACCCUGUCAUAUGUCGGGCCUUUCCAGUAUUCCUCAGAGGAACUGCUCGAAAAUGGUUCUGAGCUCUAGAACCUAGGAGCAUUUCGACCCUGGGUGAAUUAGUGGAGAAGUUUCUCCACCGAUUUGUCUCCUCCCGACCUACGACUAGGACCUCGGCUUACCUGCUCACCGUGCAGCAGAACCCGGGAGAGUCACUCCGGUCGUACGUCCGGAGGUUCCAUGAGGAAAGCGUUCAGAUACCUGACCCCAAUGAGCAGGUAACCCUCGCUGCCUUUACCCAUGGACUCGUUGCCGGGGAGUUCAAUACGGGGAUCCAUAAAAAAUACCCCCGCACACUGCAUGAAUUGUGGUUGAAGGUUGAAAAGGGCAUACAGGCCGAAGACCUCCAUCGCAUGAAGAAAGAGGUCCAAGCCACCCGUCCAAGGGCUGAGCCCAGAAAGGGAAAAGACGCUGGCCGAACUGAAGUAGGGUCGGGAAGUGGCUUCCGAAGUCCUGGCCGAGACCGCCGCAGCGUGUUCGACAGGAUAUCCAAGGGGAAGUCACCUAUUCCCGAGUCCGAGUUGACUCCUUUAAAUACUACCCGAUCUCACGUGUUGUCCGUGAUGGAACAAAACAACCUCGGCAAGGGCCCGCCGAGGAUGUUUGGAAGCAGAGACAAGAGGAACUCGAACCUCUACUGCUUGUAUCAUCGUGACAUUGGUCACGAAACUGAGGAUUGCAACGAUCUCAAGAAGGAGAUCGAGAACCUCAUUAGACGGGGACACUUGAAACAGUUCAUCCGCAGAGGUGGAGGUCACCAACGUGACGAAAACCGGCAUGACAAAUGAGGUGACCAACGCCGAGAUGAGCGGCGGAGCUCCAGAAGCAGUUGCCGACCUCCUGAGGAUCCCAGGGAGACGAAAAGGCCUCCCCCAGACGGAUCUUCGGGACAUGGGCCAACCAUUGCCCGGGUCAUUAACACCAUUGCCGGAGGUCCGACGGGAGGGGACAGUCAGAACUCCCGGAAGAGAACCUAUAAGCAGGCUAACCCGGAUCAGGCCGAGUCGAGUUCUCGCCUGUCCGAGGUGAUCACCUACGGGCUCAGUGAUCCCAUCCCAGCUGCAUCCAGCAGUCAUGAAACCUUGGUGAUUGAAGUCCUCACCAAUAACUACAUUGUGAAAAGGUCUACAUAGACCCGGGAAGUUCAGUUGACGUCAUGUACCUCCGUACCUUUGAGAGCCUUAAAAUGGCUAAGGGGUGCAUGACCCCGCUGAGAACCCCUCUUGUAGGGUUCGGGGGACACGUGGUGCACCCCGAAGGGAUGGUGACUCUGACAGUGACCAUAGGGCAUCACUCUCGCUGUAGAACCGUCCCUGUCAAUUUUGUGGUGGUUAAGGCUGACUCCCCAUACAACCUACUUUUAGGUCGGCCUACGCUCAAUGCCUUGCGGGCGGUCUACUCCACCUACCACCUGAGCUUCAAGUUUCCUACCCCAGCAGGGGUGGCCGAGGUCAGCAGCGACGUCUGUGCUGUCCGGGAGUGCUACCUCGCCACCCUACAAGCAGCCUCCCCGUCUACCUCCGGUGCGAGGUCCGAGAAGAGGUCAAAUAUCCUCUCAAUAGAUAGCAUCGAUCCUCAGUGAGCUGAGAAGGUCCCGAGGCUGGAGACUGGGGAUGAGGUGGAAGAGAUUCCCCUGGACCCCACGAAACCUGAUCAGACAGUUCGCGUUGGUACCCGAUUGCCCGGUCCUAUCCGAAGAGGUAUGAUGGACCUCCUCAGGGAAUACCGGGACGUCUUUGCUUGGGCCGCCGAAGAGGUCCAAGGAGUCCCGCACCAUCUCAUGAUGCAUGACUGAACGUCGACCCCCAAGUCCGUCCGGUCAAACAGAAGAGAAGGCACAUCGGCCCUGAGCGCAGCCAAGCUGUUGGUGAGGAAGUGGACAAGCUUUUACCCGCUAAAAUAAUCCGAAAAGUCCAAUACCCGAUCUGGUUGUCUAACUCGGUCAUGGUCAAGAAGGAUACGGGGGCUUGGAGAAUGUGCGUCGAUUUUACCGACCUCAACAAAGCCUGCUCCAAGGAUUGCUACCCCUUGCCCAAAGUCGAUACUUUGGUAGACUCAGCAAUGGGCUACGAGAUCCUCUGUUUCUGGGAUGCAUUCAAAGGCUAUCACCAAAUUGGGAUGAGUCAAGAAAACCAGGAGAAAACGGCCUUCUACACCGACCGCGGCACGUACUGUUAUACUACCAUGCCAUUCGGGUUGAAGAAUGCCGGAGCCACUUAUCAACGCUUGGUCAACCAAGCAUUCAAGUCUCAAAUCGGCCGGAAUGUUGAGGCCUAUGUAGAUGACAUCCUCCUCAAAAGCCAGACGAACUCCACCUUCCUGGCCGACUUGAAGGAGGUCCUUGACAUCCUGCGGAAGGUGAAAAUGAUGCUGAACCCCAAGAAAUGUGUUUUUGGGGUCACCUCGGGGAAAUUUCUAGGUUACCUCGUCUCAAGGCGAGGUAUCGAAGCAAAUCCGGAUAAGGUGCGAGCCAUCCAGGAGAUGUCUCCACCCCGGUGCGUCCGCGAUGUCCAAAGGCUGACAGGGCGAUUAGCCGCCCUGAAUCGGUUCUUAUCGCAGUCGGCAGCUAAAGCACUGCCCUUUUUCAAAGUGUUGAAGAAAGCUGACCAUUUCUCCUGGACGGAAGAGUGUCAACAGGCGUUUGAGCAGUUGAAGGAUUACCUUCACUACCUUCCAACGCUCACCUCACCUCGUCCGGGGGACAAAUUAAUCUUAUACCUUUCUGCUGCGGCCGAAGCGGUGAGUGCCGUGCUGAUAAGGAAGGAAGGGGUCCAAAUGCCCGUCUACUACGUUAGCCGAGUCCUCCGAGGUCCAGAGACCAGGUACACACAAGCAGAGAAACUUGUGCUAGCCCUGAUCCACGCCGCCCGCAGACUCAAGCCCUACUUCCUAGCUCACCACGUCUGCUUGAGGACUGAUCAACCACUUCGGCAGAUUUUGACACGACCAGAGGUUUCGGGACGUCUUACCAAAUGGGCCAUUGAGCUGGGGGAGUACGACCUAACUUAUGAGCCUCGCACAGCGAUCAAGGCCCAGGCUCUCGCAGACUUCGUAGCCGAGCUCACCUUUGACGAGGUGCAAGGAUCCGUCCCGGCUGCCACAUCGGCCACAGUUGAUGUGGCCACCACUGGGCUCCAGCGGUGGAUCCUACACGUGGACGGUUCGUCAACAGUGAGGGUAGUGGAGCAGGCUUGCUCCUCGAAGACCCCCAAGGAGAAAUAUGCUAAUAUGCCUUAAGAUUUGACUUCGCUGCUUCAAACAAUGAAGCUGAAUACGAAGCCGUCAUUGCUGGACUGCAGCUAGCUCGCAAGCUCGGGGCCGCACACAUCUUGGUUUAUAGUGAUUCCCAACUCGUCGUGUGCCAGAUAUUAGGUGAGUACGAAGCCAGGGACGAGGUGAUGCAUCGUUACCUCUCCAAGGUCCUCCAGUUGGCGACUCACUUCGAGUCUUUUGAAAUUCAAAGAAUACCGCUAUCGAAAAACAGAAGGGCUGACGCCCUCUCCCGGCUUGCCUCAACCUCUUUCUCUGACCUGAACAAGACGGUUCUCGUUGAAGUUCUAGCCGAACCAGGAUAUGUAGCCGAGGUAGUAUACCCCGUCUACCCUGGGGACACCUGGAUGGGUCCCCUGACUCGAUUUUUCAGCCAGGGUGAGCUCCCCGAAGACCGAGCUGAGUCACGGAAGCUCCAACGAAAAGCAGCACGGUACAUUCUCCGACAAGGCCUUUUAUACAAAAGGUCUUACCUCGGCCCUUAGUUGCGAUGUAUCACGCCCGAGGAAGGCCAGAGAAUCCUCCAAGACAUACAUGAGGGGCUCUGUGGUGCUCACGUCGGCUACAGAAUGCUGGUAAAAAAGGCUUUGUUACUUGGGUAUUUUUGGCCCACUAUGAGGAUAGAUGCCCAGGUCAUGGUCCUUUGCUGCCCCUCCUGCCAGCAUCACGCUCCUGAGCACCACCAGCCGACCAAUUUAAUGAUCCCUAUCACCUCGUCAUGGCCAUUUGAGCAAUGGGGAACGGACAUAAUUGGCCCCUUUCCCAGAGCUCCAGGCAAUUAUACCUACGUGGUGGUAGCAGUGGACUACUUCACCAAAUGGGUCGAAGCUGAACCCCUAAAAAAUAUCACUGGUGCGGCAGUCCAGAAAUUCUUCUGGAAGAAUGUGGUUUGCCGCUUCGGCCUACCCCGGGUGAUCAUCUCGGAUAAUGGCCGACAGUUCGCCGAUAAUCCUUUCAAGGCCUGGUGUGAGAACCUCGGGGUCAAACAGCAUUUCACUUCGGUGGGACACCCCCAAGCCAACGGACAAGCCGAAAACUUCAAUCGCACGCUCCUCCAUGGCCUCAAGACCAGGCUCCACCAGGCUGGAUCGUUUUGGAUGGAAGAGCUCCCCAGUGUGCUGUGGUCCUACCGAACUACGCCGAGAUCAGCAACCCAGGAAACCCCGUUUUCCUUAACCUACGGGUCAGAAGCUGUUGUUCCAGCCGAAUUCAUCACCCCGAGUCCACGAAUGGCCGCAUAUGCUGCCGAAGUCAAUGAAGAAGAACGGCGAGUUGACCUCGACCUCGUCGAAGAGAAGCGUGAUAUGGCCGCGGCCAAAGUUGCUGUUUACAAAAAUAUCGUAGCUGGCUACUACAACGCUCGGGUUAAACAUUUGCGGUUCAGUCCGGGAGACCUGGUGCUCAGGAAGAACUCAGUCAGCCGGGCUGAACCUCAGGGUAAACUAACCCCCAAGUGGGAGGGACCAUACCGUGUUGUUGAGUCCAGCCAAAAUGGAUAUUGUAAAUUGGCAUACCGAGAUGGGUCUCUGAGUGCCCCGAACUUGGCAUGCUGAAAAUCUUAAGUUGUACUACCCUUGAGGGUAUGUGCUUUUAAUCUUGAGUUAUUUCACACUUAUUUUCAUUUCAUUAUAAGUGAAAAAUAAGGGGACAAAGUAGCAGUAAAGAGGAAAACCGAAUUUAAUUAAAAAGAAAGCAAGAAUAUGAACUCAAUUCCAUUGAAUUACAUAAAAGUAGAAAGCCGAGGUCACCUUUAAUUAGGAAGAAAGCAAGAAUAUAAACUCAAUUCCAUUGAAUUACAUAAAAGUAGAAAGCCGAGGUCACCUUUGACCUCGGCCUACAAUGACAAAAAAAAAAACAAGUGCCUCUAGGCACUCCCUACCCUGACAUCCUGGCCCCCCGUGGUCGCGCCACCCGUUUCGGCACCCUGUCCACCCUCAGCUCCUCCACCGGCCUGGUCGUCUUCAGUACCAUCUAGUUCAAACUCCUGGAGCCAUUUGUUGAAUUCGGCUCGGACUUCGGUUAGGUCUUUCUCAGUCCGGAUGCCCUCAGCCAUGCUGUCGCAUAGCUCCUUGGCAUCCUCGUUAUAGUGCGAAGUGCUCUGAAGGGACUCCAGUUGUUCAGAGGGAAGAAAGGAUGCCGCGUCAUUAAUAGCCGACGUGUACCCGAACAUGAAGCUUGGCCGGGUGAGCUCGCCGAGGUCACGGAUGAAGGACUCUGACGUCCGGAAGGCUUCCACAGCAGUGACCCCGGCCUUGUCCAUGGCCUCCCUGUUUGACUGUUCUUCUUGGGCCCUCCUUUUUUUCUCCUCAUCAAGAGCAGUCACCAGGGAAUUGUUCGCGACCUCGGCCCUUUUGUUAGCCGCCUUGGCCUUGUCACGCUCCAACUCGGUUGCCUUCAGUUUUUCUUCCAACUCGGCAAUUCUCUUCUGGAGCUCGGCAGGAGGCUCAUAGUUUUCCAUGAACUUUCCAUACCGUUGAAUCAUCUCGACAAAAAAAGCCGUGGUAGAGGCCCAUGACACCGAGGCGCUCUGCAUCAACUCCCCUGCGGAGAGCUUCCUAGCAUAAGUGCUAUCUCGUGGCAGCACUGAAUGCACCAAGAGCUCCUGAGCGACCAAAGGGUUCUUGCAGCGAUCGUUGAAAUUAAUCUCCCACUCUGGACACCAGUGUGAUCCGGGGUGUCUCUUGUCCUCCUCAGCUGCCUUGAAAGGCACAUGAUGGAGUUUGAACAAAGAUGACCCCGUGACGGGGUUCUCCGGAAAUAUGGUCACACCCUGACCCCGGGGGGGAGUGGCAAUCGUGACCCAGCGAGAAGGGAUUCCCACCGGAAUUGCCGAGGCUCGGGAACCUCCCGGAGUGGCCGAGGUGUGCGAGCCCUCGCCCACGAUCACCACGGCAGGCUCGCGGUCGCCCGACGCCGCGGUGGUUUUCUUAGCCGGCCUGGAAGAGGACCCUGCAGUGUCCUUGCGCUUUUUGGGAGCUCUUUUGACCACCUCGACAUCUCCCGAGGUUAUCAGGUCGAAAAUCUUCGUCACUGCAAAGUAGGAGACGAAGUCAGUUAGAAUUCAAGAGGGAUAAACUAAAAGGGAAGAAAUGGAAAAAUACAAAGUCUGUGAAGCCUAGUCGAGAGUAAGACAGGCUGGUCAGAGCUCGUCAAGGCUCAACUGAUCCCGCCUUCCACGAGCACCACUUCGGGAAAAUCCCAGCAGUUUAUCCUGAGGCCCGACCCCGUUAACUUCUGGAAGUUACGCUCUUCUAACUUCCCUGGAGAUAUCUCCUUGAUCGAGGUGGGAGGCCUCCACCAGAAUCCGCGAGGGAAGUCAUCGGCCGAGACGAAGAAGAAGUUUUGCUUCCACUCCUUUAUUGAGUUCGGAGCAUCAACCACCAACUUCGGAACUUUGUUUCCGAAGUAGAACCAUCCUUUUUCACUUCUGCUGUUCUUGAGUGAGUAACAGCGGCGAAAGAGGUUGACCUAAGGUUGUAUCUCCUGAUGUCGGCAAAGUAGCUGGAAGCCAACGAGAAUGCGAAUAGCGUUAGGGGUGAGUUGAGUGAUUCUCACCCCCCAGUACCUCAGGCAGUCCCGAAGAAACCUCGUCGUGGGCACUCUGAGUCCGGCCUCCAGCUGUUCCUGAUAGAUAGUCACCUUGCCCUUUGGUGGCAGUGCGGCUGACUGAUGCGGUUGGGGUAUGUAAAUACUAUAAUCCCUUCUCCAGGGAUACCUGCGGACCACCUCGGCUAUUGAGGCUUGUCCCAUACCACUACUGAAGAACGGCAUCUGGCCGUAGUCGAGAGUUGCCACGUUUGGAGGAGUGGAAGGUUCUUGUACUCCCUCGUCUCUAGGGAUCUCAAUCCCGAGGUCAUCGUUGUAUAGGACCUCGGGCUGGACCUCGAUCUCCUCGGGCUGCACCUCAACCGCCUCAGCUCGGCGUGAUGCCUCGGCACCUCCACCCUCAGCUUGGUGAGAUGCCUCAGCACCUCCGCCCUCGGACGCGGUCCUUUCCUGGGAGGGGUCAGGCCUCUCUGCCUCAGUGAGGUCAGGUCUCACUGUCUCUUUGUGCGUACGAGCUGUUCUAGCCAUUGUAUCAGAAGGGGAAGAAGUGAACUUACUUAGAAUCUGCGACUGGAAGAAGAUGCCGAAGUAGACGUGGUUUAGAAAGGUUGCCGAAGUGAAAAGAGAAAGAAACAGAGUUCUGGGGUGAUUCUUGAUUUUUGGUGAAGAGUAAAACGGUGAAAAAAGACCACUAUUUAUAGGCCACCAGGGUGAAACCCAAGAGACGGCACCCUCUCUCUUCAUUAAUGGGAGGACUGUUCGUCUGCCAACACAGCUGACAGCCGUCCCUUCAGUUAUCACUCAGUCCCAUCUAUGCGGUCAUGACGUGUCCGUGUUCCGUGUUUUAUACGCUUCUCAGCUUCGGGAAGUAACGACCACGGCGGAUGCCCAUCUCGCCCUUCUCAAAGCUUGGGGGGCUUAGUGAGGAGGGCCAUUUAGGCUCGGAGCGCCCGAGGCCUAGUUCCCCAUCAUUUCCUGAAGUGCCGCCUCGGGUAUUAUCCUGGAAGGCGAUCGCGGCCCAUUUACCACCUCGGCUACAAUGUCAAGUCGUAACACCGAGGUGGACAUUGAAUGACAACUACGAAAAGGGGAGAUGUGAUCUCUGACACCUGAGCAAAGGCUGCUCUGACCCGCCGCCUGAAUCUGACAGAAUGUCCCAUCACGUCUCUUCAUGGAGACCGGUCAAGUCCACCUGAUCCACUGACUAUCUCAGAUCUUUUGGGACCCGUGCAAACAUCUCCUCUCUCCUAUCGGUCCCCUAUAAAUACACAAUAUUUCUACUGAAAAAGGGGAUGACCAAUUUCUGGUAAAACACACUCCACUCAUUACUUACUUCUCUAUAUCCGAACUGACUUAAGUUUCGGAGUUAUACCGGGGGAUCCAGCCCCUUUUCUUAUUCAAGCAGGUGACUUCGUCCAAGAGAGUUGCCCAAGGUAAAGAUAUUCUUCGAAUUGAGGUGACUCACUCCUGCGGGUCGAAAAUCACCUCUUCAAAUGGUAGAAAGUUUUCUUAAGAACCAAGAACAGCAUUAGUAUUCCCUCUGCUUCCAAAAACUUGUGUAUUAAAUAGAUUAAUGAAUUGUUUAACAUGCUCAUCUACUUGAAAAUGCACAAUACCCAUAACCCACUGAAAUUUUUGCAGGAAAAGGGAAAGAGAAUCUGUGUUUGAGAGCUUCAUGAAGAUGUUGAAGAAUAAGAAUAAAAGCCCAAUGCGAGGAUGUUUUCAAGUUUUUCUAUGUCCACUUUAAUUUGUAAAUUGAAUUUUACAACUCAAUUAAUUCCUUGUUUGUGAGGUACGUAUUGUUUUACGUACCAUGCCGUACAUGUUUGUAAGGAUUUCUAUCCUAUUGGCAAAAGUCGGUUCCAUACAAUUAAUCAAUUCAUUUCACUUCUAUUGGCUCUACUAUUUAUGCAUGUUACGACACUCUUUCCCUUAUAUUUUGCCUUUAAUAUUAUGAGUCAAUAGUAAUAAUGGGCCUUUUUCUUAAAAUUAUACUAUUAUACAUAGGUAGUUUGGUCUAACGCUAAAUUCAUGUUUGUCUUUCUUUUAUUCCCUUUACAUCUCAAAGUAUACUAUAGUUUGUAAUCAUUGUGGUGAUGAUAUUACCAGCUGGUACUUAUAGUUUAAGGCAGAGACAUGAUAUUAACAACUAUCUCAUUGAAACAUAAGUCAAAAUCAUGACAAGUGUGAGUCUUGGUUAAUGCACAAUUUGUUAGUGGAAUUUAUAUUUAUAAAACUCAAAAAAAAUUUUUGACAAUGCUAUUACUAAUUAAUUAAGGACUUCAUUGCUAUAAUUUAUCGCUUACUAGUUUAAACUAUAAAUGAUCUCAAUACUUUUCUCCAUGAUGUCGAUUUCUUUAGACUACGAAAGGGAAAAAUUAGUGACAUAUCCCUUACUGAUUACAACAUCAGCAAAAAUUAGUUAUAAACUUUUCCGGUGGUUUUAAAUCCCUCGGGCACUAAGGUUUUUUGCACAUCGAGUGAAUUAAGGAACAUAGGCAAUUCGUUCUGCAUACCAAGUCCUUGUUUAAGAUGCACGUACUAAAAUGCAUCCACUUCAUUAAUUUGGAAAAUUGCCAUAGUUUUUUUUAAGCAUUUUGAUUUUUUACAUGAUUCAAAAUUUUCUUAUUGGAUACAAUCACUUUGUGUCAAGAACACAUUUUCAAUCAUCUUUUUUAUCUUCUCAAUAAGAAAAUAAAAAUUUAUUCAUGCUUUUCUAACAUAUCCAAUCAUUGAUCUGAAAAAUAAAGAAUUAAAAAAAAAAGACAUUUUCAAUCAUUGCUUACAGGGCAACUUCCCCAUGUGAACCUCUUCAAACAAAGCCAAUAAUAUGAAGGAACAUCUAAAUACACUUUUGCCCUAAAGGCUGGUUGCCUUGGGGUCAAAAUUUAACCUUCGGGAGUAUAAUUACCCGCCAAAUUUAUUAUUUUUUAUGGGUAUAUAGUUCCAAUUUUGCCUCCUGUUAAGCUUAUAAAUAUAUUACGACCCAGAAAAUAAAGGAAUCUUGAAUAGUAACAUGUCCAUUGACUUGAGUUGUCAUCAAUUUGGCUACUUCGAUUCCAUGAGGCCAAUCCAAUUCACACUAGCUAGAGAAAAUGGUGAUAAAGGCACUUAGAAAUUUAUAUGUAAUAUUGAUUGGUAGUAACUGAUAAGUAUAUAUUUUACGUGUUUUAAAUAUGUUUUAUUAGUUAGUUUUGGUGUGUUUUAACUACUUUUAUAACUAAUUAACUAGGAAUCUAGUGAAAAUAUGCAUUUUGUGGUUUGAAGUGUGAAAAUUGUAUUUCUAUGGAUUUUAAUGGUGAAAACUUCAUGUUUUUGUAGGUUUAAUGAUUCAAUCAUCAAAUGACAUGAUUUGAGAAGAUAAUUAGAUGAUUGAUGAUGUUUUGAAGUGAUAAAAAGAGAAUACAAAGUGCAAGAGAGGAAAUGCAAUCAAGAAUAAAAGAAGAAAAUUUUUGUAGCUUUGACAUAUUGUGGUAUUUUGGCAAUAUAUUGAGCUACAAUGAUUGGAUUAAGGUGAUUCUUAAACCAUUUGAAGCUAAGAUAUAGAUCUACAUUUGGUAUGAAGGCAUCGAAACCCAUGUCAGUCAUUUUCCUUGUCAAAAUGUUGAAAUACAGAAGUGCAACUCUGUUCUCGAAAGCUAAAACAGAGCUCUGGCUAGUCGAGGGUAUUUUCAUCAUUUCUUAGUCCACAGAGCUCCAAAUGAGAUGAUUCUUAAGGCAUUAGAACCCUAACUCAAAGAGCUACAACUUUCAUAUUUUGUACAAGAGUUAGUUCGGCCUCCAUCAUUCAGAAAAUAGUAGUUGAAGUGGUGCCAAAUGCAUAGAAGUGAAAACGCGAGCUAUCAAUACUCGACCUGAAGUCGCGUAUUCCUGAGGUCAUGCAUUCUCUUCUAUUUUCUGCAACUUGCCCUGCUUUCACAUAAUUUUUUCAUCUCAAUUCCAACUAUCAAUUUCGGCUAUAUCUGAUCAAGAAAAGUGUGGAAAGUUUGAAAGACAACUCAUAGGAGUUUCAAGAGUCAAAAAUUACAAUUAGAAACAACUCAUUUGGCUCUUGAAUCCUCUAUAAAUAGAGGCCUUUGAAGAACAUUUUCACAACUUUGGAAGGUUAGAGAAACUCCACAAAAACAUAGUCUUCACUAGAAUUUCCUUAGUUCAUUAGUUAGGGUAGUAUAGUAUAGUUAGUGUAGCUUUUCCUUCUUGUAUUUAUAGUUAGGUUUGAAUGAAGAUUCAGGAGCAAAGAUAGAGAGGUUGAUCUCAUGUGACAAGGGUGAUAUCUCUUCUACUACUUUCUCUUUUGUAUUUGAUUUCAUAUUUAACUAUACUACAAAUUUGGCUUUGUUUUUUUUUUUUAUCAUGUUUAGUUAAAGUUUAUGCCUAGAGUAUGGAUGACCUUUCUAUAUCUUGUUUGUGAUAUUUAACUGGUUAUUUGAUGAUGUUAUUUUUGAGCAAGUUAUUUAUCACUUUUGCUUUUCUAAUCGUGAUUAACUGGCCAUUAGUUGUGAUUAUCUAAAAGUGUUAAGUUUGUAAUGAGAAUUGGAGUUUAACACUAGUUCAAGGAAGUGAUAAAUUUAGGGAGUUCACUCAUGAGAGUAGAGGAACACCUUUGUGACCUAAGUGACUUGUUUCAUAUAAUUUCAUAGAAAAAAUGAACUUGUAAUUAAUUUCAUAACCACGAGAGUAAGUAUGGUUUAGCUAUAUGUAUAGUUGAUUCACUACGAGAGUAGGUUUCACAUACAUUAGAAAAUUACAUCAUAACUAGUCAAGAUAAUAUCAUUCAUUUAAUCAGUAAUCUCAUUUGCAUGAGUAGUAAGGCAUUCCAUAUCUCUAGGAGGUUUUUAGUAUUAUUUUCAUUACUUUUAUGUUUAUGGUAGUCUAGAUAAUAAUGGAGUUCAAAAACUACUAGUAAUUGAAAAUUUUCCCUGUGGGAUCGACCUUUAAUACCCUAUACUCGCUCUCGACUCGUAUACUUGCGAAAAAUCACGUGUGCGGUAUUUAGAAUUUAUAAAUGUAAAACUUGACUGUAGAUGAACUAAUUGAUAUAUGUAUACCCCGCACUCGUCAGUAACCAGCUUGUAUUGAUCCCAUUAUUGUGGAUAAUUGUGCUCUUAUGAAAAAAAAUUAUAAAAAAAUUAGCAAAAUUUAUGAUAACAAAUUAAAUUUAUUCAUACAAAUCAGUGAAAGAAGUAGAAUUUUAAAGACCAUGAUGAAAUUAAUACUUUCAAGGGCUCUAUUAGGAAGACUUCACUUGUUGGUGAAACUACACUAGCACAGUUAUAUGCACAUUUACUGUUUUGGUAUCUAAUUUCCUUGCCUUAAGUUGGGUGCAGAUGUUUAUAUUACAAAUAGAUGGUAUCAUAAAAUUGUUGUAUUCACGUUUGUUCUUUUUUUUUCUUCCUUAAGUUUUUUUCUUUAUUCUCGUGACUUCAAAAAUACGAACUCAAGAAAUUGGCUGCUUAAUCAAUAUGUCAUACAGGCUUCGCUAGUGAGGUAUAACUUCACAACUAGAGUCAAUAGAAAUUAUCAAAUGAUUUUUUAACAUCCAAAUUAAGCAAUAAAUUUUGUUUUCAUUUUAUGACAUAUAAUAGUACUACUUCAUGAGAGAUUUUAUAGUUUCUUUUAGGUAUCAUACCUACAAGUGAUAUUUGUCAUUGGAUAGUGACAGAAGUGUUAAUGAUUGUAAGAUUAAAUAUUGUUAAAUAUUGAAAUUUAAACUAUUUAUCUUUAUUGAAAGAUACAAGUUAAAGAAUCGUUCAAGGGGGCAAUUUUCCAUCUUGUCUUUUUGAAAAAACGCUAUCACAUUGUAUAGGCAUGAUAGGUUCAAAUUUGUCAUUAAAUUUAUGAUUGAUUUCCCUUUUAUUCAAGCCAAAUAUUGUUUUAAUUAUCAAAUUCUACUUAUAUUUGGUUAAUUGUACUAAUUGUAGGGCGGUAGAGCAAAAGUUGCUAAAAAUAGGUGAUUUUCUGCAAAUUGGUUGUCAAGGCUGAAGGAUUUGGGAUUCGCAUGUUCAAGGCCUGUUUCCAAGUUUGAUUCAAACUCUGGACAGUUUUAGAGGAAGAUUUGGAAGAUUUGAAAUUUCAUUAUUAGUUUUAUGGUUGAAUUAGGAAUCUUGGAAUAAUUUCUUUUGUGAUUUAUUUUUCUAUUUAGGAGACUAGUUGUUAUUUAGUAGUAGACUUCAAUUAGAAAACAAAGAGAAAAAGAAGGCCGGAAUCCCGCUUGAUUAAUACCUUGGCCAGGGAACAAUCUCGGUGGGGAGGACGGCCACUUAGCCUCUCAAUUCAUCUUGCUUUUCGUUAGUUUGAGAGGAAAACCAAUUGCAACUAGAUUCAAUGGAGUCUGGCAGAAUUUCUUCUAGGAUGCGUAGCUAAAUCCUCAAUUUUUAGUCGAAGGUCAAUUUGAAAAUUCGGUUCCAAAUAUCUGUGAAAUCGAAUUAUUUUACUUAUUUCUUUUAUUUAUUGGUAUUCGCACGUUUUCUGAUUUAACUUUUUAUGAUUGUUUUGUUAUUUGAAUGUCAAGGGUCCGAUAUUCGAAUUAACUUAAUAAUCUACUGCCAAAUUAACCGGUUAAAUCCGUAAUUGUUUGAUUGAUUAAUAUCAGUGGCGACUAGCGUGAUUGGUCCCAUGUUAGGAAAACGUCUGAUCUAAUUUAAACAAACCGUCGUAGCGUGUUUGUUGAUUAGGGUUGGACUUUUCUAAUUCUUAAUUCAAUUGAGAAAUUAAAUCUCCCGGUCGUACCUAAGAUUAUUUUUUUGUUAGCGAAAUAGUUAAUGGUCGUACCUUGACUAUCGAAAAAGUAAGGAAGAGUUGAUUGUUUAUCGCGUGUACGACAACUAUAAUCAAUCUAUUAAUGAGUAAUUGAAUUAUCUUUGCAUCAGUAAUCAGUUGAAUGGACCGUGUCUGAAAAGUUGUACCUUUGGCUAGAGUCUUAUCUGUUGUUGAUUCAUUCAUAUCUAUCUUCAUGCGUUGUUUUAAUUUAGUUAAUUAGUUAUUUUUAUAAAAACCCCUCAUCUCUGGACUCUAAAAGAAAUAAAUUAUUUCUAGUUCCUGUGGAUUCGAUCCUACUCACCGCUAUAUACAAAAUUUGUAUUUUUUUGAAUAAAUAAUUAUUAUUACACAGGCUUGACACCUGUCAAGGCAAAAUUUCCUUAACUUCAUCAUCUGUAGACGUAAACUUUCUACGGGUGAUAUAAUAUAAGGAAAUUUUGCCUAUACGAUGUGAUAGCAUUUUUUCAAAAAAGACAAGAUGGAAAAUUGCUCCCUUGAACGGAAAAAAUCAUGAUCUUUCCUCAAACUAGUCUACUAGUCAAUUCUUUACAAAAGAAUACUCGCUCCUAAACAUAGCCUGUUCAUCUACACUGUCCCGCAGAAUUCUAGAAAGUUAGGCAAAACUAGACAAGUUGACAGGUAUAAUCAUACCCAAGAUCAGGAACAAGCAGUUGCACAUUUCAAAAUUCGCUGCUGCAACAGCUAAUUUGAUGACUUACAACACUACACGGUCAAACUUUGAAUGGCAAUGGAUCUUUUGUUGUACGUCAUGAUGUAAUUUUCAUGUUACAUACAUUAAUAGGUUGAUAUCUAUAUUCUUUAAAUUAUCAUGAUAAUACCCUUAAUUAGAUUUAACUGAUAAAAAGAACACGUGUUAAUAUACAAAAGUGUGUAACGUGAAUGUUACAUUACUGUAUUGCAGAAGACCUAUAGUCUCUUCAUAUCUCUUCCUGCACGUAUCAAUUCGUUUCCUCUAGAUAAUAAUCUCCCAACUCGUUUCUUUACAAAUGCACCUUUUAUGUUUUAUUACCUCCAAAAGCCUUUACAGGGUCUUUACCCUAAAAAUCAAUUCACCGACUCGCAUUUGAUGUCAGAAAUUCUUAAGACGAAUUCUACUUUACUCAAAGAUUGACUGUUAAUAAUGAGACAGCGACCAUUUUGUAUUAUUAGACCGUCCUUCUUGAUAGGUAAAAGAAAUAGAGAGGAAAGUGGGUCCGUAUAUGGUCUUUUAUUCAUAGAUAAUACAACAUUACGCCAUCGAGCAUUCACACAAUAUUUCAAAGUCAUAGCAUGCCUAAGGCCCUGUUUGAUAGCUCAAUUUCGUAAUUAAAUUUAAUAGAUUCAAAUUUUAACACAUUUAAAUCAUUUGAUAACAAAAAAUUGAAUAUUUAAAUUAAUUAAGUAACACUGAACUUUCUAAACAAAACUUGCUUUCAAAAUUAAGUGAUAAGUUAUUCACUUAUCUUUGAAUGUGAUAUGCACUCAAAUAUAUUAAAUUUAAUAAUUUAAUGGAUUCAGAUUUCAGAUUUCAGUUUUAUUACACACCCUAAGUUGCAAAAUAAUACCAAAACUUGUUAUUAUAUAGCUUGAGAUUCAAAAAUUUAGAGCAUAAUUCUCAACCUAACACAAUCGAAUAAUGAAUAUUCACGAUUGUUUCAAAGUACAAUUUGAGGACAACCCAUUCCAACGCGUACACGAUUUUUAACUUUUCUAAAGUUGUUGAGAGCUGUUAAAAGAGAUUUACCAUGUUUACAUCUUCCAAGUCUUGGAAGUGAAAAAUGAAGCCACUGAGUGCUAUAAAAAGGGGGCUAGAGGCUGCCUAGAAGCAUAUCAGCCUAAAACAAGAAUUUGUAGUAACAAUGGGGAGCAAAGCAAAAGCAACGGGGUCUAGGCUGACUCCUCUUCUUACCACUGUUUUAGUGGUAUUUGUCGCCCUUGGCUUGCCCUUGGAAACUGCAGCUGAUUAUUACAAGUAUUCAUCUCCUCCUCCUCCUCCUUACCACUAUUCUUCACCACCACCUCCAGUGUAUUCACCUCCACCAACCCCUGCUUAUAAGUUACCCCCACCAUCUCCUCCAGUUUACAAGUCCUCACCACCACCUUACCACUACUCACCACCUCCGGUGUAUUUACCUCCACCAUCUCCAGUUUACAAGUCACCACCACUACCCCCUCCGGUAUACAACUCCCCGCCUCCACCAGUGUACAAAUACAAGUCCCCACCACCACCUCCUCCAGUUUACAAAUCUCCAUCGCCACCAGUUUACAAAUACAAGUCACUCCCACCACCUCCUCCGGUAUACAAGUCUCCUCCGCCACCUGUUUACGAGUACAAGUCUCCUCCACCACCUCCUCCAGUGUACAAGUCCCCACCACCUCCAGUUUACAAGUACAACUCACCUCCACCUCCUCCCCCAGUUUACCUGUCUCCACCUCCACCCUAUCAUCACUACUACGGUUCUCCUUCUCCUCACCACUACUAAGCAAGUGCAUAAGUUUUGAGGUAAUAAUACCUAUCCAAAACUUUAUCAACACAAACUGCCAUGUAUAUUAUCAUGCUAAGGACGUACACUUGAUCCAUGAAAAUGACUAGUAGAAGAUUUUUUUUAAGAACCAAAGAAAUACAUUAUUUUUUCGGUCUGUUUUCAAGAAUUUGAGCAGUAUACAGAUUAAAGAGUGUUUUUUUUUUUGUAAACUUGCUUGUCAACUUAAAAAUGCACAUAGCUGAAAGCCAACUGAAUAUUUGCAGGCAAAGGAGAAGGCAAUCGGUGUUUGAGACCUUCAAGAAGAUGUAGAAGAAUAAGAAUAAAAGCCCAAUGCGAGGAUGAUUCCAAGUUUCUACGUUACCAUUUCUACAUCUAAAUUGACUUUAGCUCCUGAGUUCCAUGUUUAUGGGGUUUGUACCGUUUUACGUACCAUGCAGUACAUGCUUGCAAGGUUUUCUGUCCUGUUGGCAAACUGCAGGUCCAUAUAAUAAAUGAAUACUAUUUACAUUACGACACUUUUCUCUUUUUCUCUUAUAUUUUGUCUUUAAUAUUGUUGAUCAUUUUUUUUUUAUCAAAAGCAUCAAAUGCUUAGGUAAUUUGGUCUAAUGCUAAUUGUUUUACUUUUAUUUUUCACCUACACCCCUUUUCAACUCAAAGGAUGCUAUAGUUUGUGAUAAUUGUUUAAGACCGAAGCAUGAUACUAAUAAAUAUCUCAUUGAAAGUCAAGGAAACUAACAUUAGGAAAAGUUUAAAUCUUGAUUUGAUGAAACUAUUUAUUCGUGGAAUUUAGAGAUACAAAACUCAAAUUGUGACGGUGUUGUUGCUAAAUUAUUAAGGACAUUAUCACCAUUAUUUUUCCCUGAUCACUAGUUUCAACUGCAAUGAUCUCAAUCUUUUUGUGACUAAUUCUUUCCUUAAUAAUUUAUAAAGACAAAACUCACAAAGAAUAUGUGACUAAUUCUUUCCUUUCGUCUUCUAAAGAAAAUGCCAACUGUUAGUUUAUCAAGGGGAAAAAGGAUCGACAUCAGUUAUUAUUGAAACUAGUAAGGAAUAAAUAAUGGUGAUAAUGUCCUUAAUAAUUUAACAACAGCACCAUCAGAAUUUGACUUUGAGCUUCGGUCUUAAACAAUGAUCACAAACUACAGCAUCCUUUGAGUUGAAAAAGGAAGUAGGUGAAAAGAAAAGUAAAAAAUACAAUUAGCAUUCCCUCAAAUUGUAGAAAGUUAGGUAGCAUUAUAGACAAGUUGAUAGCGGCAAUUUUACAUUUCAAACUUCACCUAUUCAAUAACUAAUUCGAUGGCUUGCUACAUGGUCAAUCUUUGGACCCCUUCCUGCCUCCAGAUAUCCCUUUCCUCAAUCAGGGGCUUCUACAAUUACCAGUUUCAAUUGUAUGGUAUAGUGUAAAUAUCAACAAAUUAGAUGUAGAUGCUAACAUAAUAAAUGUGAAUGCUAAGACAGCAACAUACAAUCGAACCUGCAAUUGUAUGAACCCCAAUCUCGCUUCCUAGUCCACCAUCUUUCUCUAGGUAAUAAUCUCCCUUCUAAUUUAUUCACAAAAUGCACCUUUCAUCACCUCCAAUAGCGUCGACAUGAUCUUUACCCUAGAAGACUAUUCACCGACUCUCAAUUGACGUCAGAAAAUCUAAGAGUAAUUCUACUUUACCCUAAGAUUGAUAUCAACAAGACAAGGACAAUUUAGAAUUAUUACACGCCUCUUCUUAAUAGGAAAAAGAAAUAGAGAAGAAAGUCAGGCCAGGUCUAAUUUCUUUUCAAAGGCAAUACAACAUUACGAAAUCAAGCAUUCAUUCAUACAAAUAUUUCAUAGUCACCGGUUUGCUGAGUAGAAAAAUUUAGACAAAAACUUAAUAUUAUAUUGUUUAAGAGUUAACAAUUUAGAGCUUAAUCUCCUUGUACUUUGGAGUUAACAAUUUAGAGCUUAAUCUCCUUGUACUUUGGACUAAACUUGAACGUGAAAGGAAAUCCCAAAACCAUAUUGGGCAUGAAUUCACACUUAAUAUACCCAAUAAAAGAUGGCGACUGGUGAAAGGCAGUGGAGACUGGUGGAGAGAUUUGAGGAAUAGAAGCAGACGGAAAAGCAACAAAUUUUUGCCGAAAAACGGUCACUUUCAUGGUUAAUUUUGCUACUCUCCAAUUGUACUUGACCAAUUACAACAAUUUCAUGGAGUUUGAUACGUGAAAAGAAUUUUUUAUAAAUUUUAUUUUGAUCCAUAAUGUUAUCUUUACAUAUAUAAAACAUUUUACAAUUUUGAUUUUGGCGCAGCUAACUUUUGGUUAACAAAAAUGCUCAUGUUUAAAAAACCAGAAAUAAAACAAAACAAGAAACAAAAGAAAUAAGAGGGUAGCAUAGACAUUUUGGAUUUUUCCGUUAAUUUGGAUGAUUUCCACCCACGUUCUAAUUUAAUCCAAAACACAAAGGAAUUACGUAGAGGUUUUAAAUAAUGAGGGAGCUUCAUGAUCGAACCCCAAACCACAAGGCGAUUUACUAUAUUUUACUCUUAAAUUUUGGUUUCAUCUCAUAGCAUACAAGAGUUCUAUUUCACUAUCUGUAGACAAAGACUUUCUAUGGUUGAUGUACCAUAGGAAAAAAUCUGCCUAUACAACGUGAUAGCAUUUUUUCAAAAACACAAGAUGGAAAAUUGCCCCUUAAACGGGGAAAUUCAUGAUCUUUCGUCGAACAAAGAAUACUCACGCCUAUUCAAGAUGGAAAAUUGCCCCCUUAAACGUCUAUUUGUCAAUUCUUGAAAAAAGAAUACUCACGCCUAAAACACGGCCUCUUCAUCUGCAGAAUUCUAAAAAGUUAGGUAAACUCUAUAAACAAGUUGAUAGGUACAAUCGUACCCAAGAUCAAGUACAGAUAGUUGUACAUUAACUGCUGCAAUAACUAAUCUGAUGACUUAUAAACAUAUCAUGGUCAAUCGUUGAAUGGUAAUGAGUCUUUUGUUAUGCAUUAGUAUUAGUGUGUACACUCUAAUAGAUUGAUACUUAUACUCUUUAAAUUAUCAUAAUAAUACCCUUAAUUAACUUUAACUCUUAAAAAGAAUACAUGUUAAUACACGAGUGUGUGUAACCUGAAUUGUUACUUAUAAAUUAGUGUGUAAUAGAUAGGGAUGGCAAUGGGGGCGGGUGCCCGCGGGGGGCUCUCGGGGCGGGGGUUGGGGCGGGGGGGAAUUUUUUCCCCCCGUUUAGAAAUGGGGCAGGGGACGGGGGAGUAUACCCCCGCCCCAUCCCCCGCAAAAAAAAAAUUAUAUAUAAUAUGUAAUUUAAUUAGUUAUAAACUUAUGAUAAUGAUAUUAUUAGUUAGAUGUAUUAUAUAAUGUAUAUUAGUGUAUGUAAUAUAAUUAAUAUUAUCAAUUAUAUGAAUAAUUAGACAUGUCUACUAAUAGAAUUUAUGAAUUAGUUAUACUAAAUUUACUAAUACAUUUAUACUAAAUUUCUAAUUACACUUAAUAGAAUAACACUUUUUUCUAAAACAAAAAAGCACAAACACAAUAAUGAAUUAGUGAUUGUAUGAUAGGGUGUAAUUUUACUAUUUAUUUUAUUAUUAAUUUCCCCUAUCACCUGACCUGAUGUGGAUUAAUUGCUGGAUUCUGCUCACUUUUAGUACUUUGUAUUUAUUUCAGGGAGUAGAACGGAAAUUUGAUAACAGGUGCUAAUUUGGCAGAAAAAGAGUCCAGAUGAUAGAGCUUGCCCCAAGGGCAUUUUUGGAAAGGAGAACUUGUGCCCAUCUUGGUAAUUUGGGAGAAAAGGGAAACAGACAAAAUGGGUCUAACAUGGAUUGGAAGCGGCCGCACAGUAGCAGGGAAGAGGGCAGACGUAAAAGCAAUUGCAGGGGGGAAAAGGAGUUUUUUUAGUUUUUAGCUUAGCAUCUGAUUUUCCCUGGGAGACUUUUGUUAAAGAUUUCCUUUUGGCUGAUAUUACGCAUGGCAGAUGGCUUUUAACUUAUUCCUCCAUCUUUGACUUUUCUUCUUUAGCUUGUGGCAGUGGAUUGCUACUUACGAAUGUCAGCACUUAGCCAUUCGUGGCUUUUGAUCUUUUCUUCCUUAGAAAUUCUGAGUAACCUCUUUUCCUUUGUGCGCCAGACGAAGUGAAAACUAUAAACUUUUGUAGUUUUUCUAUUCAUUCAAUAUAUUGAGACGAGUUGGAUUCUACCAAAUUUCAACGGACAUGGCCGCUGGUUUCUCUUCAAUUUUAUAUGGGCUUUGUUCAUCCAACAUGAACUAAUUUCACCACUCUAGUCAAGGAGCAACGAAGGCUCUGAUUUGCCUAAAAAUUGUGAGAUCGUUUUAAUUUAAUCUUUUCCUUUUAUUUAUUGGUAUCCGCACAUUUCUUGAUUGCUAUGCUUAUGGUUAUUUAAUUAAUUGAUUGUCUUGGAUCCAGAUAAUUAAUUGAUCUGAUAGCCUAUUGUCAAUUAGGGCAUUUAAAUCCGUAAUUGUUUAAUUGUCCUGAAAUAGUGACAACUGGCACGAUUAGAUUCGUGCCAGGGGGGAUAUGCGGGCUAAUCUAAAAUAACCCUGGUAGUGUGUUAUUUGGUUAGAAUAGGGCUCCUCUAAUACUAAGGCAAUUGGGGAAUUAAAUUCUACGGGCGUACCUAGGAUUAUUUCUUAAUUAGAGCAGUGAUUAACGGGCGUACCUUGAUCACCGACACAGUAAGGAGGGGUUGACCGUCAUCGCUUGUUUGGCAGUUAUAACCUAUUUAUCAGUAAAUAAUUGGGAUUGCCUUGCAUCAAUGAUCAAUUAGGUGAACCAUUGUUGAAGUUACUUCUUGGUUAGAUCUUUAGUUAAUAUUACCUUGAUUUUGGUGAAUUGCCAUUUGAUUUUUAGUUGCCUACUUUAUUUUAUUUUUAAUUGUUUCCUUGCUUUAAUUGAGUUAGGCCUUUAAUUAUUGUUAUUCUAAGUUUAGUGAAUUGUGGUUUAAUUCCUAAUUAGUUAUUUAUUUUUACUUUCUUAUUUGAAUUUAUUUGCUUGUUAUCAUUCCUACGAAAUCACCCCCCUGUGUUACUUUGGAUUUCUUAAGAAACAAAUAUACCCAAUCCCUGUGGAUACGACCCUACUUGCUCUGUUCACGAAUUCAUAAUUAUUUGUGAAAAGAAAUAACCAUUCCACUCGGGUAUAUCGGAUCAAGCAAAUUCUUCGGGAACAGGGUGAAUCAAGUAACCCAAUGCACACCUAGAGUCCCUGCUCCAGUACUUGGAAUUGGGUUUUGGUCAUUUUAACUGGCAAUUAGGUUUAAUUUUAUUAUUGCACAGGCUGACGACCCUGUCAAUUUUUGGCGCCGUUGCCGGGGACUGGCGUUAUUAUUUGUUUCUUUUUAAAUUCAUUCUUUGUCCUAAUUUUCUGGUUUUCUUCUAGUGUAUGCCUCGAUCUUCUCGUACAGGUAAUUUGAUUUUUGACCCUGAGGUAGAGAAGACCGCAUGUAGAACGAGAAAGGAAACCAGACAGCUCAGAGAAGAGCACUCCAGUGCUACAUCUCAGAGACCCGAGUCAGAAGUUGAACUAACAGAUUCGUUUGGUAACACUUCGAGUGACUCUGACCAGGAGGAAGACACCAUGGCUAAUGCACGAACAUUAAGGGAGUUGGCUGCUCCUGAUUUAACUCAGCAGCCUUUAUGCAUUACUUUCCCCACUUUAAAUGAUAACAUUCCAUUUGAACUAAAAUCUGGUCUGAUUCAGCUUUUACCCUCUUUUCAUGGUUUACCAGGUGAAGAGCCGUAUAAGCAUCUGCAGGAGUUUGAUGUCGUGUGUAAUAGUAUGAAACCCUCGGGAAUCACAGAAGAGCAGAUAAAAAUGAGGGCAUUCCUCUUCUCCUUGAAAGAUUCUGCGAAGGACUGGCUGUACUACCUGUCACCAGGUAGCAUCACCACGUGGGACCAAUUGAAGAAAAAAUUUUUGGAUAAAUAUUUUCCUGCGUCCAGGGCUGCAAGUCUAAGGAAAGAAAUUUGUGGGAUCAAGCAGCAUCCAGGGAAGUCACUUUAUGAGUAUUGGGAACGGUAUAAGAACUUGUUGCGCAGGUGCCCCCAACACCAAAUAAGUGAGCAAUUGAUCAUACAGUAUUUUUAUGAGGGGCUCCUUUUUAGAGACAGGAGCAUCAUUGAUGCCAGGGGGGAGGGUUGGGAUGGGUGGUACGGGGGGAGGGAGUGUAAGCAAGAGGUCUCGGGUUCGAGUCCUCCCGCUUACACACAAAAAAAAAGAUGCUGCAAGUGGAGGGGCACUGGUAAACAAAACCCCUCAGGAAGCACGGGAGUUAAUAGAGGGGAUGGCAGAGAAUUCACAACAAUUCAGUACAAGAGAGGAUGUCCCAAUACGUAAGGUGAAUGAGGUAGAGACACCCUCUAUGCAGCAGCAGCUAACUGAGUUGACCGCGUUUGUUAGGCAACUGGCUGUGAGAAAUGCAUCACAAGCCAGGGUGUGCGGGAUUUGCACUGGUAUGGGUCAUUCUGCAGACAUGUGCCCAAUGAUUCAGGAAGAAACUGCAGAACAGGUGAACAUGGCUGACCACGCGCCCGCGCCAAGGAAGCAGUACGACCCUUACUCAAGCACCUACAACCCCGGGUGGAGAGAUCAUCCCAACCUCAGUUAUGGAGAAAAUAGGCAGCCCAACAUUACACCGAACAGGCAGUCUAACUUUGUGCCAAAUAGGCCACCAGGGUACCAGCAGCAAUAUCAACCCCGACCACCUCCGUCCCCAAGCUCUGGCCCAUCUUUGGAGGAGAUGAUGAAACAAAUGAUGACAACUAUGGCUCAAAAUCAGCAAAUGACGGAGGCAACCAUUAUGCAAAAUCAGCAAAGGACGGACUCCGAAAUGAAGGAUAUAAGGAAUCAGAUAAGUCAAAUGGUCACAACAAUCAACCGUUUGGAUUCCCAGAACCAAGGUAAAUUGCCAUUUCAGCCCGAAUUAAAUUCGAAGAACGUGAGCGCAAUGACCCUAAGGAGCGGGAAAGAAAUUCAGGGGUCUGAACCUGUGAUCCCUAAGGAUAAGGAUGAGGAAAAGAUCGAAAAUGAGCUUGAAAGGGAGGACAGCAAUGGUGCAGAUCUAAAGGUACUUCCUGACCCAAUAAUUACAGCUAAAACUAACCCGCCUCCUUUUCCUAGCAGGUUGGAAAAAUCGAAAAAAGAGGAUAAGGAGAAGGAGAUCUUGGAGGUUUUUCGCAAGGUUGAGAUAAAUAUCCCCCUCUUAGACGCAAUCAGACAAGUACCAAAAUAUGCCAAGUUCCUAAGGGACUUGUGUGUCAACCGAAGGCAGUUGAGGGAAGAUGAACGGGUUAUUGUUGGGGAGAAUGUGUCAGCAGUCCUGCAGAGAAAGCUCCCACCAAAGUGCGGGGACCCAGGUAUGUUUACUAUUCCCUGUAGGAUAGGUAAUACUGUGAUAGAAGGGCCAUGUUGGAUCUGGGAGCAUCAAUUAAUCUCAUACCUAAAUCUAUCUAUGCUUCUCUAAAAUUAGGUCCAUUAAAAGAAACUGGAAUAAUCAUUCAAUUAGUUGACCGAACUAAUGCAUAUCCUGAUGGGUUGGUUGAAGAUGUGUUGGUAAAAGUUAAUGAUUUGAUGUUUCCAGCUGAUUUUUAUGUACUUGAUAUGGAUGAUGAUCACUCCCCUGAUCCCUCACCUCUGUUAUUGGGUAGACCCUUUAUGAGCACAGCACAGACGAAAAUUGAUGUUAAUAAGGGUAUCUUGUUCAUGGAGUUUGAUGGGAAAAUUGUGCAUUUCAAUAUCUUUGAUACUAUGAAAUAUCCCUCAAACUCCAACUUUAGCACAGUUUUCUCUGUGAGUGCUAUUGACCCUGUAGUGCAGGAAGUGUUUGAAACUGAUGGCAGGGAUGAGUUGGAGGUGGCUUUGACCAAGCACCUCGAGUUGGAGACAACUCCUGAGGUGGAAUGGAGCGAGGACCUAAAAUGCACAAUAGGUGCAUUACACUCAUUGCAGUCCACCACGAAAAGGUAUGAAGUCUUACCUAUUUUUACUCCCGAACCUCACCAGAGGGUGUUGCCAUCUGUGGUGCAGGCACCUGUACUAGAAUUUAAACCUCUAUCAGAGCACCUGAAAUAUGCAUAUCUGGGUGAUAAUGAGACACUCCCGGUGAUUAUCUCAUCGACACUGUCAAAAAUCCAGGAGGAGAAACUGAUCCGGGUCCUUAGAGAGCAUAAAGAGGCGAUAGGUUGGACAAUCGCAGAUAUUAAGGGGAUCAGCUCGGCCAUCUGUAUGCACCGGAUUAGACUAGAAGAGGAUGCCAAACCUGUUAGGCAGGCUCAAAGGAGGCUCAACCCCCUAAUGAUGGAAGUUGUAAAGAAAGAAAUUUUAAAAUUGCUAGAUGUGGGGAUUAUUUUUGCAAUAUCAGAUAGCCCUUGGGUAAGCCCGAUCCAGGUAGUCCCAAAGAAGGCAGGGGUGACGGUGGAGGCAAACCAAACGGGUGAGCUCGUGCCAGUGCGCAAACCCACUGGAUGGAGGCAGUGUAUAGACUACCGUAGGCUAAACGCCGUCACCAAAAAGGACCAUUUCCCUCUCCCUUUCAUUGACCAAAUGGUUGAACGUUUAGCUUGUAGAGCUUAUUAUUGCUUUUUGGAUGGAUUUUCAGGAUACUUUCAGAUAGCAAUUGCUCCAGAGGAUCAAGAGAAGACAACCUUCACGUGCCCGUUCGGGACCUUUGCUUAUAGACGAAUGCCAUUUGCGUUGUGCAAUGCACCUGCAACAUUCCAGAGGUGUAUGGUAAGUAUUUUUUCUGAAUAUGUGGAGAAAAUUAUUGAAGUUUUCAUGGACGAUUUCAGUGUGUAUGGUGAUAGUUUUGAUACGUGUUUAGAUAAUCUGAAAUUGAUCCUGAUAAGGUGUAUAGAGACUAAUCUUGUGCUUAAUUGGGAAAAAUGUCAUUUUAUGGUUGAGCACGGGAUAGUCCUGGGUCAUAUUGUAUCGUCUAAGGGCAUAGAAGUUGACAAGGCUAAAAUAGAUAUUAUUUUUGCAUUACCUUACCUCGCGAGUGUGCGGAAGGUGCGUUCUUUUCUUGGACAUGCAGGUUUUUAUCGAAUGUUCAUCAAGGAUUUUUCAAAAAUUGGAGCCCCGUUAUUCCAACUCCUACAAAAGGAUGUGACCUUCGAAUUCGAUGAUAAGUGUGAGGAAGCCUUCAACAAGUUGAAAGAAUUGUUGACCUCACCCCCAAUUAUCCAGCCCCCUGAUUGGAGUCUACCAUUUGAGAUCAUGUGCGAUGCCAGUGAUCAUGCCGUAGGGGCUGUAUUGGGGCAAAGAGUAGGGAAGGCAGCUCACGUCAUCUACUAUGCAUCCCGAGCAUUGAAUGGAGCCCAAUUGAAUUACUCCACUACUGAAAAGAAGCUUCUUGCAGUUAUUUUUGCUUUAGAAAAAUUCAGGUCAUAUUUGCUAGGUGCUAAAGUAAUUGUAUUUUCUGACCAUGCAGCAUUAAGGUACCUAAUGACCAAGAAAGAUGCCAAACUGAGGCUCAUUAGGUGGAUAUUGCUACUGCAGGAAUUUGACCUGGAGAUACGGGAUAAAAGGGGCUCAGAGAAUUUAGUAGCUGACCAUCUGAGUCGUAUACCCGUUGGAGAGGAUAAUGAACCAUUGAGGGAUGCGUUCCCUGAAGAGCACUUAUUUUCUUUAAAUUCUCAGUUGCCUUUGUAUGCCGAUCUGGUCAAUUAUUUGGUAACUGGUAAUUUUCCUGCAGGUUGACCAAAAUCGAAGAGGGAUAAAUUGAAGAGCGACGCCAAGUAUUUUAUUUGGGACGACCCGUACCUAUGGAAGAGGUGUGCAGAUCAAGUGAUGCGGAGAUGUGUAAGUGAAAUGGAAUUUCAAUCGAUUUUAGCUUUUUGUCAUACUUUUGCCUGUGGAGGUCAUUUGGACCCAAGAGAACUGCUCAUAAGGUUUUAGAAAGUGGAUUUUAUUGGCCUUCAUUGUUUAAGGAUGCCUAUGUGUUUUGUAAGUCAUGUGAUCGCUGUCAAAGGGUAGGUAAUAUACCCCGUAGAGAUCAAAUGCCCCAAGUCCCGUUGAUUUUUAUUGAAAUUUUUGAUGUCUGGGGUAUAGAUUUCAUGGGGUCUUUUCCUACUUCAUUUGGUUUUUUAUAUAUUUUGCUGGCAGUUGAUUAUGUGUCUAAAUGGGUGGAGGCUAAGGCCACUCGAACUAAUGACUCGAAAGUAGUUGCAAAUUUUGUCAGGUCUAAUAUUUUUGUGCGAUUUGGAAUGCCUAGUGCUAUUGUCAGUGAUAGGGGAACGCACUUUUGCAACAAAAUCAUAGCUGCGUUGUUUCGCAAGUAUGGUGUACUCCAAUGGGUCUCAACGUCGUACCACCCUCAGACCAAUGGUCAAGCGGAGGUGUCGAAUCGAGAGAUCAAGUCUAUCUUGGAGAAAAUGGUGCGCCCCGAUAGGAAAGACUCGAGUCAAAGGCUGGAGGACGCACUUUGGGCCUAUCGGACGGCGUACAAGACUCCUAUAGGGAUGUCACCGUACAGGUUGGUAUUUGGGAAGCCGUGUCACCUUCCAGUGGAGUUUGAGCACAAAGCUUUUUGGGCGAUAAAGUAAUGCAACAUGAAUUUAGAGGAAGCCGGUGCCCAACGAAAGUUGGAUUUGCAAGAAUUAGAAGAGAUCCGGAACGAGGCUUACGAAAAUGCACUAAUUUAUAAGGAGAGAAGCCGGAUAUUUCAUGAUCAACAAAUUUCAAGAAAAUCCUUUGAAGUUGGUCAGAAGGUCCUACUAUACCAAUCCAGGCUCAAGCUAUUCCCAGGUAAACUACGUUCCCGUUGGAUUGGACCUUUUCUUGUUACUCAUGUUUUUCCAUAUGGUGCAGUUGAAAUCCGGAGCGCUAAAACAGACAACAAAUUUGUGGUGAAUGGACACCGUCUCAAGCAUUACUACGAAGGAUUUUCAGGUGAAAAGGUGGAGACAAUAAGUCUAGACGCGCCACCGUGUCCUAAUCAGUGACAUUUUACUAUGUCUAGCCAAAGACAUUAAAGACAGGCGCUCAUUGGGAGGCAACCCAAUUGUCCCUUUUAAUUAUUUGUUUGAUUUCGUGUGAUAGUUUAAAUAUGUUUUCCUUGAAUUCGACUGAUUUUGGGUUUCAGUUUUCGUUUUUGCUGAAUUGUAGGUGACCUUCAGUCUUGACGCGCCCGCGUGAUGACAUGCAGGAAGCUCACGAUCAGAAUCGUCUGAAAGCUCUCUUGCCCUUUUGACGCACCCGCGUGAUGACGUGCAGGAAGCUCACGAUCAGAAUCGUCUGAAAGCUCUCUUGCCCUCUUGACGUGCCCGCGUCACGUUCGCAGGAAAGGUACGGGUUUCAAAAAUUUAAAGAAAAAAUAAUAAUAAUAAUAAUUUAAAAUUUUGAAAUUAACUUCCGUAAAAAAAAAAAAGAAGAAAAAAAAUUUCACCGUGGCUUAAAUAGAGCCUAAAGAAGAGAAAAAAGAAACAAUUUCUUUCUUUUUUUUUUCUUUUUCUUCUUUCUUCCUUCUUUCUUUCUUUCUUCUUUCUCUUUUCCCUCUCUCUUCUCCCCUGUUUCUUCUCCCCUGUCCGUCGCCCGUGCGCCCCAUCGCUGCUCCACCUCCACACGCACGCCGACGCUGCGAGCCACCUGCGACCCCAGCGCCAGAUCUGGACCAUCGCCGAAACCCGCAGCCUCCGCCACCUCCACCUGAGCUCUGCCUCGCGCGCAACCCAGCUGCUCUGCGCCCGAAGCUCCACCGCCGCCACAGCCUCCCCACGCAGCUCCCUGCUCACGCGGCCACAAGCCCAUUGGAAACGGGACAGAGACUGCCGCCGAGCCACUUGCCCGCGUGACCGCCGCUGUUUUCCACCACCUCCCUCACGCGAGCUCUUUCCCUCUCAGCAGCAAUCCACUUCACAGCGCACCCGCUGCGCGCCGUCGCAGCCCUCGCAGCUCCAGCCCGUCUGGUCUAGUCCGCCGCGCGCACCAACCACCCACGGACGCUACCCCCAUCGCUAACCCACGCGGCCUCCACUCCAGUCUGUCCGCCGCCGCUGCUCGUGUCUCCCUUGCGCACCUCACGCCACCCGCUACUGUCCCCUUCCGUUUGGUUAGCAUCCACGGUGGAGGUAAUUGGAGGUUAUUUUCUCAAUUGUGUGACUUCCGCCUGUGAUACUGGUUGCAUUAUUUUUGCUGGGAAUUGCUACUUCUUUUGGGUUGGGUUCAACUGUGCAAUUAAUUGGCCAACUGGAGCCAUUUGUUGGGAUUUUGGGUGAGCUGAAAUACUGCAUUUGUGUGUUACAUUGGGAGGUUUAUUGGGUACAUUCUAACCGCUGUUUUCCAUUGUUACUCUCGCUGGGGUGUCUAUUAAAUUGCGAUUGAAGUAUUUUGGAUAUUGCAUGUUGAGAUUGAGGUUUCAUUGAAUUUGGCCUACGUUCUGCCCCCAGUGGUACUGGUGGGAAUAUUUUCAAUUGAAUUUGUUACCUCUAGUUGGUUGGCUACAUUAUUAUGGUCGAAUUCCUAAGUUGUCGUCAUUGCAUUUGUUGAUCUUGAUUUGGGGCAUUAACCGGCCAACUGGAGCCAUCUGUGCGUUUUUAGGCGCUAUUAUUGGUUUCUUCUCCCUUAACUUUGUCAACUAUAUUUGGUUGGGUAUUUGGUUGACUGCCACGGACUUGUAACUGUGUUUUGCUUCUAAUUGACCAGUUGCACAGCAGUUUUUUUUUAAUUGAUAGGGUGGUUAUACCUCUGGAUAUUUGUAUCCACUGGUUUGAGGACAUGGUGAGACCAAAAUCCUCCUCUAGGUCUAGGACCCCUAGAACCUCGCAAUCCCAACCCCAAGCCUCUACUCUAGUCAAUACCCCUAUAAAUCAACCUACUGCUCCCGGUGUCCGAACCUGGUUAGGUAGGGGUAGAGGUGCCCACGUGGCUUCCGCCACUCACUUGGGAGGGCAUUUGGAAUUCACUAGAGCCGCCGAUCAGCGACGCUAUGCUCAAGCUUGUGAGCGGCGUAUCAUUCCGUGCAAAUGCGCGGACCACAUUACUAUGGUUUUUCUGGGGAUCCAAGGGGAGGUUGAGCGCAUGUACACCGCCAUUGGAUGGCGCCCCUAUCUGGAUAUUUUCCAGCCAGCCUUUGUCGAGUUGACUAGAGAGUUUUACACCACUUUUAAGUUUGAAUUACCGACUAGGUAUACUGUUGCGACUCCCGAUAUCAUUCACUUCCGUCUCAUGGGCCAGGAAUUCAAUUUCUCUAUCACCCAGUUCAAUCUGGCUUUCGGUUUCAUCACUCGGGAGUAUGCAGAGACUAGGGAAUACGGUGAGAGUGCCUGCGAUUUUGUGGAACCUUUCCUUACCGCCUACCGUGAGGUGUGGGAGGACAUGUCUGUGGACAUGCAGCGUUACGAUCCCUCUCGGUCUCGGAGCUCCUUUCUAGAGGACCCGAGUGCUCGGUAUGUUCAGCGGCUUUUAGCAUAUAGCUACUCGGGCAGAAAGAACAGCUUCGGUAUUAUCUCUCGGCCGGAGCUCUUCUUCCUUUGGUGUAUGAAGAAUGGGUUCAAGGUCAAUUUGGGUUGUUGGUUGGCGGCACAGUUCAAGACCGUCAUGGCAAAGAAGAACAAGCCGUUGAUUCUUGGGUCGUAUAUCACGUACUUGGCGGUCCAGCUAGGCGUUCUGAAUCUACAGGAUCACGAUUUGCACUUGGCCUGCGACAUGGAGUAUCUCACUGCUGACCGGCUAGAGAAGAUGGGGGUUCUGGAGCUUGUCGAUGGCCACUACCGAUUUGUGCCCCCGGGACCGCCCCGCGCCCCGCCUCGCUCUUCCUCCACCCAUUCGGCCCCAGUUGGCGGUGAUCCUGGCCCGUCGACAUCCGCUCAGCUCCCUCCACCAGCAGGGGCUGAAGAUUGGCACCAAAUCAGGACGCAGAUUCAGAAUUUGGACGCCCGGAUGAUUAGCAUCGAGAGCAACGUGGCGGCUAUAUCACAGAAUCUGGCGGCAUUCCUGCAGCACUCGGGUUUCCCGCCCCCAAUCCCACCUCACCCUCCACUAUGACCCGGUUUCAGGGAAGUUUGGUUACUUUCUCCCUCACUUUUGUUGUUUUUUGACACAUUGAGGACAAUGUGUCCUAUAGGUGUGGGGGGGUCUAUAGUCUUUCUAGUUUUUAGUAGUUGUUAGUUUUUAGUUUUUUAGUAGUUUUAGUUUUAUUUCUAGUUGCGUAUUUUCUUUCUUUUCUUAGUGCUUAUUCCCCAUGUGAAAAGAAAAAGAAAACAAAAAAAAAGAGAAAAAAAUGUUGGUUUAUUGACUCUAACUCUACUUUUGCCAAGUUUUUUUUAAAUAAAAAUGUAUCGGGUUAAUGUGGUUGGAUCCAGAAUAUCUCCCUGGUGAAUAUCGGAUUGCUUGGCUCUUUUGAUUUCUGUGUUAAUUUCUCUAGGCAUAGGGAAUGACUGUUGGCAUUUUAAUGUGAACUGGUCCAAUAUUGACUCCAGUUCUCUAUGUUUGGCAAUAAUGAGGCGAGCUGUUCCUAUUUUUGGUUCUUAGUGUUGUUAUUAUGUGUUUUUGGCUUUGUUUGGCUGUGAAUAAUCUGGACUGUACUCCGCUAUGAGUUACUACUGAGUAACCGAGGAUCGGCACCUAAAAGUGUCGAUUCUCGCGUCAAAAGGUGGUACUUUAUAUGAGUACGUGGUCGUAUAGCAGUAGGAGCUGAGUAACCGGGCUCCUUCAUCUAAAAAUGUUGGAGUUCGCGUCAAAAGGCCCCGACGGCUAACGACUAAGUCUUUUUGUGUUAAUUAUUAUUGCUUUGAAAAACAAAAAAAAAAAAGAACGAAAAAAGAGAGAAUAAAUAAUAGGAAGGCUUGCCGGUUUAUGGACUUAAUAUGGAGACUUGUGUGAAUAUUUGGACCAUUAGCUAAUAAAUGUUGUGCGCCAUUCCCUUUUCUUAGAGUAGUUAACCUGGAAAUUGAAGGAAUUUGCAGUUUAGGGGCUAACCGGGGGGGAGGCUUCUUGGAUUUUAAUCACCAAUGCUCGAUAUAUGUUUUUCUCUUGAAGAUCUUGGCAAUAUAGGAGAUUGGACAAUGGCCAUCAUCGAAUUUUGGUGUUCGUUUACUAUUCUUAUGCUUGAGGACAAGCAUGGUUUAGGUGUAGGGGGAAUUGAUAGGGUGUAAUUUUACUAUUUAUUUUAUUAUUAAUUUCUCCUAUCACCUGACCUGAUGUGGAUUAAUUGCUGGAUUCUGCUCACUUUUAGUACUUUGUAUUUAUUUCAGGGAGUAGAACGGAAAUUUGAUAACAGGUGCUAAUUUGGCAGAAAAAAGUCCAGAUGAUAGAGCUUGCCCCAAGGGCAUUUUUGGAAAGGAGAACUUGUGCCCAUCUUGGUAAUUUGGGAGAAAAGGGAAACAGACAAAAUGGGUCUAACAUGGAUUGGAAGCGGCCGCACAGUAGCAGGGAAGAGGGCAGACGUAAAAGCAAUUGCAGGGGGGAAAAGGAGUUUUUUUAGUUUUUAGCUUAGCAUCUGAUUUUCCCUGGGAGACUUUUGUUAAAGAUUUCCUUUUGGCUGAUAUUACGCAUGGCAGAUGGCUUUUAACUUAUUCCUCCAUCUUUGACUUUUCUUCUUUAGCUUGUAGUAGUGGAUUGCUACUUACGAAUGUCAGCACUUAGCCAUUCGUGGCUUUUGAUCUUUUCUUCCUUAGAAAUUCUGAGUAGCCUCUUUUCCUUUGUGCGCCAGACGAAGUGAAAACUAUAAACUUUUGUAGUGUUUCUAUUCAUUCAAUAUAUUGAGACGAGUUGGAUUCUACCAAAUUUCAAUGGACAUGGCCGCUGGUUUCUCUUCAAUUUUAUAUGGGCUUUGUUCAUCGAACAUGAACUAAUUUCACCACUCUAGUCAAGGAACAACGAAGACUCUGGUUCGCCUAAAAAUUGUGAGAUCGUUUUAAUUUAAUCUUUUCCUUUUAUUUAUUGGUAUCCGCACAUUUCUUGAUUGCUAUGCUUAUGGUUAUUUAAUUAAUUGAUUGUCUUGGAUCCAGAUAAUUAAUUGAUCUGAUAGCCUAUUGUCAAUUAGGGCAUUUAAAUCCGUAAUUGUUUAAUUGUCCUGAAAUAGUGACAACUGGCACGAUUAGAUUCGUGCCAGGGGGGAUAUGCGGGCUAAUCUAAAAUAACCCUGGUAGUGUGUUAUUUGGUUAGAAUAGGGCUCCUCUAAUAUGUAAGGCAAUUGGGGAAUUAAAUUCUACGGGCGUACCUAGAAUUAUUUCUUAAUUAGAGUAGUGAUUAACGGGCGUACCUUGAUCACCGACACAGUAAGGAGGGGUUGACUGCCAUCGCUUGUUUGGCAGUUAUAACAUAUUUAUCAGUAAAUAAUUGGGAUUGCCUUGCAUCAAUGAUCAAUUAGAUGAACUAUUGCUGAAGUUACUUCUUGGCUAGAUCUUUAGUUAAUAUUACCUUGAUUUUGGUGAAUUGCCAUUUGAUUUUUAGUUGCCUACUUUAUUUUAUUUUUAAUUGUUUCCUUGCUUUAAUUGAGUUAGGCCUUUAAUUAUUGUUAUUCUAAGUUUAGUGAAUUGUGGUUUAAUUCCUAAUUAGUUAUUUAUUUUUACUUUCUUAUUUGAAUUUAUUUGCUUGUUAUCAUUCCUACGAAAUCACCCCCCUGUGUUACUUUGGAUUUCUUAAGAAACAAAUAUACCCAGUCCCUGUGGAUACGACCCUACUUGCCCUGUCCACGAAUUCAUAAUUAUUUGUGAAAAGAAAUAACCAUUCCACUCGGGUAUAUCGGAUCAAGCAAACUCUUCGGGAACAGGGUGAAUCAAGUAACCCAUUGCACACCUAAAAUCCCUGCUCCAGUACUUGGAAUUGGGUUUUGGUCAUUUUAACUGGCAAUUAAGUUUAAUUUUAUUAUUGCACAGGCUGACGACCCUGUCAUUGUAUUUGUACCAAAAGUGAAAACUUAACUAUUUUAGUUGUAUUUAUUUCAUCAUGUUGGAUUGUAUUCAAAUAAUUUUUGUUUGAUUGUUUUUAUAAGUUUCAAUUGUAAAAUUAAAAUGAAUAAUAACUUGAUGAUGUGUUGAUAUUUUAGUACUUGAUUAUUUAUUAAAAUUUAAUUAUAAUAAAAUUUUAUUAACUCAACGAGAAAAAUUUUAUUAAUCCCGUGGGGGCACCCGCGGGGAAAGCGGGGCGGGGCGAGGGGAGUGGGAGGCGGAGGACGGGGCGGGGGCGGGGGAUGGGGGAGGGGUCCCCCGCCCCAACCCCGCCAUCCCCCGUCCCGUUGUCAUCCCUAGUAAUAGACUGGCAAGCAUUGUGGUGGUCAUUGAGCAACUUAUAGGAGAAAUAGUCCUAUAAGCUGUUCAAUGACCAAUCACAACUUGCUAAUUGGAUGACUAAUAUAGCUCUAGCUGUAAUGUUUUAAUUAAAUUACAUCACUAACGUUGGGAUGACUUUUUAACCAAAAAAAAAAAGCCUUAGUUCAAGCUUUUCCCUUUAUUGUGCAUUUUUUAAAGCAUUUGAAAGGCACUGCAAAUCUGUCAUUUUGGACAUUUUAUUAUUGACUAACAAUGAAAGCCGUGGACGUCUACCCAUAACCAACACAAGAUUAAAUUAAUAUUAGAAAAAAUAAUUGAGUAAUUGGAAAAAAAAAAAAAAGAAGAGUCUAAUUUUCAUUGAAACCCACCGACAAACUAUACGUGUCCAUGGCUUUUGAAUAGUGCAUUCAACGUUUAAUUGUAUGGUCCAGUUCAUUGCAGAUUACAUGGAGUAAAGAUUGCGCUCUUUCCUUUUCACCCCUUUUGGAAUCGAUACUGUGGAGAAUUGGGUUUUUCCCUCCUUUUUUUCUUUUCUUUCCUUCUGUGGUUUGCAAAACAUACGUAAAAAUAUGAAAUCCGAAGCAUUCUUUAAUUGGUAUUAAGUAUUGUUGUUGAAAUUAAAAAGAAAAAAGAAAGAACAACAAAAUUCCCAAUCUGGGUUGAUUGUUGAGCUCUAGAUUGGUUGCAUCGUGCUUCCAUAGAAGCAAGAUUUGUAAAAUCGGAAUCCUACAUAGGAUCGAUUUUAGUUUCACAGGAUCGGAUUGUAAAAUCGUAAGAUCCUACCAAAAGCUCUCAAUUGCAAUUAAAGGUUGCAAUUCUUUAAUAAAUUACAAAUAUACCACAAAUAUUUUCAUUUACUUGCAAAAUGGAGCUUCGUAUUUCACAAAUUUACAAAAAAAUUGUAGGAUCGUACGAUCCUACCGAUCCUACGAUCCUACACGAUCCUACCGAUCCUGCUACGAUUCUAUGCGAUCCUACAAAGAUUAAUAUGAUUUGCGACUCUGCAUACGAUCCGGAUCGAUUUUGGUUAUCCGGAUCGUAGGAUCGUAUGAUCCUACGAUCCGGAUCGCGAUUUUGACAACUAUGCAUAGAAGCUCUCUUAGUGUGAUACACUGCUUUCAAUCAGUUUAACACGGGAAAAAAAAAAAGAGAUGAAAAGCAAAUUUGGUGGAGAUAAUUUCAGAAACCUCCCCUGAAGAUUUUGACUAUUCUACUGGUUUCCCUUCAGAUUUUAAAAAUUACACUAAUCUUCCUUGAAGUUAAUUAUCUUGUAACAUUUAAAUUCAAUCAAUAAUUUAAAAAAUGAUAUUAUGAGAGAGAAAAUAAUAUGAUUUUAUCAUUGCCCCCCAUCUUACUACAUUAUUUAAUUAAUUUAAUAGCAACCCACACAUUAAAGAAAAAUAUUAAAAUUUGUUGUUUAUCAUUAAAGAUCAAAUCGCUUAUAACAUCAAAUAAUAGUAUAUUAUUUAUAUUUUUCACUUAAUAUAAUAUCCAAAUUACUCUUUUCAAUUACAUACCCAUUGUUAGAGAAUCAACAACAAAUAACCAAAAAAUUUGCAACCAAAAUAUUACAAAAAAAAUAAACUUUAACAUCAUAAAUAUUCUUAUCAACAUAUUAAAGUUAGUUACUGAAAUUUUUAUGCUGUUAAACUUCACUCUUUUUGAAUACAGAUUUUUUUGAUUAUUUGUUAUUAAUUAUGUUUGAUGAUGGGUUUAUAAUUGAAAAGAACAAUUUGAAACUUACAUUAAGUAAAAUAUAUAGAGUGAUAUACUAUUUUUUAUAACAUAUGUGAUUCAAUCCUUCUUGAUAGGAUUGGUAAUAGAGGUAGAGGGGGGAGUCGGCUGCAUCCGGUCUUCUUUUCAUAGAUAGUACAAUAUUGCGAAAUCAAUCGCAUUCACACAAUAAUAUUUCGAAGUCAAUGCAUGGCUAAGUUGCAUAAAAGUACGAACACUUGUUAUUAUAUAGCUUAAGAUUCAAAACUUUCGAGCAUAACCCUCCACCCAACACAAUUGAAUAAUGAAUAUUCACGAUUGUCAAAUCUGUCAAAGCACAGUUUGAGGACAACCCAUUCCAACCUGCAAAAGAUUUUUUACUUUUCUAAAGUUGUUGAGAGCUGUAAAAAGACUUACCAUGCUUGCAUCCUCCGAGCCUUGGGAGUUAAAAAUGAAGGCACUGAGUGCUAUAAAAAGGGGAAUAGAGGCUGCCUAGAAGCAUAUCAGCCUAAAACAAGAAUUUGUAGUUAAGAUGGGAAGCAAAGCAAAAGCAAUGGGGUCUGGGCUGACUCCUCUUCUUGCCACUGUUUUAGUGGUGUUUGUUGCUCUUGGCUUGCCCUCACAAACUGCAGCUGAUGAUCACUACAAGUAUUCAUCUCCUCCUCCUCCUUACCACUAUCCCUCACCACCACCACCAGUGCAUAUACCUCCACCUCAUCCUGUUUACAAGUACAAAUCUCCACCACCCCCACCACCACACCCAGUUUACAAGUAUAAGUCACCACCACCACCUCCUCAUCCGGUAUACAAGUAUAAGUCUCCUCCGCCACCACCACACCCAGUUUACAAGUACAAGUCACCACCACCACCUCCUCAUCCGGUACCACACCCAGUUUACAAGUAUAAGUCACCUCCACCACCUCCUCAUCCGGUACCCACAGUUUACAAGUAUAAGUCACCACCACCACCUCCUCAUCCGGUAUACAAGUAUAAGUCUCCUCCGCCACCACCACACCCAGUUUACAAGUAUAAGUCACCACCACCACCUCCUCAUCCGGUGCCACACCCAGUUUACCACUACAAGUCACCACCACCACCUCCUCAUCCGGUACCACACCCAGUUUACCACUACAAGUCACCACCACCUCCUCACCCAGUUUACAAAUACGAGUCUCCACCACCACCAGUUUAUAAGUACAAGUCACCACCACCUCCUCCACCAGUUUACAAGUAUAAAUCUCCUCCACCACCACCACCAGUUUACCACUACAAGUCUCCACCACCUCCUCCCCCAGUUUACAAAUACAAGUCUCCACCACCUCCUCACCACUACUAAGCAAUUGCUUCUGAGGUAAUAACACUUGUUCAAUAUACCCACUUCUGCAUGAUAAAGCAUAUCUCUAUCAACACAAACUGUCAUGUCUAUCAUGCUAAGUGCCUUCACUUCAUCCACCAAAAUGACUGCUAGAAAAUUUUUUUUAUGUUACCAAAGAAAGGCAUCAUUUUUUCCCUCUGUUAUCAAGAACUUGUACAGUAUAUAGAUUAAAGAGUAUUUUUUUAACUAGCUUAUCAACUGAGAAAUGCAUAUAGCUGAUAGCCAGCUGAAUAUUUGCAGGCAAAGGAGAAGGAAACCAUGUUUGAGACCUUCUUGAAGAUGUAGAAGCAUAAGAAUAAAAGCCCAAUGUGAAGAUGAUGAUUUCAAGUUUUUCUACGUUACCAUUUCUUUAUCUAAAUUGGUUGUAGCGCCCAAGUUCCUUUGUUUAUGGGAUUUGUAUCGUUUUACGUACCAUGCAGUACAUGUCAUGUUUGUAAGGUUUUCUAUCCUGCCGGCAAACCGCAGGUUCCAUGUGAUAAAUGAAUACUAUUUAUGUUACGACACUUUUCUCUGUUUCUCUUAUAUUUUGUCUUUAAUAUUCUUAAUCAUAUUUUUAACAAAAAUAUUCAAACACUUAGGCAAUCUGGUCUAAUGCUAAUUGUAUGUUUUACUUUUCUUUUUCACCUGCUCCCCUUUUCAACUCAAAAGGAUGCAAUAGUUUGUGAUCACUGUUUAAGACGGAAGCAUGAUACUAAUGAAUAUCUCAUUGAAACUCAAGGAAACUAACAUUGCGAAAAGUGUAAAUCUUGAUUUGAUGCAACUAUUUAUUCGUGGAAUCUAUAGUUACAAAACUCAAAUUCUGACUGCGCCAUUGAUAAAUUAUUAAUGACGCUAUCAUCAUUAUUUAUCCCUAACUAGUUUCGACUACAACUGAACCCAAUAUUUUCCCCAUGAUAAAAGUUUUUGACUAUUUUACUGGCCUCUCUUCAAAUUUUAAAAAUUACACUAAUCUUCAUUGAGAUUAAUUAUCUUGUAACAUUUAAGUCCAAUUAAUAAUUAAAAAAUGAUAUUAUGAGAGAGAAAAUAAUAUAAUUUUAUCAUUGCCCCCCAUCUUGCUAUAUUAUUUAAUUAAUUUAAUAGCAACCCACACAUUAAAGAAAAAUACUAAAAUUUGCUGCUUUUCAUUAAAGAUCAAAUUGCAUAUGCCAUAAAACAUAGUAUAUCAUUCUAUAUGUUUCACUUAAUGUAAGAUCCCAAUUGUUCUUUUCAAUUACAAACCCAUUGUCAAACAUGAUCAAUAACAAAUAAUCAAAAAAUUUGCAACCAAAAUAUUACAAAAAAAAACUUUAACAUCAUAAAUAUUCUUACCACCUCUAGUGCAUUCACCCUCAUAAAAUAAUUCAAGACCCUACUGUCAUAAAAUGACUGAUCAACUCCUGUAAACCUAAUUUGACAACAUUUAAAUGGAGAACUUUAGCUAAAAGAAUUAUGGUCAAGCUAAAGAAAAAACCAGUUAUUUUCCAACAUAUGCAACCAUUGAUCAGGGGAAAAAAAAAAGCAAAAAGACAUCUUCAAUCAUUUAAUAGCUUACAGGGCAAAUUAACCCUUGAGUGAAAACUGGUUGCUCUAGAAUUAAAAUUUUACCUUAGUUACCCAGGCAACUUUUUUGUUGCCUUUUCUUUUUCUUUUUUGGGUAUAUAGCUCCAGUUUUGCCCCCUCUGUCAAGCUUAUAUAAUUAUUAAGAUAAUAAAAGUGCCUUUAAUAGUAUUAAUAUAUCCAUUGACUUGAGCUGUCAUCGAUCGGUUUGGGCUACUUCGAUUCCAUGAGAACAAAUGGUAAUAAAAGUACUCAGAAAAUGGGGAGUCAUGAAACCCUUUUGUUCUAUUCAUUGCUAAGAUGCUUUUCUCUAUAAAGAGACUUCCUAACGAAAAUACUUUGUAGAUUUCUUUACUCCAAGUGGUGCAUGGAAAAUUAAUAUUUUCAAUUAUCAAAUAAAAUUCCCUUUUUUCGGCGUAGAUUUCAUCCAUCCAGCUGUUAACACAUUCUAUAAAUCCGAAUUGACUAAUCUUUUCGUUUCCAUUUUCCAACUUGCGAAUACGGCAUAUAGUGUCUGCUAAACACUAUAUAUUCUCUGCCAAAUAUGAAUACAUAUCACUUUUCUGAGCAAGUGCAGAGUCAUUAUCAUUUUUAUUCCCACCUAACAAAUUAGGGAUAAAAAAGUUAAUAAUCUUUACAUGCUAUCAGGUCACAAGUUAAUAAUCUUUUAAAGAACAUGUUAAAUUAAUUUAUUGGUAUGAAUAGUAGUCAAAGAAGUAUGUUAAAGUUAGUAAUCUUUAAAAUAAUAUGUUAAAAUCAUUCGUACAAAUUAGUCAGAGAAGUAGCAUAAACACCGCGAUGCAAUUAAUACUUUCAAUCUCAAGGUCUCUAUUAUGGAAAUUUGCAUCGGUCAAUAUACACUUGGCAUAAUAUAAUCUCCCAACUCAUUUCUUUACAAAUGCACCUUUAAUCACCACCAAAAGGUGUGGACAUGAUCUUUACCCUAGAAAACUAUUCACCGACAGGCAAAUUGACGUCAGAAAUACUGAGGAAUUCUAGUUUCCUUCGGGUUCAUGCCAUGUUGUAUCCUUCAACUGUAACUCGAUUUCUAAGCUGUAAUUUGUGACAUAAUAGUCCUUAAACUAUGAAACCCUUCUUACUUAAUUACAAUGGUUAAUACAAUGCCCGUGACUAGACAAGUAUGAAGCAACCAUAACAGAAAAAAAAUCCAAAAUUAGAGAAAAGAAAGAAGUUUCGCGACCACCACCAGUUUACAAGUCACCUCCACCACCUCCUCCAGUUUACAAGUCACCUCCACCACCUUACCAUUAUUCCUCACCACCACCUCCAGUGCAUUCACCCCCACCACCACCAGUUUACAAGUCUCCGCCACCACCUUACCAUUAUUCCUCACCACCACCUCCUGUGCAUGCACCUCCACCACCAAUUUACAAGUCACCUCCUCCAGUUUACAAGUCUCCACCACCACCUUACGAUUAUUCCUCACCACCACCUCCAGUGCAUUCACCCCCACCACCACCAAUUUAUAAGUCUCCCCCACCGCCUCCCCCAGUAUAUAAGUCACCACCACCACCUCCUCCAGUAUACAAAUCACCUCCACCACCUCCUCCAGUUGACAAAUCUCCACCACCACCAAUUUAUAAAUACAAGUCUCCUCCACUACCUCCUCCAGUGUACAAGUCAUCACCACCACCUGCUUACAAGUCUCCACCUCCUCCAGUUUACAGUUCCCCACCACCACCAAUCUACAAGUCUCCACCUCCACCCUACCAUUACUACUACAAUUCUCCUCCUCCUCCUCGUCACUACUAAGCAAUUGUAUCCAAGUUUUUGAGGUAAUAACGCUUAACCAAUAAAUUAACUUUCGCAUGAUAAACCUUAUCUCUAUCAAGACAAACUGCCAUGUGUAUCAUGCCAAAUACGUACACCUAGAUCCAUGAAAAUGAAUGGUAGAAAGUUUUCUUAAGAACCAAGAACAGCAUUAGUAUUCCCUCUGCUUCCAAAAACUUGUGUAUUAAAUAGAUUAAUGAAUUGUUUAACAUGCUCAUCUACUUGAAAAUGCACAAUACCCAUAACCCACUGAAAUUUUUGCAGGAAAAGGGAAAGAGAAUCUGUGUUUGAGAGCUUCAUGAAGAUGUUGAAGAAUAAGAAUAAAAGCCCAAUGCAAGGAUGUUUUCAAGUUUUUCUAUGUUUCCACUUUAAUUUGUAAAUUGAAUUUUGCGACUCAAUUAAUUCCCUGUUUGUGAGGUACGUAUUGUUUUACGUACCAUGCCGUACAUUUUUUUUUUCCAACAAACGGUAUCAUGUUAUAGAUAUUAACACUUGACCUUACAAGGAUUAGUUACAAAAAGGGGAUACUACCCUCAACUCUGUCCUAGCUAAAUCAGUCAGCCAUAUUGGGAAAUUAGUUUCCCAUUCAAUAUCAUGUACAAGCUUCACAGCAUAUUGUGCUAAUUGAUGGCUGAUGUGAUUUUCAGUUCUAGGUAUAAACACAAAAGAACAUUUUUCAAAAGCUAGACUAAGUUCCUGCACAUCUUCUAAGAUAGUUGCAGUCGUGUAGUCAUACUCCUUGCGUUUAGUAAUCUGCUCUACCACUGAUUUGCAGUCUGUAUGGACUAUAAUUUGUGUCCAACCUGCUUGGGUAGCCAUCAGCAGAGCAUUUCUCACAGCCCGAGCUUCCACUUCACUUGCCGAUCCCUUUCCCUGUGUGACAAUUCCUUUUGCUUUCAAAAGCUGUCCUUUCCAAUUUCUUGCUAUAAUCCCUUGUCCGGUCCUGACUCGUUUAGCUGAUAUCGCUGCAUCGGUAUACAGCCUUAUCUCUUCCUUCCUUGGCCGCACUCUCCUGGUAGGUAAGGCAUCAUUCAGCUUCCCUGCGAUCUCCUUCUGGUCUGUACUCCCUACCUGUUCAAACUCAAGCCAUUCCUCCUGUGCUUUCCUUACUAUUUUUACUGGAUCCUGGUUGGCUUGUUCAAAAAAUUUUUUGUUCCUGGCUUUCCAAAUUUGCCAAAGGAUAUUGAUAGUAAGACUAACUCUCUCCUGACCUUGGUUCAGUGCCAGCGAUUGUGUGACUUGUUCCCACCAUAACCAAAAGUUAUAUUGCAUACCCAGUAAUCCAUCCCACCUGACCGGUGCUAGCUUCCACGUUUCCACAGCCUUUUCACAGAAGAAAAACAAAUGCUCAAUAGUUUCCAUAUCUUCACCACAGCAACCACAUCUGCCUUCCCCUCUAUGUAGCCUUUUCGACAUCUGUUCAUUGACUGGCAGACAAUUUUGUAAGCACUUCCACAUGAAGUGUUUUAGUUUGGCCUUCACCUUCAAAUGCCAUAGCUGCUUCCACACAUUUCGUUUUCGUAUCUCCCAACUUGUUUCUGCCUCUUGGCCUGUCCUUGUACCUGCUUUUCCUUCCCGUUGCCUUGCUAAAGCAUAACCAGAUUUCACGCUAUAAAUUCCAGCUUUGGAAUGCCCCCAUACCAACCUAUCCUUUCUUCUUCCUAUACUUGUUGGAAUUCCCUUUAUGUGCUCUGCAUCUUUUGCACAAAACCACUUGAGAAGCAAAUCAUUUUUCCAUUUCCCUUCCUCUAUCAGCUCACUUACCCAUUCCAACUUGCAUCCCACAGGUUGUGUGGUUGAUGCAAAGCCGGUAUCUGAACCAACUAUCCAUCUGUCCCGCCACAUGUUGACUGACUUGCCAUCUCCAAUUCUUUUCCAAAGACCAUCAUACAGAAAGGAGGCUGCACUAUGAAUACUCUUCCAACACCAUGAGGCUGAAGAGACUGGCUUCUUGUCCAUCCAUUUUUCAUCACUCAUAUACUUCGCCUUCAUUACCUUACUUACUAACAAAUUUGGAGCCAUUAAGAAUCUCCAAAUUUGUUUUGCCAGUAAUGCUGUGUUGAAGGCCUCCAAAUCUCUAAAGCCUAAACCUCCUCUUCCCUUAACUUCUAAGAGCUUCUUCCAGCUUGCCCAAUGUACACAGGUACCCUUUUCUCCCUUCCCCCACCAGAAACUCGCUAUUUUACCUGUGAUUUGUCUACACAAACCCCUUGGAAGUCUAAAGCAAGCCAUCACAUAUGUUGGCAUAGCCAUAAUCACUGAUUUGACCAGAAUUUCUUUCCCUCCUUGGCUCAACAGUUUUUGUUUCCAACCUUGCAACUUGUUACUAAUUUUGUUCUGGACAAAUGCAAAGACCUGUGUCUUUGAUCUUCCAAUUGCCAUUGGGAGUCCUAGGUAGGUUCCAUUCCUUGCCUCUUUAAUGUUAUCUAAUACCUCCCUCACUCCAUUCUUCCUUUGAUCAGUGGUAUUUUUGCUAUAGAAGAUAGCUGACUUUUCAAAAUUCACCACCUGUCCGGAUGCUUGACCAUAUCUUUCCAAUAUGCUUUUGACCUUCCUCGCCUCCUGCUUGGUUGCUUGGCAGCAUAGUAGAGAAUCAUCUGCAAAAAAUAGGUGAGAAACCAUCGGACUGUCCUUGCAUAUUUUGAUCCCUGUAAUUUCCUUGUUCAUCAUAGCUUUAUGGAUCAAACAUGAAAGACCUUCAGCGCAUAUAAUAAACAAGUACGGGGAUAGGGGGUCUCCUUGUCUAAGCCCUCUACUCGGUUGAACACAGCCUACCUUUUGCCCAUUUAAGUUGAAGGAGUAAGUCACAGUAGAUAGGCAAGACAUGAUCCAUUUAACAAAAAUUGGACAAAACCCCAUUUUCAUCAUAACUCUCCCCACAUAUUUCCAUUCGACUCUAUCGUAAGCUUUGGACAUGUCCAGUUUAAGAGCCAUAAAUCCUACCCUUCCCUUUCUCCUAUUUUUCAAAAAAUGCAGGAUUUCAUGUGCAACUACUACAUUAUCAAGAAUUUGACGGCCUGGGAUAAAAGCGGAUUGAGAGGGACUAAUACAAUGAUGCAAGACACCUUUCAAUCUAUUAGCUAUGAUUUUAGAAAUGAUUUUAUACAGGACAUUGCACAAGCUAAUAGGUCUAAAAUGCACCACAGAUUCAGGAGUAUCAACUUUAGGAAUCAACGAAAUAAUAGUAUCAUUCACAGCUUUGAGCAAAUGCCCAGUAUGAAAGAAACUCUUAAUAGCUGCUACCACAUCAUCCUUGAUAAUAUCCCAAUAGUGUUGAAAAAAUAGAGGAGACAUACCAUCCGUUCCUGGUGCUUUAUUAGGGUGCAUCGAGAACAAAGCUUUCCUGAUCUCACUUUCCUCCACUUGUCGUAUCAGUUGUCCAUUCAUAUGACUCGAAAUAGUGCUUGGAAUUUCAGCUAGAAUGUCCUCAAAGCAGUCCGGGUUAGUAGUGGUAAAAAGGUCUUUAUAGUACUCACAAAGUUCCUCCUCAAUCUCAUGUUCCUCCUUGCACCAUGUCCCAUCUUUUUUCUGCAAUAUAGUGAUCUUAUUUCUCCUCCUCUUUGCCAUGACCGAAGAAUGGAAAAAAGCUGUAUUCUUGUCCCCUUCUUUGAGCCACUUGUUCCUGGAUUUUUGACUCCAAAACAUCUCUUCCUCUGCAUAAGCUUUAUUCAAUUGUGCUUUUAGUUCAGCCACUUGUACUCUUUUCCCUUCAUCCUUUCUUGCUUUCACUUCAGCCAAUUUCUCCUUUAACACUUUAAUUCUAACCUUUGAGUUUCCCUGCACCUUUUUCCUCCAAUCCAGAAUAGCCAUGCGACAUUCCUUUAUUUUUGUAGCCACUCUAAACAUCCUGGACCCUGACUUCACCUUUGUCCAUGCUCCUUGAAUCACCCUUUUUGCUUCUGGAUUUAGCGUCCAUCGUUGAUCAAAGUAAAAUCUCCGUUUUCUCCUUGUGUUUUCCGGGUUUGUAUCCACAAGAAGCAUUAGAUGAUCAGAGGCUUCAGUAUCUAAAUGAGUACACUGUGCCUUUUCAAAUCUUUGCAGCCAUUCGGUGCUGCAUAAACAUCUAUCCAACCUCUCUUUCACUUCCCCAUCCCCCUCCCAACUAUUGCACCAAAUCCACGGGACCCCUUGAUAACCUAAGUCAACCAGGUUAUUGUCUUUGAUAAACCUGUUGAACUCCCUAAAACAUCUUUCAGCUCUAUCCCUUCCUCCCCACUUCUCCUCACUAGACCUCAAAUCAUUAAAAUCUCCUACAAUGAUCCAGCCAUCCCCCCAGUCCCUCAUCCUGUCCUCUAAAUAUUUCCAUUGUGCUUUUCUAAUGUUACUAUCUGUGCUUGCAUAAACACACACUAGCCCCCAGUAUCCUUUAGUAUCCUUGUCCUCAACUCUAGCACUAAUACACCAAUCAGUACUUACAAUCUGGUCUAAAAUCACCUCAUUGUUCCAGAAUAAUGCUAGACCGCCUGCUUUACCUAUUGAAUUCACAAAAAAGCUAUUGUCAUACUGAAUCUUCCUUUGAACCUUGCCCAUAAACCCUUCCUGAUUCUUAGUUUCACAAAGGAACACCACCUUAGGAGAGUGGAAGUUAGUCACUUCCUUUAGUUGGGGACUUGUCAAGGGGCCUCCUACACCUCGACAAUUCCACACCACAACCUUCAUUUACACUUUGGAGGCUUUCCGGGGCUAGCCUCCAUUUCCCCUAUUGUACUAACAUUUAUUAGAUCCAGUUUCAUAACCUUUACCUUCGGUACAUUAUCAUCAUCCUCCUCUAUCGGUUGUGUUCCCUGAAACAUACCAUCAGCCUUCCUUUUAGCACACGAAACCUGCGUUACUUGUCCAUUUGUAUCUGCCUUUAAGGAUGUUUUAGCCGGCCUCCCUCUUCUUUUAAAACUGCUUCUUUUUUCAGCUUUGUUAUCUUCUUCCCCUGGAGUAGCCUCCUUUCUUGGCAUUCUUGCAUUUGUCUCCUCCUGCUUUAUUGACCCUACCCGCAAACUUUCACAUUCCUGUUUUGAGCUGUCCGUUUCCAUAUCCUCAUAAUCUACUGGUGGGAUUACGCUGCUCCCUCCUUUACUCCCUUCCUGUACCCUACCCUCCUUUUCACCAUUUCCCUCCAUUAAGACCACAGCCAAACUUUCCACCCGUUGGUUUGCCUUUCCAUACUGCCUGCUGUCUUUUAGAAUCUCAUCCCACCUCUCUUCAUAUUGUCUCGUCAUCAUUUUCUCCUUAUCCCCCCUUUCCUUUCCCCCCAAGACUCUACCAUUUUUUCCCCCAAGAGUUAAUGUAUCUCCAGCCAUUUGUACUCCAGUUUGAACUUCACUACUAGGAGACCCUGCCCCCACCCUCCUUGCAUCAAUUUCACUUACUCCUUCCAGCCGUCCCUUUAAGGGAGAUACCAUUAUAUUUCCAGCUCUCAUCCAGGCACCAUAUUGUUCCUCUCGCUUCUCCCCCCCACCCUUCCUACCACAGUACAAGUCCUAUCACUAUGCCCAAUGAUACCACACCUAUAACAGAAAUCAGGGCAGCGUUCAUACCUGAACUCAACCCACACUGCCUGGUUCUUACAGUUGAUCUUUGUCCCUCUAACCAGUGGUUUCGUUAUAUCUACCUCAGCCAUAAUCUUCAUGUGGCGACCCUCUUUCCCACCACUUCCUGGGAGAAUCACUCCCCUCACUGAUUUAAAGAUCCCUCCUAUUUUCAAACCCACUGCUCUGCUCAACCAGUGCACCGGUAGGUUCCAUAGUUGAAUCCAAAGAAAGGAAUGCUGGAAAAAGCUGCUGUUUGUAUCAUACCCCUCUACCCACUCCUUCACUAUCAGCAACUGGUUGUCCAUGACCCAAGGCCCUCCAGAUAAGAUCUUUUUCUUUUCCCCUUCAUCUCCCAGAUGGAAAUGGAAUAAGUUAGGACCUAACUCAGUCACUUUCAUCUUUGAGGGGUAUCCCCAUGCAUGAUUUGUAAAGUUCUUUAACCCCGUAAAGUUGGCAAUUUUUUCACCAAUCAGCUUUCCUACCAGGCUUCCUUGACACUCAGAGACGCCUUCUUCCAGGUCCUCACCACUCAGAUCGACACCUCCUAACUCUGUUUCAGACAAGUCAAAAUUUUGAAAGGCUCUUUCUAAAGCAUCCGCCAUUGCUGUGACGAGAGCUCCUUGAGAAACCAAGCACUAUUUCUGAGCUAUGAGUGACCCACUGACAGACCUGUGAAGAAUUGCAAAGACAGACAAAGCUGUGUUAUCCGUACACACUAAAAACCAACCAGAAAAACAGAGAGGAACUCGACAGAAAAAGCACAGGCACAAGAAGAAACGAAAGAAAAAAGAAAAACCAACAAACCACUAUCCCACUCCCGACCACAUAACAGCAUUAAAGAAAGGGACACAAAUACGACACUCCAACUUCCGAUCACAUGCUCUGACUCAAUGGAUCAUAUCUUGCCCAAAGCGUUUACUCCUCCAACCGAUUCCAAACCACUACAGACAUUGUCUCCCAUUUUGAAGCCGGAAGAAAGGUGGCUUCUGGACAGGGAACAUGAAAGCAAAGGUUGAACUAAAGAUUUGAUUUUAGAUCUGAAAAUUACGCUGUAGGAAAAAGUGCUAUGUGUUUGUACCUCACCCACUCUCCCACACCGAGGAGGGGAACCUCUAAAGUUAGAGAGAGAAGCUCUCAAGUUAGAGAGAAGCUUUGGAAGUUAAUUACCAACGUACCAUGCCGUACAUGUUUGUAAGGAUUUCUAUCCUAUUGGCAAAAGUCGGUUCCAUACAAUUAAUCAAUUCAUUUCACUUCUAUUGGCUCUACUAUUUAUGCAUGUUACGACACUCUUUCCCUUAUAUUUUGCCUUUAAUAUUAUGAGUCAAUAGUAAUAAUGGGCCUUUUUCUUAAAAUUAUACUAUUAUACAUAGGUAGUUUGGUCUAACGCUAAAUUCAUGUUUGUCUUUCUUUUAUUCCCUUUACAUCUCAAAGUAUACUAUAGUUUGUAAUCAUUGUGGUGAUGAUAUUACCAGCUGGUACUUAUAGUUUAAGGCAGAGACAUGAUAUUAACAACUAUCUCAUUGAAACAUAAGUCAAAAUCAUGACAAGUGUGAGUCUUGGUUAAUGCACAAUUUGUUAGUGGAAUUUAUAUUUAUAAAACUCAAAAAAAAUUUUUGACAAUGCUAUUACUAAUUAAUUAAGGACUUCAUUGCUAUAAUUUAUCGCUUACUAAUUUAAACUAUAAAUGAUCUCAAUACUUUUCUCCAUGAUGUCGAUUUCUUUAGACUACGAAAGGGAAAAAUUAGUGACAUAUCCCUUACUGAUUACAACAUCAGCAAAAAUUAGUUAUAAACUUUUCCGGUGGUUUUAAAUCCCUCGGGCACUAAGGUUUUUUGCACAUCGAGUGAAUUAAGGAACAUAGGCAAUUCGUUCUGCAUACCAAGUCCUUGUUUAAGAUGCACGUACUAAAAUGCAUCCACUUCAUUAAUUUGGAAAAUUGCCAUAGUUUUUUUUAAGCAUUUUGAUUUUUUACAUGAUUCAAAAUUUUCUUAUUGGAUACAAUCACUUUGUGUCAAGAACACAUUUUCAAUCAUCUUUUUUAUCUUCUCAAUAAGAAAAUAAAAAUUUAUUCAUGCUUUUCUAACAUAUCCAAUCAUUGAUCUGAAAAAUAAAGAAUUAAAAAAAAAAGACAUUUUCAAUCAUUGCUUACGGGGCAACUUCCCCAUGUGAACCUCAUCAAACAAAGCCAAUAAUAUGAAGGAACAUCUAAAUACACUUUUGCCCUAAAGGCUGGUUGCCUUGGGGUCAAAAUUUAACCUUCGGGAGUAUAAUUACCCGCCAAAUUUAUUAUUUUUUUUAUGGGUAUAUAGUUCCAAUUUUGCCUCCUGUUAAGCUUAUAAAUAUAUUACGACCCAGAAAAUAAAGGAAUCUUGAAUAGUAACAUGUCCAUUGACUUGAGUUGUUAUCAAUUUGGCUACUUCGAUUCCAUGAGGCCAAUCCAAUUCACACUAGCUAGAGAAAAUGGUGAUAAAGGCACUUAGAAAUUUAUAUGUAAUAUUGAUUGGUAGUAACUGAUAAGUAUAUAUUUUACGUGUUUUAAAUAUGUUUUAUUAGUUAGUUUUGGUGUGUUUUAACUACUUUUAUAACUAAUUAACUAGGAAUCUAGUGAAAAUAUGCAUUUUGUGGUUUGAAGUGUAAAAAUUGUAUUUCUAUGGAUUUUAAUGGUGAAAACUUCAUGUUUUUGUAGGUUUAAUGAUUCAAUCAUCAAAUGACAUGAUUUGAGAAGAUAAUUAGAUGAUUGAUGAUGUUUUGAAGUGAUAAAAAGAGAAUACAAAGUGCAAGAGAGGAAAUGCAAUCAAGAAUAAAAGAAGAAAAUUUUUGUAGCUUUGACAUAUUGUCGUAUUUCGGCAAUAUAUUGAGCUACAAUGAUCGGAUUAAGGUGAUUCUUAAACCAUUUGAAGCUAAAAUAUAGAUCUACAUUUGGCAUGAAGGCAUCGAAACCCAUGUCAGUCAUUUUCCUUGUCAAAAUGUUGAAAUACAGAAGUGCAACUCUGUUCUCGAAAGCUAAAACAGAGCUCUGGCUAGUCGAGGGUAUUUUCAUCAUUUCUUAGUCCACAGAGCUCCAAAUGAGAUGAUUCUUAAGGCAUUAGAACCCUAACUCAAAGAGCUACAACUUUCAUAUUUUGUACAAGAGUUAGUUCGGCCUCUAUCAUUAAGAAAAUAGUAGUUGAAGUGGUGCCAAAUGCAUAGAAGUGAAAACGCGAGCUAUCAAUACUCGACCUGAAGUCGCGUAUUCCUGAGGUCAUGCAUUCUCUUCUAUUUUCUGCAACUUGCCCUGCUUUCACAUAACUUUUUCAUCUCAAUUCCAACUAUCAAUUUCGGCUAUAUCUGAUCAAGAAAAGUGUGGAAAGUUUGAAAGACAACUCAUAGGAGUUUCAAGAGUCAAAAAUUACAAUUAGAAACAACUCAUUUGGCUCUUGAAUCCUCUAUAAAUAGAGGCCUUUGAAGAACAUUUUCACAACUUUGGAAGGUUAGAGAAACUCCACAAAAACAUAGUCUUCACUAGAAUUUCCUUAGUUCAUUAGUUAGGGUAGUAUAGUAUAGUUAGUGUAGCUUUUCCUUCUUGUAUUUAUAGUUAGGUUUGAAUGAAGAUUCAGGAGCAAAGAUAGAGAGGUUGAUCUCAUGUGACAAGGGUGAUAUCUCUUCUACUACUUUCUCUUUUGUAUUUGAUUUCAUAUUUAACUAUACUACAAAUUUGGCUUUGUUUUUUUUUUUUUAUCAUGUUUAGUUAAAGUUUAUGCCUAGAGUAUGGAUGACCUUUUUAUAUCUUGUUUGUGAUAUUUAACUGGUUAUUUGAUGAUGUUAUUUUUGAGCAAGUUAUUUAUCACUUUUGCUUUUCUAAUCAUGAUUAACUGGCCAUUAGUUGUGAUUAUCUAAAAGUGUUAAGUUUGUAAUGAGAAUUGGAGUUUAACACUAGUUCAAGGAAGUGAUAAAUUUAGGGAGUUCACUCAUGAGAGUAGAGGAACACCUUUGUGACCUAAGUGACUUGUUUCAUAUAAUUUCAUAGAAAAAAUGAACUUGUAAUUAAUUUCAUAACCACGAGAGUAAGUAUGGUUUAGCUAUAUGUAUAGUUGAUUCACUACGAGAGUAGGUUUCACAUACAUUAGAAAAUUACAUCAUAACUAGUCAAGAUAAUAUCAUUCAUUUAAUCAGUAAUCUCAUUUGCAUGAGUAGUAAGGCAUUCCAUAUCUCUAGGAGGUUUUUAGUAUUAUUUUCAUUACUUUUAUGUUUAUGGUAGUCUAGAUAAUAAUGGAGUUCGAAAACUACUAGUAAUUGAAAAUUUUCCCUGUGGGAUCGACCUUUAAUACCCUAUACUCGCUCUCGACUCGUAUACUUGAGAAAAAUCACGUGUGCGGUAUUUAGAAUUUAUAAAUGUAAAACUUGACUGUAGAUGAACUAAUUGAUAUAUGUAUACCCCGCACUCGUCAGUAACCAGCUUGUAUUGAUCCCACUAUUGUGGAUAAUUGUGCUCUUAUGAAAAAAAAUUAUAAAAAAAUUAGCAAAAUUUAUGAUAACAAAUUAAAUUUAUUCAUACAAAUCAGUGAAAGAAGUAGAAUUUUAAAGUCCAUGAUGAAAUUAAUACUUUCAAGGGCUCUAUUAGGAAGACUUCACUUGUUGGUGAAACUACACUAGCACAGUUAUAUGCACAUUUACUGUUUUGGUAUCUAAUUUCCUUGCCUUAAGUUGGGUGCAGAUGUUUAUAUUACAAAUAGAUGGUAUCAUAAAAUUGUUGUAUUCACGUUUGUUCUUUUUUUUCUUCCUUAAGUUUUUUUCUUUAUUCUCGUGACUUCAAAAAUACGAACUCAAGAAAUUGGCUGCUUAAUCAAUAUGUCAUACAGGCUUCGCUAGUGAGGUAUAACUUCACAACUAGAGUCAAUAGAAAUUAUCAAAUGAUUUUUUAACAUCCAAAUUAAGCAAUAAAUUUUGUUUUCAUUUUAUGACAUAUAAUAGUACUACUUCAUGAGAGAUUUUAUAGUUUCUUUUAGGUAUCAUACCUACAAGUGAUAUUUGUCAUUGGAUAGUGACAGAAGUGUUAAUGAUUGUAAGAUUAAAUAUUGUUAAAUAUUGAAAUUUAAACUAUUUAUCUUUAUUGAAAGAUACAAGUUAAAGAAUCGUUCAAGGGGGCAAUUUUCCAUCUUGUCUUUUUGAAAAAACGCUAUCACAUUGUAUAGGCAUGAUAGGUUCAAAUUUGUCAUUAAAUUUAUGAUUGAUUUUCCUUUUAUUCAAGCCAAAUAUUGUUUUAAUUAUCAAAUUCUACUUAUAUUUGGUUAAUUGUACUAAUUGUAGGGCGGUAGAGCAAAAGUUGCUAAAAAUAGGCGAUUUUCUGCAAAUUGGUUGUCAAGGCUGAAGGAUUUGGGAUUCGCAUGUUCAAGGCCUGUUUCCAAGUUUGAUUCAAACUCUGGACAGUUUUAGAGGAAGAUUUGGAAGAUUUGAAAUUUCAUUAUUAGUUUUAUGGUUGAAUUAGGAAUCUUGGAAUAAUUUCUUUUGUGAUUUAUUUUUCUAUUUAGGAGACUAGUUGUUAUUUAGUAGUAGACUUCAAUUAGAAAACAAAGAGAAAAAGAAGGCCGGAAUCCCGCUUGAUUAAUACCUUGGCCAGGGAACAAUCUCGGUGGGGAGGACGGCCACUUAGCCUCUCAAUUCAUCUUGCUUUUCGUUAGUUUGAGAGGAAAACCAAUUGCAACUAGAUUCAAUGGAGUCUGGCAGAAUUUCUUCUAGGAUGCGUAGCUAAAUCCUCAAUUUUUAGUCGAAGGUCAAUUUGAAAAUUCGGUUCCAAAUAUCUGUGAAAUCGAAUUAUUUUACUUAUUUCUUUUAUUUAUUGGUAUUCGCACGUUUUCUGAUUUAACUUUUUAUGAUUGUUUUGUUAUUUGAAUGUCAAGGGUCCGAUAUUCGAAUUAACUUAAUAAUCUACUGCCAAAUUAACCGGUUAAAUCCGUAAUUGUUUGAUUGAUUAAUAUCAGUGGCGACUAGCGUGAUUGGUCCCAUGUUAGGAAAACGUCUGAUCUAAUUUAAACAAACCGUCGUAGCGUGUUUGUUGAUUAGGGUUGGGCUUUUCUAAUUCUUAAUUCAAUUGAGAAAUUAAAUCCCCCGGUCGUACCUAGGAUUAUUUUUUUGUUAGCGAAAUAGUUAAUGGUCGUACCUUGACUAUCGAAAAAGUAAGGAAGAGUUGAUUGUUUAUCGCGUGUACGACAACUAUAAUCAAUCUAUUAAUGAGUAAUUGAAUUAUCUUUGCAUCAGUAAUCAGUUGAAUGGACCGUGUCUGAAAAGUUGUACCUUUGGCUAGAGUCUUAUCUGUUGUUGAUUCAUUCAUAUCUAUCUUCAUGCGUUGUUUUAAUUUAGUUAAUUAGUUAUUUUUAUAAAAACCCCUCAUCUCUGGACUCUAAAAGAAAUAAAUUAUUUCUAGUUCCUGUGGAUUCGAUCCUACUCACCAUACAAUCCAACCUGCAAUUGUAUGAACCCCAAUCUCGCUUCCUAGUCCACCAUUUUUCUCUAGGUAAUAAUCUCCCUUCUAAUUUCUUCACAAAAUGCACCUUUCAUCACCUCCAAUAGCGUCGACAUGAUCUUUACCCCAGAAGACUAUUCACCGACUCUCAAUUGACGUUAGAAAAUCUAAGAGUAAUUCUACUUUACCCUAAGAUUGAUAUCAACAAGACAAGGACAAUUUAGAAUUAUUACACGCCUCUUCUUAAUAGGAAAAAGAAAUAGAGAAGAAAGUCAGGCCAGGUCUAAUUUCUUUUCAAAGGCAAUACAACAUUACGAAAUCAAGCAUUCAUUCAUACAAAUAUUUCAUAGUCACCGGUUUGCUGAGUAGAAAAAUUUAGACAAAAACUUAAUAUUAUAUUGUUUAAGAGUUAACAAUUUAGAGCUUAAUCUCCUUGUACUUUGGAGUUAACAAUUUAGAGCUUAAUCUCCUUGUACUUUGGACUAAACUUGAACGUGAAAGGAAAUCCCAAAACCAUAUUGGGCAUGAAUUCACACUUAAUAUACCCAAUAAAAGAUGGCGACUGGUGAAAGGCAGUGGAGACUGGUGGAGAGAUUUGAGGAAUAGAAGCAGACGGAAAAGCAACAAAUUUUUGCCGAAAAACGGUCACUUUCAUGGUUAAUUUUGCUACUCUCCAAUUGUACUUGACCAAUUACAACAAUUUCAUGGAGUUUGAUACGUGAAAAGAAUUUUUUAUAAAUUUUAUUUUGAUCCAUAAUGUUAUCUUUACAUAUAUAAAACAUUUUACAAUUUUGAUUUUGGCGCAGUUAACUUUUGGUAAACAAAAAUGCUCAUGUUUAAAAAACCGGAAAUAAAACAAAACAAGAAACAAAAGAAAUAAGAGGGUAGCAUAGACAUUUUGGAUUUUUCCGUUAAUUUGGAUGAUUUCCACCCACGUUCUAAUUUAAUCCAAAACACAAAGGAAUUACGUAGAGGUUUUAAAUAAUGAGGGAGCUUCAUGAUCGAACCCCAAACCACAAGGCGAUUUACUAUAUUUUACUCUUAAAUUUUGGUUUCAUCUCAUAGCAUACAAGAGUUCUAUUUCACUAUCUGUAGACAAAGACUUUCUAUGGUUGAUGUACCAUAGGAAAAAAUCUGCCUAUACAACGUGAUAGCAUUUUUUCAAAAACACAAGAUGGAAAAUUGCCCCCUUAAACGGGGAAAUUCAUGAUCUUUCCUCGAACAAAGAAUACUCACGCCUAUUCAAGAUGGAAAAUUGCCCCCUUAAACGUCUAUUUGUCAAUUCUUGAAAAAAGAAUACUCACGCCUAAAACACGGCCUCUUCAUCUGCAGAAUUCUAAAAAGUUAGGUAAACUCUAUAAACAAGUUGAUAGGUACAAUCGUACCCAAGAUCAAGUACAGAUAGUUGUACAUUCACUGCUGCAAUAACUAAUCUGAUGACUUACAAACAUAUCAUGGUCAAUCGUUGAAUGGUAAUGAGUCUUUUGUUAUGCAUUAGUAUUAGUGUGUACACUCUAAUAGAUUGAUACUUAUACUCUUUAAAUUAUCAUAAUAAUACCCUUAAUUAACUUUAACUCUUAAAAAGAAUACGUGUUAAUACACGAGAGUGUGUAACCUGAAUUGUUACUUAUACAUUAGUGUGUAAUAGAUAGGGAUGGCAAUGGGGGCGGGUGCCCGCAGGCAACCGCCCCGCGGGGGGCUCUCGGGGCGGGGAGGGGGGAAUUUUUUCCCCCCGUUUAGAAACGGGGCAGGGGACGGGGGAGUAUACCCCCGCCCCAUCCCCCGCAAAAAAAAUUAUAUAUAUAUAAUUAUAUAUAAUAUGUAAUUUAAUUAGUUAUAAACUUAUGAUAAUGAUAUUAUUAGUUAGAUGUAUUAUAUAAUGUAUAUUAGUGUAUGUAAUAUAAUUAAUAUUAUCAAUUAUACGAAUAAUUAGACAUGUCUACUAAUAGAAUUUAUUAAUUAGUUAUACUAAAUUUACUAAUACAUUUAUACUAAAUUUCUAAUUACAUUUAAUAGAAUAACACUUUUUUCUAAAAAAAAAAGCACAAACACAAUAAUGAAUUAGUGAUUGUAUUUUUACCAAAAAUGAAAACUUAACUAUUUUAGUUGCAUUUAUUUCAUCAUGUUGGAUUGUAUUCAAAUAAUUUUUGUUUGAUUGUUUUUAUGAGUUUCAAUUGUAAAAUUAAAAUGAAUAAUAACUUGAUGAAUAAUAAUGUCAAUCGUUGAAUGGUGUGUACACUCUAAUAUUAUGCAUUAGUAUUAGUGUGUACACUCUAAUAGAUUGAUACUUAUACUCUUUAAAUUAUCAUAAUAAUACCCUUAAUUAACUUUAACUCUUAAAAAGAAUACGUGUUAAUAACUCUUAACCUGAAUUGUUACUUAUACAUUAGUGUGAAAUAGAACGGCAAGCAUUGAGCAACUUAUAGGAGAAAUAGUCCUAUAAGCUGUUGGAUGACUAAUAUAGCUCUAGCUGUAAUGUUUUAAUUAAAUUACAUCACUAACGUUGGGAUGACUAAUGGUUUAAAAAUAAUUGAGUAAUUGGAAAAAAAAAAAGAGACUAAUUUUCAUUGAAACCCACCGACAAACUAAACGUGUCCAUGGCUUUUGAAUAGUGCAUUCAACGUUUAAUUGUAUAGUCCAGUUCAUUGCAGAUUACAUGGAGUAAAGAUUGUGCUCUUUCCUUUUUCACCCCUUUUGGAAUCGAUACUGUGGAGAAUUGGGUUUUUCCCUUCUUUUUUUCUUUUCUUUCUUUCUGUGCUUUGCAAAACAUAGGUAAAAUUAUGAAAUCCGAAGCAUUCUUUAAUUGGGAUUAAGUAUUGUUCUUGAAAUUAAAAAGAAGAAAGAAAGAACAACAAAAUUCCCUGAUUGGUUGCAUCGUGCUUCCAUAGAAGCUCUCUUAGUGUGAUACACUGCUUUCAAUCAGUUUAACAUGGAAAAAAGAAAGAGAUGAAAAGCAAAUUUGGUGGGGAUAAUUUCAGAAACCUCCCCUGAAGAUUUUGACUAUUCUACUGGUCUCCCUUCAGAUUUUAAAAAUUACACUAAUCUUCCUUGAAGUUAUAACAUUUAAAUUCAAUCAAUAAUUUAAAAAAUGAUAUUAUGAAAGAGAAAAUAAUAUGAUUUUAUCAUUGCCCCCCAUCUUACUACAUUAUUUAAUUAAUUUAAUAGCAACCCACACAUUAAAGAAAAAUAUAAAAUUUGUUAUUUAUCAUUAAAGAUCAAAUCGCUUAUAACAUCAAAUAAUAGUAUAUUAUUUAUAUUUUUCACUUAACAUAAUAUCCAAAUUACUCUUUUCAAUUACAUACUCAUUGUUAGACAAUCAACAACAAAUAACCAAAAAAUUUGCAACCAAAAUAUUACAAAAAAAAAUAAACUUUAACAUCAUAAAUAUUCUUAUCAACAUAUUAAAGUUAGUUACUGAAAUUUUUAUGGUGUUAAACUUCACUCUUUGUAAUAUUUUGGUUACAGAUUUUUUUUGAUUAUUUUUUAUUAAUUAUGUUUGAUGAUGGGUUUGUAAUUGAAAAGAAUAAUUUAAAACUUACAUUAAGUGAAAUAUAUAGAGUGAUAUACUAUUUUUUAUAACAUAUGUGAUUCAAUCCUUCUUGAUAGGAUUGGUAAUAGAGGUAGAGGGGGGAGUCGGCUGCAUCCGGUCUUCUUUUCAUAGAUAGUACAAUAUUGCGAAAUCAAUCGCAUUCACACAAUAAUAUUUCGAAGUCAAUGCAUGGCUAAGUUGCAUAAAAGUACGAACACUUGUUAUUAUAUAGCUUAAGAUUCAAAACUUUAGAGCAUAACCCUCCACCUAACACAAUUGAAUAAUGAAUAUUCACGUUUGUCAAAUCUGUCAAAGCACAGUUUGAGGACAACCCAUUCCAACCUGCAAAAGAUUUUUUACUUUUCUAAAGUUGUUGAGAGCUGUAAAAAGACCUACCAUGCUUACAUCCUCCGAGCCUUGGGAGUUAAAAAUGAAGGCACUGAGUGCUAUAAAAAGGGGGCUAGAGGCUGCCUAGAAGCAUAUCAGCCUAAAACAAGAAUUUGUUGUUAUGAUGGGAAGCAAAGCAAAAGCAAUGGGGUCUGGGCUGACUCCUCUUCUUGCCACUGUUUUAGUGGUAUUUGUUGCUCUUGGCUUGCCCUCAGAAACAGCAGCUGAUGAUCACUACAAGUAUUCAUCUCCUCCUCCUCCUUACCACUAUCCCUCACCACCGCCUCCAGUGCAUUUACCUCCACCAGUGUACAAAUACAAGUCCCCACCACCACCUCAUCAUGUUUACAAGUACAAAUCUCCACCACCCCCACCACCACACCCAGUUUACAAGUAUAAGUCACCACCACCACCUCCUCAUCCGGUACCACACCCAGUUUACAAGUAUAAGUCACCACCACCACCUCCUCAUCCGGUAUACAAGUAUAAGUCUCCUCCGCCACCACCACACCCAGUUUACAAGUAUAAGUCACCACCACCACCUCCUCAUCCGGUACCACACCCAGUUUACAAGUAUAAGUCUCCUCCGCCACCAGUUUACAAAUAUAAGUCUCCUCCACCACCACCUCCAGUGUACAAGUACAAGUCUCCACCACCACCAGUUUACAAGUACAAAUCACCACCACCUCCUCCCCCAGUUUACAAAUACAAGUCUCCACCACCACCAGUUUACCACUACAAGUCACCACCACCUCCUCACCCAGUUUACAAGUACAAAUCUCCUCCACCACCAAUUUACCACUACAAGUCACCACCACCUCCUCCCCCAGUUUACAAAUACAAGUCUCCACCUCCUCCUCACCACUACUAAGCAAUUGCUUCUGAGGUAAUAACACUUGUUCAAUAACACUUGAUAGCCAGCUGAAUAUUUGCAGGCAAAGGAGAAGGAAACCAGUGUUUGAGACCUUCUUGAAGAUGUAGAAGCAUAAGAAUUAAAGCCCAAUGUGAAGAUGAUGAUUUCAAGUUUUUCUACGUUACCAUUUCAAUAUCUAAAUUGGUUGUAGCGCCUUAGUUCCUUUGUUUAUGGGAUUUGUAUCGUUUUACGUACCAUGCAGUACAUGUCAUGUUUGUAAGGUUUUCUAUCCUGCCGGCAAACCGCAGGUUCCAUGUAAUAAAUCAAUACUAUUUAUAUUACGACACUUUUCUCUGUUUCUCUUAUAUUUUGUCUUUAAUAUUCUUAAUCAUAUUUUUAACAAAAAUAUUCAAACACUUCAGCAAUGGUUCACCUAGUUGAUCAUCGAAGCAGAGGCAAUUCCAAUUAUUUAUCAAUAAAUAGGAUAUAACUACCAAACAAGCGAUGGCAGUUAACCCCUCCUUACUGUGUCGGUGAUCAAGGUACGCCCGUUAAUCACUGCUCUAAUUGAGAAAUAAUCCUAAGUACGCCCGUAGAAUUUAAUUCCCCAAUUGCCUUACAUAUUAGAGGAGCCCUAUUCUAACCAAAUAACGCACUAUCAGGGUUAUUUUAGAUUAGCCCGCGUAUUCCCCUGACAUAAAUCUAAUCAUGCCAGUUGUCAUUAUUUUGAGGUAAUUAAACAAUUACGGAUUUAACACCUCAAUUGACAAUAGAUUAUUAAAUUAAUUAAUUAUUCGGAUCCAAGACAAUCAAUUAAUUAAACAACCAUAAGCACUACAAUCAGAGAAUAUGCAAAUACCAAUAAAUAAAUAAAAAAUAAAAUUAAAUCGAUCUCACAAUUUUUAGGCGAAUCAGAGCAUCCGUUGUCCCUUGACUAGAGCAAGGAAAUUAGUUCAUAUUUGAUGAACUAAACCCAUACAAAAGGGAAGCGAGAAAUGCAGCCAUUAUCCUUUGAAAUCUGGAAAAUUCAACUUGUCCGAAUAUCGAAUAGAUAGUAAUACUACAAAAGGUAAUUCAUAGCUUCCCUUUCGUCUGACACACAAGAAGAAAAAAAAGGGCUGCUAAUAACUAAAGGAGGAAAAGUCAAAGUCCUAAGCUAUGCUACAAGACGAAAAACUAAAGAAGACAAAAAGGCAGUGCUCAUUCCCUGCAAUCUCAAUUCCUAUUCUAUCUAAGUGCUCUCCAAUGUGCGGCGGCUCCCCUUCCGGAGAGGACGAAGUGGCACCCUUUUUUCCUGCGCAAUUUUCCUAUAUAAAGUAGUGCUCCUUGCAGCGGCUCCUGUGCGAAAAAAUGAAGACUUCGGCCCAAUUUGCCUAACAAGGGCUCACGUUUUGUUGUUCUAAAAAUGUCCCUAGGACAAACUCUAUCAUCUGAACUCUUUUCUUGCCAAAUUAGUACCUGUUAUUAUAUUUUCGUUCUACUCCCUGAAAUAAAUGCAAAAUAUCAAAAGUGAGUAGAAUCUAGCAAUUAAUCCACAUUAGGUCAGGUAAUAGGGAAAAUUAAUAAUAAAAUAAAUGAUAAAAUUGCAAUCUAUCACGGGACCACUGUGGUAAGGUGUGUUUCGCCUAUUAUAAGGAGUUCGGAGAGUUAGACGUGUUGGAGGCGGAGGCGCGGUCACUCCUGCACGCCCUCCAGCUGUGUGCAGAUCGCGAGGUACGGGCGUUGACUGUAGAAUCUGAUUCAAAGGUGCUUGUUCAACUAGUUUGCUCGGAUAUGAGGUCGAAGUGGCCGGUGUGUAUCGUAUUGCGGGAAAUAAGACAUUUGAUCCGGCGGAUGGGUGCAUCCCUUCAUCAUAUAUUCCGUGAGGCCAAUUCGGUGGCGGACGCAUUGGCUUCUCUGCAAUUGGGAGGGCAGCAGUACUACACCUCAGGCGUGGCGCUGCCUUUCAGGCCCAGAGGAGAGGCUCUGCUGGAUCGUCAAGGAGUACCUCGCAUCCGUGAGGCGCUCACUAAGGUUUGAUAGGCUAUGUCCUCCUUUCAAAAAACUUAUUUCAUCUACUCCUUGUAAUCAUUUUUCUUAUCAAUAAAUUGAGGCUUUUUAUUUAAAAAAAAACAUAUAAUUUAAGGCAAAAAUAUGAUCCUAGCGAGUAUCGCACUGAGACAUUAGGAAACAUCAUUAAAAGAGUAUUUCUUGAGUUAGUGCAACUAUUUCUUAGGGGAAUUUAUAGUUACAAAAUUCAAAAAUUUGAGAUUCUAUUACUGAUUAAUUAAGGGCGUUAUCACUAUUUUUCUUAUUAUCACCAUUAUUUACCCCACAUACUAUAAGUUUUUUUAGGGCACAGGAAAAGAGGUGGGCCGAUGUUUAGUUAUGUACAAAAGUUCAAAAUUUGUAGAUAACUUAUCAUGUGCCCUUAGAGCGUAGAAUACAGAAAAAAUAUCUUAAACUAUAACUAAUCCUAAUAUUUUUCUCUAUGAUAAACUAGCUCUUAUCCAUUUCUUUAGAUGAUGAAAGGAAAUAGUUAGUCACCUGUCCUCUAGUGAUUACAACAGCAUCAAAACAAAUUAGCACUCUUUUCCCGUAGUUUAAAAAUCCCUCAGCCACUAAGAUUUUGCAUGUCGAACGAAUUAAGGAACAUAGAAGGUUCGUGCUGCACCACAGUGUCCUUGUUGACGAUGCAAAGACAGAAAUGCAUCCGCGUAUACUUCCUUAAGCAUUUUGAUUACUUUAUGAUUCGAACUUUUCUUGUCUGACAGCUGGACUUAAUUGAAAAACACAAGUAACAAUAUUUCAAAGUUGAUUCGUCAAAGUUUACCCAAUUGGUGAAACUUUCUUCAUAGAGCUGACUUUGUAUUAGGUGACAAUGAUAUGGAAUUGAUGUCCUUCCCUUUUUCCUUUUUUUGUGUUGAAGACGCACAACGUUUUCAAUGGCAAAUUUAUAUGGGCUUUUCACGACAAAAUGUGUUCUGAAAAGUUCAUUCCAGAGGUUAAAAUUUUGUGUGUUAAAAAUUUGCUUCUCAGGACUUUGAUGGGAAAGUCUUGGUGUUUCCAAAAAGUUUAAGCAGGAUGCUUCUGGCUUUCUCUCCAUGUAUUUGUGAGUUAGAUCUAAAAUUAUCAGGGCUCCAGAGAUCUCUUGAAAUCGCAGCAUAUAUUGAAGUCUUUCCAGAAGGAGUCUUUUUUUUUUUUUUUAUGAAUUAUGAUAGAUAAUUAAUCUGACGGUGCAUAUAUAUAUAUAUGUGAUUUGCAGUAGGGUGUUUGACGAAAUGGUUAGGCUUCCUAAGUAAUGAUAGGAAUGCCAUUUGCAAAGAAGGACAGGGGGCUGGUGCUGUCAUAUUUUAUGCGAUUUGAUCCGUUGUUGUAUAAGUUUAAACUUUUGACGUGCAAUUGUGCUAUAAUAUUAUACUAAAUAUAUGUGUGAAAUAUUUUGUCUAUAUACAUCACUUUUAUCAUGAAUACAACAGCUGAGUAUAAUAAUAUAGUAUAAUGUAAUUGUACACCAAAUAAUGUAGCAAAUAUAACAAUUGAUCCGAAUUACACGGAACCAUAACAACAAGAUCACCGCCUCCCAAAUUUUACAAAAUUAGGUUUUUUUUUUUUCUCUUAGAUUAUUGAAAAUUUUCAAAAAUAAUCUACAUAAUUUAAGCUUUUGUCCUACAAAAAUUUGAAGAGAUUUUACAUUACAAGCUUAAGCUUAGAUAUAUUAAACUUUGCCCCCAAGAUUAAUUUUCCGUUUUUAUCUAUGAACCGAUCCAUAUAGCUAGUUAGACUGUAGUCCUCACAUUUGUGGGAUUUAACACCCAAGAUUCUCCUUCUUGGAAUGUAAAAUGUAGAUCUUCUAUGUUAAUAAUUCAAGACCCUACUGUCAUAAACGAAAUGACUGAUCAACUCCUGUAAACCUAAUUUGACAACAUUUAAAUGGAGAACUUUAGCUAAAAGAAUUAUGGUCAAGCUAAAGAAAAAGCCAGUUAUUUUCCAACAUAUGCAAUCAUUGAUCAGGAAAAAAAAAAAAAAGCAAAAAGACAUCUUCAAUCAUUUAAUAGCUCACAGUGCAAAUUAACCCCUAAGCGAAAACUGGUUGCUCUAGAAUCAAAAUUUUACCUUAGUUACCCAGGCAACUUUUUUGUUGCUUUUUUUUUUUUCUUUUCCUUUUUGGGUAUAUAUAUAGCUCCAGUUUUGCCCCCUCUGUCAAGCUUAUAUAAUUAUUAAGAUAAUAAAAGUGCCUUGAAUAGUAUUAAUAUAUCCAUUGACUUGAGCUGUCAUCGAUCGGUUUGGGCUACUUCGAUUCCAUGAGAACAAAUGGUAAUAAAAGUACUCAGAAAAUAGGGAGCCAUGAAACCCUUUUGUUCUAUUCAUUGCUAAGAUGCUUUUCUCUAUAAAGAGACUUCCUAACGAAAGUACUUUGUAGAUUUCUUUACUCCAAGUGGUGCAUGGAAAAUUAAAAUAUUCAAUUAUCAAAUAAAAUUCCCUUUUUUCGGUGUAGAUUUCAUCCAUCCAGCUGUUAACACAUUUUAUGUAUCCGAAUUAUAUAUUCUCUACCAAAUAUUGUAACUUUUCUGAGCAUCUUUACAUUUUUAUUCCCACCUAACAAAUUAGUUGUUGAGCAUCUUUACAUGCUAUCGGAUCACAAGUUAAUAAUCUUUUAAAGAACAUGUUAAAUUAAUUUAUUGGUAUGAAUAGUCAAAGAAGUAUAUUAAAGUUAGUAAUCUUUAAACACCACGAUGCAAUUAAUACUUUCAAGCUCAAGGUCUUUUUUUUUUUUUUUUUUGGUACUGUACUUCCUUGCUUUAUAGUAUGCACGUUUAUUUCUGUGGAUUGCUUAAGCUUAUAUUGUUAAUAAUUGGGCAUUUAACCAUAAAUUAUAAUGAUUAUGAAGUCAUAUAUAUAUAUAUAUAUAUAAGAAAAUUACCACAAUUAUUCAAUUUUUUUUGCAAAUUCAAAUUUUAUUAAUAAGAAAUAGGCAGUAAGCUUUUACAAACGGAAAAAAAAAAUCCUACAACAACUCUAGGACCUUUGAAAGAAAGAAAAAAAAAAGAAAAGAAAAGCUUAAGGACUCUACCUCAUAGAAGCUAAACAAUCCUACAAAUAAACUGCAAAAUAAAUCACAAUAACGCAAAAUUUUUGUCUUUCUUCCGUAUGAAAUGAAACUACGAAGUCAAGAAUUGACUCCUUUAACCGCUAUUGCCAGCGGGCUCCGUCAGCAAGAUACAACUUUGCAAUUUGAUUCAAUAGAAAUCCUCAAAUAGCUAUUUUGACAGGCAAAUUAAGCAUUAAUUUUGGUAUCCCUUCAUAAAAUACAAGAGUACUUUUGAUUAUAUCUAUAGAUCAACUUUCUAGGCUAUUUUGAUGUAUUAUAAGAAAAUCUGCCUCAACAAUUUUGAUAGCAUUUUUCCAAAAGCAGAAGAUGGAAAAUUGCCCAUUUGUACUGGGGAGUUCGUGAUCUUUUCCUCCUUCUAGUCUACUUACAAUUCUUGGAAAAAGGAAUACUCACAUCUCAAACAACUGCCUGUUCAUCUGCAAUGUCCUGCCGAAUUCUAGAAAGUUAGGUGGCAAUGCUAAUUACAUUUCAAAAUUGACUGCUGCGAUGACUAAUUCGAUGGCUUACUACAUGGUCAACGUUUGGAUCCCUUCCUGUCCUUUUUGGAUGCACAUUUUUUUUCUCUAGGCAAUAUAUAAUCUCCCAACUCAUUUCUUUACAAAUGCACCUUUAAUCACCACCAAAAGGUGUGGACAUGAUCUUUACCCUAGAAAACUAAUCACCGACAGGCAAAUUGACGUCAGAAAUACUAAGAGGAAUUCUAGUUUCCUUCGGGUUAAUGCCAUUUUGUACCCUUCAACUGUAACUCGAUUUCUAAACUAUAAUUUGUGACAUUAUAGUCCUUAAACUAUGAAACCCCUCUUACUUAAGUACAAUGGUUAAUACAAUACCCGUGACUAGACAAGCAACCAUAACAAAAAAAAAUCCAAAAUUAGAGAAAAGAAAGAAGUUUCGCGACCAAAGUAUGUAUCAAGGCAUAGUAUAGAAAUAAAAGUGUCCAAAUUAAGAGUUUAGGGAUAAAAGAGAUCAAGAUAUAGUUUAGGGAUUGAUUUGUCUCAAUUAGAGUUUUGAUGUCAACUAAGAAGAGAGAUAUAGUUGAAGGGUAGAAUAUAGAUAUAACAGUUCAAUGAUUGAUAUCAACGAGACAAUGACAACUUUGGAUUAUUACCAACCUCUUCUUGAUGGGAAAAGGAAAUAGAGAAGAAAGUCGGGCCUGGUCUAAGCCUGCUUCGGAGGCAAAACAACAUUAUGAAAUCACCGGCAUUCACACAAAUAUGUCAAAGUCACCGGCAUGCUAAGUUGCAUAAUUUAUACAAACACUGAAUAAUAUAUUGUUCUUAAAAUUUUUGUUUAAGAUUUAACAAUUAGAGCACGGUACACGAAUUAGCAAUAUUAAAUAAUGAAUGUUCACGAUUGAUAAAGUUAUCAAAGUACAGUUUGAGGACAACCCAUUCCAACGUGUACAAGAUGUUUAGCCUUUGAAAAGUUAAUUAGAGAAGGUGACGAGAUUUUACUAGGCUUAAAUCUUCUAGGCCUCGGAAGUAAAAAAUGAAGGCCUUUGAGUGCUAUAAAAAGGGGGCUAGAUGUUGCCUAGAAGCAUAUCAGCCUCAGACCACAUUUUGUAGCAAUGGGGAGCAAAGCAAAAGCAAUGGGGUCUAGGCUGACUCCUCUUCUUACCACCGUUUUAGUGGUAUUUGUUGCUCUUGGCUUGCCUUCAGAAACUGUGGCUGAUUACUACAAGUAUUCAUCUCCUCCUCCUCCUUACCAUUAUUCCUCACCACCACCUCCUGUGCAUUCACCUCCACCACCGCCAAUUUAUAAGUCACCCCCACCACCUUACCACUACUCCUCACCGCCACCUCCAGUGUAUUCAUCUCCACCACCACCUUCGCCAGUUUACAAGUCUCCGCCACCACCUUACCAUUAUUCGUCACCACCGCCUCCGGUGCAUUCACCUCCACCACCACCUGUUUACAAGUCACCUCCACCACCUUCGCCAGUUUACAAGUCUCCGCCACCACCUUACUAUUAUUCGUCACCACCGCCUCCGGUGCAUUCACCUCCACCACCACCGAUUUACGAGUCACCUCCACCACCUCCUCCAGUUUACAAGUCUCCGCCACCACCUUACCAUUAUUCCUCACCACCACCUCCAACGCAUUCACUCCCACCACCAGUUUACAAAUCACCGCCACCACCUCCUCCUAUGUAUAAGUCCCCUCCACCACCUUAUCAUUAUUCCUCACCACCACCUCCAGUGCAUUCACCCCCACUGCCACCAAUUUACAAGUCUCCGCCACCUCCAAUCUACAAGUAUAAGUCACCACCACCUCCUCCCCCAAUUUACAAGUCACCACCACCACCUCCUCCAGUAUAUAAGUCCCUACCCCCACCAGUGUAUAAGUACAAGUCUCCACCACCACCUCCUCCAGUAUACAAAUCACCUCCACCACCUCCUCCAGUUUACAAAUCUCUACCACCACCAAUUUAUAAAUACAAGUCUCCUCCACCACCUCCUCCGGUUUACAAUUCCCCACCACCACCAAUCUACAAGUCUCCACCUCCACCCUCCCAUUACUACUACAAUUCUCCUCCUCCUCCUCCUCAUCACUACUAAGCAAUUGUAUCCAAGUUUUUGAGGUAAUAAUGCUAAACCAAUAUAUUAACUUUCGCAUGAUAAACUUUAUCUCUAUCAAGACAAACUGCCAUGUGCAUCAAGCCAAAUACGUACACUUCGAUCCAUGAAAAUGACAAGUAGAAGGUUUUCUUAAGAACCAAGGAACAGCAUUAGUAUUCCCUCUGUUUCCAAAACUUGUGUAUUAAAUAGAUUAAUGAAUUGUUUAACAUGCUUAUCUACUUGAAAAUGCACAAUACCCAUAACCCACUGAAAUUUUUGCAGGUAAAGGGGAAGAGAAUCUGUGUUUGAGAGCUUCAUGAAGAUGUUGAAGAAUAAGAAUAAAAGCCCAAUGCGAGGAUGUUUUCAAGUUUUUCUAUGUUUCCACUUUAAUUUGUAAAUUGAAUUUUUCGACUUAAUUAAUUCCCUGUUUGUGGGGUACGUAUUGUUUUACGUACCAUGCCGUACAUGUUUGUAAGGAUUUCUAUCCUAUUGGCAAAAGUCGGUUCCAUACAAUUAAUCAAUUCAUUUCACUUCUAUUGGCUCUACUAUUUAUGCACGUUACGACAUUUUUUCUCUCUUUCCCUUAUAUUUUGUCUUUAAUAUUAUUGAGUCAAUAGUAAUACUGGGCCAUUUUUUUUAAAACUUAUACUAGUAUACAUAGGUAGUUUGGUCUAACGCCAAAUUCAUGUUUGUCUUUCUUUUAUUCCCUUUACAUUUCAAAGUAUACUAUAGUUUGUGAUCAUUGUGGUGAUGAUAUUACCAGCUGGUACUUAUAGUUUAAGGCAGAGACAUGAUAUUAACAACUAUCUCAUUGAAACAUAAGGAAAAAUCAUGACAAGUGUGAGUCUUGGUUAAUGCACAAUUUGUUAGUGGAAUUUAUAUUUAUAAAACUCAAAAAAAAAAUUUUGACAAUGCUAUUACUAAUUAAUUAAGGACUUUAUUGCUAUAAUUUAUCGCUUGCUAGUUUAAACUAUAAAUGAUCUCAAUACUUUUCUCCAUGAUGUCGAUUUCUUUAGAUACGAAAGGGAAAAAUUAGUGACAUAUCCCUUACUGAUUACAACAUCAGCAAAAAUUAGUUAUAAACUUUUCCGGUGGUUUUAAAUCCCCGGGCCCUAAGAUUUUUUGCUCAUCGAGUGAAUUAAGGAACAUAGGCAAUUCAUUUUGCAUACCAAGUCCUUGUUUAAGAUGCAAGUACUAAAAUGCAUCCACUUCAUUAAUUUGGGAAAUUGCCAUAGUUUUUUUAAGCAUUUUGAUUUUUUACAUGAUUUAAAAUUUUCUUAUUGGAUACAAUCACUUUGUAUCAAGAACACAUUUUCAAUCACCUUUUUUUAUCUUCUCAAUGAGAAAAUAAAAAUUUAUUCAUGCUUUUCUAACAUAUUCAAUCAUUGAUCUGAAAAUUAAAACAUUAAGAAAAGGACAUUUUCAAACAUUAAGAAGUAGUAUUUUAAAGACCAUGAUGAAAUUAAUACUUUCAAGGUCUCUAUUAGGAAGACUUCCUUUAUUAAUACUCUACUAGGCAGAGUUAUAUGCACGUUUACUGUUUUGGCCUUAAGUUGGGUGCAGAUGCUUAUAUUACAAAUAGAUGGUAUCAAAAAAUUGUUGUAUUCACGUCUGUUCUUUUUUUCUUCCUUAAGUUUUUUUCUUUAUUCUCGUGACUUCGCUAGUGAGGUAUAACUUCACAACUAGAGUCAAUAGAAAUCGUCAAAUGAUUUUUUGACAUCCAAAUUAAGCAAUAAAUUUUGUUUUCAUUUCAUAACAUAUAAUAGUACUACUUCAUGGGAGAUUUUAUAGUUUCUUUAGGGUAUCAUACCUACAAUUGAUAUUUAUCAUUGGAUAGUGAAAGAAGUGUUAAUGUCUCUAAGAUUAAAUAUUGUUAAAUAUUGAAAAUUUGAACUAUUUAUCUCUAUUGAGAGAUACAACUUAAAGAAUCCUACCCAAAAGAGACUAGAAUUUUCUCUGUUUUUCAUCAUCUGUAGACAUAAACUUUCCACGGUUGAUAGCAUUUUUCAUCAUCUAUAAGGAAAUUUUGCCUAUACAAUGUGAUAGCAUUUUUCAAAAAGACAAGAUGGAAAAUUGCCCCCCUUGAACGGAAAAUUGCCCCCUUGUCAAUUCUUUAAAAAAGAAUACCGUCCCGCAGAAUUCUAGAAAGUUAGGCAAAACUAGACAAGUUGACAGGUAUAAUCAGACCCAAGAUCAGGAACAAGCAGUUGCACAUUUCAAAAUUCGCUGCUGCAACAACUAAUUUGAUGACUUACAACACUAAAUGGUCAAACUUUGAAUGGCAAUGAAUCUUUUGUUGUACAUCAUGAUGUAAUUUUCAUGUUACAUAAUAGAUUGAUAUCUAUGUUCUUUAAAUUAUCAUAAUAAUUAAAUUUAACUGAAAAAAAGAACACAUAUCAAUACACAAAAGUGUGCAACGUGAAUGUUAUUUUAGUGUAUUGCAGAAGACCUAUAGUCUCUUCAUAUCUCUUCCUGCACGUAUCAAUUCGUUUCCUCUAGAUAAUAAUCUCCCAACUCAUUUAUUUACAAAUGCACCUUUUAUGUUUUAUUACCUCCAAAAGCCUAAAAAUCAAUUCACCGACUCGCAUUUGGUAUCAGAAAUUCUUAUUACGAAUUCUACUUUACUCAAAGAUUGACUGUUAAUAAUGAGACAACGACCAUUUUGUAUUAUUACACCGUCCUUCUUGAUAGGCAAAAGAAAUAGAGAGGAAAGCGGGUCCGUAUAUGGUCUUUUAUUCAUAGAUAAUACAACAUUACGCCAUCGAGCAUUCACACAAUAUUUCAAAGUCAUUGCAUGCCUAAGGCCUGCUUGAUAAUCUAAUUCCGUACUUAAAUUUAAUAAAUUCAAAUCUUAACACAUUCAAAUCGUUUGAUAACAAAAAAUUGAACAUCUAAAUUAAUUAAGUAACACUGAAUUUUCUAGGCAAAACUUGCUCCCAAAAUUAAGUGAUAAGUUAUUCACUUAUCACUGAAUAUGAUAUGUAUUCAAAUGUAUUAGAUUUAAUACUUAAUAAUUUAAUGAAUUCAAAUUUCAUAUUUCAUAUUUCAGUUUUAUCAAACACACCUUAAGUUGCAAAAUAAUACCAAAACUUGUUAUUACAUAGCUUGAGAUUCAAAAAUUUAGAGCAUAAUUCUCAACCAAACACAAUUGAAUAAUGAAUAUUCACGAGUGUCAAAUCUAUCAAAGUACAAUUUGAGGACAACCCAUUCAAACGCGUACACGAUUUUUAACUUUUCUAAAGUUGUUGAGAGCUGUUGAAAGAGAUUUACCAUGUUUACAUCUUCCAAGUCUUGGGAGUAAAAAAUGAAGCCACUGAGUGCUAUAAAAAGGGGGGUAGAGGCCACUUGAGAUCCUCGGUGACAUGUUUUCUAUGCCAAUCCAAUGCCACCAAUAGUGUUGCGCCAAGUGUCAUGUUAUUAUUUACACUUGUGUUAAACUAAGCCAAGUUGAAUUAUUAGAAAAUUAAAGUGUAAAUAAUAACAUGACACUUGGCGCAAUACUAUUGGUGACAUUGGGUUGGCAUAGAAAAUAUGUCACCGAGGAUCCCAAGUGGAUAGAUGCUGCCUAGAAGCAUAUCAGCCUAAAACAAGAAUUUGUAGUAACAAUGGGGAGCAAAGCAAAAGCAACGGGGUCUAGGCUGACUCCUCUUCUUACCACUGUUUUAGUGGUAUUUGUUGCCCUUGGCUUGCCCUUGGAAACUGCAGCUGAUUAUUACAAGUAUUCAUCUCCUCCUCCUCCUCCUUACCAGUAUUCCUCACCACCACCUCCAGUGUAUUCACCUCCACCAACCCCUGUUUAUAAGUUACCCCCACCAUCUCCUCUAGUUUACAAGUCCUCACCACCACCUUACCACUACUCACCACCUCCUGUGUAUUCACCUCCACCAUCACCAAUUUACAAGUCACUGCCACCACCCCCUCCAGUAUACAACUCCCCGCCUCCACCAGUGUACAAAUACAAGUCCCCACCACCACCUUCUCCAAUUUACAAAUCUCCACCGCCACCAGUUUACAAGUACAAGUCACCCCCACCACCUCCUCCGGUAUACAAGUCUCCUCCGCCACCUGUUUACGAGUACAAGUCUCCUCCACCACCUCCUCCAGUGUACAAGUCCCCACCACCUCCAGUUUACAAGUACAAGUCACCACCACCUCCUCCCCCGGUUUACCAAUCUCCUCCACCACCAGUUUACAAAUACAAGUCACCACCACCUCCUCCCCCAGUUUACCAGUCUCCACCUCCACCCUAUCAUCACUACUACGGUUCUCCUCCUCCUCACCACUACUAAGCAAGUGCAUCUAAGUUUUGAGGUAAUAAUACCGAUCCAAAACUUUAUCAACGCAAACUGCCAUGUAUAUCAUGCUAAGGACGUACACUUGAUCCAUGAAAAUGGCUAGUAGAAGAUUUUUUUUAAGAACCAGAGAAAUACAUUAUUUUUUCGCUCUGUUUUCAAGAAUUUGAGCAGUAUACAGAUUAAAGAGUGUUUUUUUUAAACUUGCUUAUCAACUUAGAAAUGCACAUAGCUGAAAGCCAACUGAAUAUUUGCAGGCAAAGGAGAAGGCAAUCGGUGUUUGAGACCUUCAUGAAGAUGUAGAAGAAUAAGAAUAAAAGCCCAAUGCGAGGAUGAUUUCAAGUUUCUACGUUACCAUUUCUACAUCUAAAUUGACUUUAGCUCCUGAGUUCCAUGUCUAUGGGGUUUGUACUGUUUUACGUACCAUGCAGUACAUGCUUGUAAGGUUUUCUGUCCUGUUGGCAAGCCGCAGGUCCAUAUAAUAAAUGAAUACUAUUUAUAUUACGACACUUUUCUCUCUUUCUCUUAUAUUUUGUCUUUAAUAUUGUUGAUCAUUUUUUUUUUUUAUCAAAAGUAUCAAAUGCUUAGGCAAUUUGGUCUAAUGCUAAUUGUUUUACAUUUAUUUUUCACCUACAUCCCUUUUCAACUCAAAGGAUGCUACAGUUUGUGAUCAUUGUUUAAGACCGAAGCAUGGUACUAAUAAAUAUCUCAUUGAAAGUCAAGGAAACUAACAUUAUGAAAAGUGUAAAUCUUGAUUUGUGAAACUAUUUAUUCGUGGAAUUUAGAGAUACAAAACUCAAAUUGUGACGGUGUUGUUGCUAAAUUAUUUUUUUUUUAUAAUAAAACACAGUUCAUUCAAGGAUUACUGGAAAUCGUCCAGCACAAUUGAGAUACAUUGUUGCCCAGGUGGCAGAUAAAUAUGCACUAAAAUUAUAGAUAUGCAAUUUAACAAAUACAUAAGAUUUGAGAAAUUAAGGACAAAUCUAAAAAGGACCAUAAAUUUGAAAAACAUUUCAUCCUAGAAUAAGUCGCUGCAACUCUCUUUGUGCAUGCUGUAAUCGUCAGAUCUACUAAUCAACAGUUGUAAGGUCCAGUAAAGAUGGUGAGAUCUGCCGAGAUUGAUCCAAAUCUGAAAUAUUCCCUCAGAUCUGCUAUCCAAUUGGUUCAAACUCAAUACUGAAAGUGAAAUCUGAUGAGAAGACUGAAAAAAUUGUAGAUCUAACAUAUAGAUCUAAAAAAACUCCAAGAUUUGAAAAAGUAAAGAAACAAAACUAAAUAAAACUCUCAUUAAGAUAGUUUAGGAGAGACUAAAACUCUCAAUAGGACACCCUAGGAGAGAAGAAAACUCUCACUAGGAUAACCUAUGAGAGACUUUAUUGAAUGAAAGGAAAAGCAAAGGACAAAGGAAGAAGAAGGGAGACCUUGGCUUAAGGCCAAGGUCUCCCUCCUAUGGAGGAGGAAGGGUAGAGGAGGAAGCCUAGAGAGAAGGAAGAGAAUCCCUCCGCUAGAGGGAAGGAAGAGCCUCUGAGAGGGUACCCGUGUUGUUGCUAAAUUAUUAAGGACAUUAUCACCAUUACUUUUCCCUUACUAGUUUCAACUGCAAUGAUCUCAAUCUUUUUGUGACUAAUUCUUUUCUUAAUAAUUUAUAAAUACAAAACUCACAAAGAAUAUGUGACUUAUUCUUUCCUUUCGUCUUCUAAAGAAAAUGCCAACUGUUAGUUUAUCAAGGGAAAAAGGAUCGACAUCAGUUGUUAUUGAAACUAGUAAGGAAUAAAUAAUGGUGAUAAUGUCCUUAAUAAUUUAACAACAGCACCAUCAGAAUUUGAGCUUUGUAUCUAUAAAUUCCACGAAUAAAUAGUUUCAUCAAAUCAAGAUUUACACUUUUCAUAAUGUUAAGUUUCCUUGACUUUCAAUGAGAUAUUUAUUAGUAUCAUGCUUCGGUCGUAAACAACGAUCACAAACGAUAGCAUCCUUUGAGUUGAAAAGGGUAGUGAAAAAGAGAAGUAAAAAAUACAAUUAGCAUUCCCUCAAAUUGUAGAAAGUUAGGUAGCAUUAUAGACAAGUUGAUAGCCGUAAUUAUACUAAAAAUCAGGCAAAAGCCAGCAAUUUUACAUUUCAAAAUUCACCUAUUCAAUAACUAAUUCGAUGGCUUGCUACAUGGUCAAAAUUCACCACAUAUCCCUUUCCUCAAUCAGGGGCUUCUACAAUUACCAGUUCCAAUUGUAUGGUAUAGUGUAAAUAUCAACAAAUUAGAUGUAGACACUAAUAUAAUAAAUAUGGAUGCUAAGGCAACAACAUACAAAAACAUAAUAAAUUUUGGCAUUCCUUAAAAAAUUACGUCCCCAAAUCAAUCUCAUACACCCAAUUUCUAAUUUAUUUAACUCAUUCCGUCUAUUAACUGCACCAUACAAUCCAACCUGCAAUUGCAUGAACCCCAAUCUCGCUUCCUAGUCCACCAUUUUUCUCUAGGUAAUAAUCUCCCUUCUAAUUUCUUCACAAAAUGCACCUUUCAUCACCUCCAAUAGCGUCGACAUGAUCUUUACCCUAGAAGACUAUUCACCGACUCCCAAUUGACGUCAGAAAAUCUAAGAGUAAUUCUACUUUACCCUAAGAUUGAUAUCAACUAGACAAUGACAAUUUAGAAUUAUUACACGCCUCUUCUUAAUAGGAAAAAGAAAUAGAGAAGAAAGUCAGGCCAGGUCUAAUUUCUUUUCGAAGGCAAUACAACAUUACGAAAUCAAGCAUUCAUUCAUACAAAUAUUUCAUAGUCACCGGUUUGCUGAGUAGAAAAGUUUAUACAAAAACUUAAUAUUAUAUUGUUUAAGAGUUAACAAUUUAGAGCUUAAUCUCCUUGUACUUUGGACUAAACUCGAACGUGAAAGGAAAUCCCAAAACCAUAUUGGGCAUGAAUUCACACUUAAAUAGACCCAAAAAAAGAUGGCGACUGGUGAAAGGCAGUGGAGACUGGUGGUGAGAUUUGAGGAAUAGAAGCAGACGGAAAAGCCACAAAUUUUUGCCGAAAGAGGGUCACUUUCAUGGUUAAUUUUGCUACUCUCUACUUGUACUUGACCAAUGACAGGUUGUCAGUCUGUGCAAUAAUAAAAACCUGUUCAAACUAAAAGUAAUUUCUGUAGAUAGUGGUAAGCAGGGUCGAAUCCACAGGGAUUAGGUGUAACUGUUUCUUUUCAAAUUCACAAUAACAAAGGGGGUGUUUUUAUGCAGAAUGUGACAAUCAAAGAAAUUCAAUUAAAAGUAAAAUAAUAAAAAUAAAAUAGCCAACUAGAAAUUAAAUAACAAUUUACUAAAAUCAAAUGAGUGAUAAUUAAGGAUCUAGCCAAGGAAUAACUUCAGCAGUGGUUCACCUAAUUGAUCAUUGGAACAAAGGCAAUUCCAAUUAUUUACUAAUAAAUAGGUUAUAACUGCCAAACAAGCGAUGACAGUCAAUCACUCCUUACUGUGUCGGUGAUUAAGGUACGCCCGUUAAUCACUGCCCUAAUUGAGAAAUAAUCUUAGGUACGCCCGUAAGAUUUAAUUUUCCAAUUGCCUUACAUAUUAGAGGAGUGUCAGGAACAAGGAAAUAGAAUGGGACGUCGUUUAAUGCAAAGGGUUGUGCGUUUAAGGCCUUAGAAGCAAUACUACGUCGUUCUAAUAACAUAGGCGGUGCUGGUGUGAUAGGCCAAGUUAGUUGAGGGUCAAUUACAUAAAUAGCCUUCUGUAACAGAUUUUUGGUUAUGUUUUUGAAUGAAAAGUAUCUCGCUGCUUUCUCUCUCUUGUCUGUUAUUUCCCUCCCUUUUCUUCUUUCUCUCUUCCCUCUUCUUAAUCUUGUUUCUUUCUUCUGAUUCUUCCCCCAAAUUCAAUACAAUUCCAGAAAUUAACCUGCAAGUCUGACAUUUGGUAUCAGAGCGGUCGAUUCUUGGCCGCGAAGGUAUCAGAAAUGGCUGAGAGCACGCGAUUCAGGACACUGGAGGAGCAACUCAAGAAGCAGGAGAAUCGGUUGCAAGAACUGGCGGAAUCCAUGGCUGCACUGCAGAGUACGAGUUCCGAGGAGUUGCGGCAUAAGCUACAGGCGGAAAUGGAGCAGAACAAUGCAAAAUUGGACGCGGUGGUGGGAAGUCUGGACCAGAAGUUCAAUAAAAUGGAACAGAGACUCAGUACAGUGUUGAAGCUGCUGAUGAAGGAGAAAGGUCUCCCUGAUGUCGAAGGAGGAAUUUCUGAUCCAAUCUUGCCGACUCCUCCAUCUCAUCUGAGGUUAGCAUCCUCAGUCGAAGGGAUUGGGCACCAACAAGAGUACAGAGGUAGGCAAUUCACUCCUAAUGUACCUCGAUUAGAACUGCCAAUGUUUAACUCUGGAAACCCUAGGGAAUGGACCAGGAAAUGCCAGAAAUAUUUUUUGAACUAUCAGAUAGCAGAGAGUCAAAAGGUAGAGGUAGCAGAGAUGUUUUUGGAAGGUAGAGCUGACAAUUGGUUUCAAGGAGUGAAAUUGGUGAGGCCAGGGUUGUCUUGGGGGGAAUUUAGUGAACUUUUGUGUGAAAGAUUUUCUGGAAGUAGUUCUCGUGACAUUGUGGAGGAAUUUAACAAGUUACAGCAGAAAGGAACUGUUGAGGAAUAUGAGGAGAAAUUUGAAGAACUAAAAGCUCUAAUGCUGAUGAAAACCCCCAGGUUGGAUGAACUUUACUUUGUUUCCAGUUUUAUUAGUGGCCUCAGGGAAGAAAUUAGACCUAUGGUGAAGAUGUUUAAGCCUCAAACACUGAUGAAGGCCUUUGAAGUUGCGGAGUUGCAGGAGUGUUCCCUGGAAAUCCAAUCGAAACAAAACAGAACUUCAAGGAGGACAGCAAUGGAACCCAAGUUUGGAAUGUAUAAGGGCACUACGAGUGAUUAGGGUCGCCAAAAUUCAUAUAAGUUGCCUGGAGUCACUCCUGUCUCCAGGAGGACUAAUGCAGUACACAAGGAAUUUAGUAAGAUAUCAGCGGAGGAAAUGCAGUAUAAGCGUAAGCACAGCCUGUGCUAUAGGUGUGGAGAGAAGUUUGGAAUAGGUCAUCAGUGUAAGAAAGGAAGUCUGAACUGUGUGAGCACUGAGGAAGAGGAGGACACUGAAUUUGAGGAUGCGGAAGGGGAACAGGAUGAGUUAACAGGAAGGGUCGGGGAACUUGCAGAAGUCUCUUUGAAUGCUUUAUCUGGUGCCAUAAGGAGGAAAUCCAUCCUGUUGAUAGGGAACUUAGGGGGGCUUCCAGUCAAAAUUUUGGUGGACACAGGCAGUUCUAACAGCUUCAUUCACCACAGGAUUGUCAACCUACUGCAUCUACCAUAUCAGGCAGUCAGUCCAUUUACUGUGACUCUAGCAGAUGGAACUGACAUUACCAGUGGAGCCAUCAGUCCCAGCGUGUCUUGGUUAAUUCAGGACUAUCAAUUCCAAUUUGACUUAAAAGUAAUGGAAUUAGGGGGAUGGGAUAUAAUUCUGGGGGUGGACUGGAUGUGCCAGUAUAGUCCCAUUACAUUUGAUUUCCACUCUCUUAGCAUUGCCCUUAGUGAUAGGGGUUCUUUACUACACCUCCAAGGACUUGUGAAGCAACCUACUAUGGAACUGGUGAGGGGCAGGGAUCUCAGCUCGUUUAUACAGGAGAAGCAAAGAAACUGUGCAGCCAUGCAUGCUGAUAGGGCCAGGGAAACAGGAGAGCAGCUUCCAAAAGCUAUAGAAAGGAUCCUGGAACAGCACUCUCAGGUUUUCUCCACCCCAACAGGAUUACCCCCAGAGAGGGAAUUGGACCAUCAGAUCAACCUCAAACCAGGAGCUGAACCCUUCAAGCUCAAACCUUACAGGUACCCCCACUCACAUAAAGCAGAAAUUGAAAAAAAAGUUGCUGAGAUGCUCACUAAUGGAAUUGUUAUACAUAGCACAAGCCCCUAUGCCUCCCCUGUAUUGUUAGUAAAGAAAAAGGAUAACUCCUGGAGAUUAUGCAUAGAUUACAGGAAGCUGAACGAGCUGACUAUAAAGGAUAAGUUCCCUAUUCCCAACAUAGAUGAACUAUUGGAUGAAUUACAUGGAACCAGAUACAUGUCCAAACUGGAUCUCAGAGCUGGUUACCAUCAGUUGAGGGUGAAAGCUGUUGAUACCCCUAAGACUGCCUUCCAGACACACCAUGGCCACUUUGAAUUCUUAGUGAUGCCUUUUGGACUCACAAACGCGCCAGCUACAUUUCAGUCCUUGAUGAACAGAAUAUUUCAGCCAUAUCUCAGAAAGUUUGUCCUAGUCUUCUUUGACUACAUAUUAGUGUACAGCCCCACACUAGAGAUGCAUGCACAGCAUCUACAGAUUGUGCUCAAUAUUUUAGAAGAAAAUCAGCUGUAUUACAAGAGGUCAAAGUGCUCUUUUGCCCAGUCCUCAAUUGAAUACUUGGGGCACGUGAUCUCAGAGGCAGGAGUGAGUAUGGAUGUGGCUAAGGUGGAGUGUAUCAAGUCCUGGUCUGUUCCUAGUACAGUCAAGGAGCUGAGAGGGUUUUUGGGAUUAAUUGGUUACUACAGGAGAUUCAUUAAAGGCUAUGGAGUGAUUAGCAAACCCUUGACUGUAUUGUUGAAAAAGGAAGGUUUUGCAUGGAACCAUGAAGCUCAAAUGGCCUUUGAAGAUUUGAAAAAGGUUAUGACCACAGCCCCAGUGCUGAGCAUGCCUAAUUUCGAACUUCCUUUUGUCAUAGAGACUGAUGCCUGUGGAAUAGGUAUUGGAGCAGUGUUGAUGCAGCAAGGACAUCCUAUUGCUUUCCUUAGCAAGGCAUUAUCAGUUCAGAAUUUGGGGUUAUCAGUCUAUGAAAAAGAGCUUUUUGCCUUAGUGCUAGCUGUAACUAAGUGGAGGCAUUACCUGGUGGGUCAUCACUUCAUUAUCAGGACAGAUCACCAAGCUCUCAAACAUUUGAUAGAGCAAAGGCUUACUCAUCCACUCCAGCACAAGUGGCUAACUAAGCUACUUGGUUUGGACUAUGAAAUACAGUAUAAAAAGGGUGCAGACAAUGGGGUGGCAGACGCCCUCUCCAGGAGAAGGAUUGAGGGAAACACUGUUGACUGUGGAGAGACUGGGCAUCAGACCUGCGCCAUAACCUCAGCUCAGCCUAGUUGGAUGCAGGAAAUGCUAGAAAGCUACAUUGGAGAUGCAGAGGCUCAACAGAAGUUAUCUGAGCUAUUGCUGGAUCCCAAUGCAGAUCCAGAUUAUCAGUUAAAGAAUGGGAUGCUCAAGUUUAAAGGGCGGCUGUACAUAGGAUCUGCUAACAACAUUAGGACCAAGGUGGUCAGAGCAUUGCAUGACUCAGCCCUUGGGGGGCACUCAGGUCCUGGAAUCCGUAAGGAUGUCCUUCAAUAUGUGAGAUCUUGUGAUGUGUGUCAAAGGAACAAACAUGAAAAUGUUCCUUAUCCUGGGUUGCUGCAACCAAUUCCUGUACCUCAGCAGGCUUGGUCACACCUCACCAUGGAUUUUAUUGAGCAACUACCCCCAUCCCAUGGAUUUGAUACCAUUUUGGUGGUGGUGGAUAGGUUAACCAAGUUCAGCCACUUCAUUCGACUCACUCACCCUUUUUCUGCACAGCAGGUAGCACAGCUUUUCCUUGACAACAUAUACAAGCUGCAUGGACUUCCUGAGACCAUUAUAACUGACAGGGACAUAAUCUUUCUUAGUAAGUUUUGGCAAGAGUUAUUUGGUAUGGUAGGGGUAAAGCUGCACUACAGUUCAUCGUAUCACCCUCAAUCAGAUGGUCAAAGUGAAAGGGUCAAUCAGUGUUUGGAAAACUAUCUCAGGUGUAUGUGCAGUGAGCAUCCUUCUCACUGGAGCAGUUGGCUUCCUACAGCUGAGUUAUGGUACAACACUAACUUCCAUACUAGCUUGCAGGUGACACCAUUCGAAGCACUAUACGGGUAUAAACCAAAUCACCUUCCCUUAGGACCUUUUCAUGAUAGCCUGGUACCUGCUGCUGGUAACAUGGUGCAGACUAGGCUCCAAAUUCUAUCCCUCAUCAAAGAGAAUCUAGCCACCGCCCAGAAUCGAAUGAAAAUGUUUACUGAUAAGCACAGGACUGAACGUGUCUUCCAAGUGGGGGAUUGGGUAUUUCUCAAGCUGCAACCUUACAGGCAACAAUCAGUGGCCUUACGGAAGAAUUUGAAGUUGGCUGCCAAAUACUUUGGACCUUUCCAGAUCCUUGCGAGAGUAGGGGAAGUCGCCUACAGACUUAAGUUGCCAGAGGGAGCUCGAGUUCAUUCCGUGUUCCAUGUGUCCUUACUUAAAAGGAAAGUGGGAGUUACACAGCAGGUAAAGCCCAGCUUGCCAGAAGUAGACGCAUCAGACCAAUGUUUGCUGAAGCCAGAGAAGAUUCUCCAGAGGCGUGUUAUCAUACGAGCUGCCAAACCAAUCAUCCAGUACCUGGUGAAGUGGAACAACUUACCAGAAUCCGAAGCAUCAUGGGAGGAUAAAAGCUUCAUUGACAGACAAUUUCCGGAAUUUCAAGCUUGAGGACAAGCUUUGCUUAAGGGGAAGAGAUUGUCAGGAACAAGGAAAUAGAAUGGGACGUCGUUUAAUGCAAAGGGUUGUGCGUUUAAGGCCUUAGAAGCAAUACUACGUCAUUCUAAUAACAUAGGCGGUGCUGGUGUGAUAGGCCAAGUUAGUUGAGGGUCAAUUACAUAAAUAGCCUUCUGUAACAGAUUUUUGGUUAUGUUUUUGAAUGAAAAGUAUCUCGCUGCUUUCUCUCUCUUGUCUGUUAUUUCCCUCCCUUUUCUUCUUUCUCUCUUCCCUCUUCUUAAUCUUGUUUCUUUCUUCUGAUUCUUCCCCCAAAUUCAAUACAAUUCCAGAAAUUAACCUGCAGAUCUGACAAGGAGCCCUAUUCUAACCAAAUAACACACUACCAGGGUUAUUUUAGGUUAGCCCGCGUAUUCCCCUGACAUGAAUCCAAUCAUGCCAGUUAUCACUAUUUUGAAACAAUUAAACAAUUACGGAUUUAACGUCCCAAUUGACAAUAGAUUAUCAAAUUAACUAAUUAUCCGGAUCCAAAACAAUCAAUUAAUUAAAUAAUCAUAAGCACUGUAAUCAGGGAAUAUUUGAAUACCAAUAAAUAAAAAGAAAGGACAAAAUUAAAUCGAUUUCACAAUUUUUAAACGAACCACAACCUCAGUUGUUCCUCGGCUAGAUUGAGAAAAUUAGCUCAUGUUCGAUGCGAAAAAUCCACAAGAAAUUGUUAAGAGAGCCGCGGCCAUUGUCCCUUGAAAUUGGGGAAAUUCAAUUCGGUUGAACUACGAAAGAAAAGUAAGCUACAGAGAGUUGCCGAUUGGGUUUUGCUUGUCCCUAACAUGCGAGGGAGCAAAGCCACGAAAGGACGACAAAGGUCAAAAAGAAAGGCUACAGAGCAUGUUCCAGGUCUUUUUGUGCUCUCCACAUCCGAGCCAACGAAAAGAAAUAAAAAACUACCAGGAGCUAAAGGAAAACCGCAAGAAAAGUCAAAGGCUAAAAAAACUUCCUAGUGCUUGUUCUCUGCUUAUCUCUUUAUCUAAUUCUAAGUCCCCGAUUUUUUGCUCCGUGCGGCGGCUCCCCCGGAGAGAAAGGAUUGCAUCCGCUGCCCUCUUCCACCAAUUACCAAAAUGGGCACACCGCUUCUUUUUCAAAAAUGCUCCUGGAUAAACUCUAUCAUCUGGACUUUUUUUCUGUCAAAUUGACAUUUAUUAUUAUAUUUUCGUUCUACUCCCUGAAAUAAAUGUAAAAUAUUAAAAAUGAGUAGAAUCCGACAAUUAAUUCACAUCAGGUCAGAUAAUAAAGAAAAUUAAUAAUAAAAUAAAUAAAUAAAUUGCAACCUAUCAACCAAAUACAACAAUUUCAUGGAGUUUGAUACACAAGCCCAAAUACACGAGAGUGUGUAACCUGAAUUGUUACUUAUACAUUAGUGUGUAAUAGAACGGCAAGCAUUAUGGUGGUCAUUGAGCAACUUGUAGGAGAAAUAGUCCUAUAAGCUGUUCAAUGACCAAUCACAACUUGCUAAUUGGAUGACUAAUAUAGCUCUAGCUGUAAUGUUUUAAUUAAAUUCCAUCACUAACGUUGGGAUGACUUUUUAAUCAAAAAAAAAAAAGCCUUAGUUCAAGCUUUUCCCCUUAUUGUGCAUUUUUUAAAACAUUUGAUAGGCACUGCAAAUCUGUCAUUUUGGACAUUUUAUUAUUAACUAACAAUGAAAGCCGUGGACAUCAACCCAUAUCCAACAAAAUAUUAAAUUAAUAUUAGAAAAAAUUAUUAAGUAAUUGGAAAAAAAAAGAAGAGGCUAAUUUUCAUUGAAACCCACCGACAAACUAUACGCUGCUUUCAAUCAGUUUUAACACGGGAAAAAGAAAAGGCAUGAAAAGCAAAAUUUGUGGGGAUAAUUUCGGAAACCUCCCAUGAAGUUUUUGACUAUUUUACUGGCCUCCCUUCAGAUUUUAAAAAUUGGACUAAUCUUCCUUAAAGUUAAUUAUCUUGUAACAUUUAGAUCCGAUCAAUAAUUUAAAAAAUAAUAUUAUGAGAGAGAAAAUAAUAUGAUUUUAUUAUUGCCCCCAUCUCACCACAUUAUUUAAUUAAUUUAAUAGCAACCCACACAUUAAAGAAAAUGACAGGUCGUCAACCUGUGCAAUAAUAAAAUUAAACCUAAUUGCCAGUUAAAAUGACCAAAACCCAAUUCCAAGUACUGGAGCAGGGACUCUAGGUGUGCAAUGGGUUACUUGAUUCACCCUGUUCCCGAAGAGUUUGCUUGAUCCGAUAUACCCGAAUGGAAUGGUUAUUCCUUUUCACAAAUGAUUAGGAAUUUGUAGACAGGGCAAGUAGGGUCGUAUCCACAGAGACUGGGUAUAUUUGUUUCUUAAGAAAUCCAAAGUAACACAGGGGGUGAUUUUGUAGGAACGACGAUAAUUAAAUAAAUUCAAAUGAGAAAGUAAAAAUAAAUAAUUAACUAGAAAUUAAACCACAAUUUACUGAACUCAGGAUAACAAUAGUUAAAGGCCUCAAUUAAUUAAAAUAAGGAAACAAUCAAAAAUAAAAUAAAGUAGGUAAUUAAAAGUCAAAUGGCAAUCCACUACAAUCAAGGAAAUAUUAACUAAAGAUCUAGCCAAGAAAUAACUUCAGCAAUGGUUCACCUAAUCGAUCAUUGAUGCAAAGCAAUCCCAAUUAUUUACUAAUAAAUAGGUUAUAACUACCAAACAAGCGAUGGCAGUCAACCCCUCCUUACUGUGUCGGUGAUCAAGGUACGCCCGUUAAUCACUGCUCUAAUUGAGAAAUAAUCCUAGGUACGCCCGUAGAAUUUAAUUCCCCAACUGCCUUACGUAUUAGAGGAGCCCUAUUCUACCCAAAUAACACACUACCAGGGUUAUUUUAGAUUAGCCCGCGUAUCCCCCUGACACGAAUCUAAUCGUGCCAGUUGUCACUAAUUUGAGGUAAUUAAACAAUUACGGAUUCAAUACCCCAAUUGACAAUAGAUUAUCAAACCAAUGAAUUAUCCGGAUCCAAGACAAUCAACUAAUUAAAUAAUCAUAAGCACUGCAACCAAGGAAUAUGCGAAUACCAAUAAAUAAAGGAAAAGAUAAAAUUAAAUCGAUCUCACAAUUUACAGGUGACCCAAAGCAUCAGUCGUUUCUUGACUAGAACGAGGGGGUUAGCUCAUAUUGGAUGAACUAAGCCCGCGGGAAAUUCCAGCAAAAGUCACGGCCGUUGUAUGCAUUUCAAGAGCCGCAAUUCGUCAAACACUUGGAAAGCGAAUGUAAGGCACGGGUAACAAUUGAAACUUUCUAAUUGUUCCUAGCAUUCGUAAAGCAAAUUCACUCCAGAAGUACAGUGAGGAAAAGUCAAAGAAAGUGGGCUUCAAUUCCUUGCUCCUGACAUGCGUGGAGACAAGCCAAUGCAAGACUACAAUAAACUAACAAGGAAAAGUCAAGAAUUGGAGCUAAGCUCCCCUGCCAUGCGCAGGAAUCCCAAAAGUAAAAAGUAAAGCUUCAAAGAAAAGUCAACAAUUCUUCCUAAGCUACAGACGGAAGAUCCAGCACAAAAGCCAGCUCCCUUUUUGAUCCCUUUUUCCCCCUUCUUAUUGCGGCGGCUCACCAGGAGAGGAGAGCCCUCCGUCCGUCCUUUCUUCCGGAAAUUACCAAAAUGGGCAUGACAUCUUCUCUUCCAAAAGUGCCCCUGGGACAAGCUUUCUCAUCUGAAUUCUUUUUUUUUCCAAUUUGGCACCUGUUAUCAUAUUUAUAUUCUACUCCCUGAAAUAAACGUCAAAUACUAAAAGUGAGUAGAAUCCAGCAAAUAAAUCCACAUCAAGUCAGGUAAUAGGAGGAAUUAAUAAUAAAAUAAAUGAAUAAAUUGCACCCUAUCAAUUCCCUCCACACCUAAACCAUGCUUGUCCUCAAGCAUAAGAAAAGUAAACGAACACCAAAAUUCGACGAUAGCCAUUGCCCAAUCUCCUAUAUUGCCAAGACAUUCAAGAGAAAAACACAUAUCGAGCAUUGGUGAUUAGAAUCCCAGAAGCAUCCCCCCGGUUAGCCUCUAACCCCCAGAUUCCUUCAAUUUCCAACUUAACUACUCUAAGAAAGAGGAAUGGCACACAACAUUUAUCAGCUAGUGGUCCGAAUAUUCACACAAGUCUUCAUAUCCAAUCCAUAAACCGGCAAGCUUCCCUAUUAUUUAGUCUCUCUUUUUUUCCGUUUUUUUUCAUUUUCAUUCUUCCCCUCUUUUUUUUUUUUUUUUAAAGCAGUAGCAAUCAACACAAAAGACUUAGUCGUUAGCCGUCAGGGCCUUUUGAUGCGAACUCCAACAUUUUUAGAAGGAGGAGCCCGGUUACUCAGCUCCUACCGCUAUACGACCACGCACUCAUAUAAAAUACCACCUUUUGACGCGAGAAUCGACACUUUUAGGUGCCGAUCCCCGGUUACUCAGUAGUAACUUAAUAGCGGAGCACAGUCAAGCUUAUUCUCAGCCAAACAAUGCACAAACGCAAAAUAACAGCACUAACAAUCAAACAUAGGAGCAGCUCGCCUCAUUAUUGUCAAACAUGGAGAACUGGAGUCAAUAUUGGACCAGUUCACAUUAAAAGGCCAUAUUCAUUCCCUACGCCUAGAAAAGUUAACAAAGAAAUCGAAAGAGUCAAACAGUUAAAUAUUCACCAAGGGGAUAUUCAGGACCCAACCACACUAACCCGAUACAUUUUGUAUUUUAAAAACUUGGCAAAAGUAGAUUUGGAGUCAAUGAGUCCACAUCUCAAUUUUAGCCUUCACAUGAAAGGCAAUCACCAAGAAGAAAGAACGGAAAAAUAAGCAACUAGAAAUGAGACUACGAAAAACUACUAAAACUAAAAACUCACUUUUUUUCUUUUUCUCUUUUUUUUUCUUUUUGAAUUUUUUUUUCAUUUUUAUUUUUUUUUAUUUUUUUUAUUUUUUAAACAUUAACUAUAAACAUUAACUACUAAAAACUAAAAACUAAAACUACUAAAAACUAAAAACACUAAAAACUGCUAAAAUGAAAAGCUGAAAACUGAAAACUACUAAAAACGGAGCACACUAGCAUAACUUUAGAUCCCCCCCACACCUAUAGGACACAUUGUCCUCAAUGUGACAAAUAAGAACCAAAAGUGAAGCACAAGUGAGAGGGGAAUCAGCCAAACUUCCCUGAAAUCGGGUCACAGCGGAGGGCGAGGUGGAAAUGGAGGUGCAAAGCCUGUAUGCAUCAGGAACUGUGCCAAAUUCUGUGCUAUGCCGGCGACAUUGGCGUCGACGUUGGUCAUCCGGGCCUGCAAAUCCUGAACCAGCUCCCUGAGAUGCUGCCAAUCAUCGGUCCCAGGUGGUGGAGGUGGCGCAGAAGUAGAGGUAGACGGCCCAGCAGUGUCCGCGGCCGACCCAGGGAAUGAAGAUGGCCCUGCCCGGGCCGAAUGGUGUGCACCCGGGGCUCGAGGUGGUCCCGGACGGGUAAACUGGUGAAAACCAUCUGGCAGACGCUCGACGACCCCCAUUUUCUCUAAGCAAACUACGUCCAAGUGCUCCAUCUCAAAUGCCAAAUGGAGGUCGUGGUCAUCCAGGUUAAGAACUCCCAACUGGGUCGCCAAGUGAGUGAUGUAGGACCCAAGGAUCAGUGGUUUGUUCUUCUUGGUCAAGACCGUCUUGAACUGUGCGGCCAACCAACAUCCCAAGUUCACCUUGAUAUUGUUCUUCAUACUCCAGAGAAAGAAGAAUUCGGGCCGAGAGAGUAUACCGGAGCUGUCCUUGCGCCCCGAGUAGCUAUAAGCUAAGAAUCGCUGAACAUAGCGGGCGCUAGGGUCCUUAAGAAAGGAGCUCCUGGACCGGGAAGGAUCGUAGCGUUGCCUAUCGACGGACAUGUCCUCCCAUACAUCAUGGUAGUGGGAGAGGAAAGGCUCUACGUAGUCACAGGCACUCUCCGCAUACUCCCUAGUCUCAGCAUACUCUCUAGUGAUAAACCCAAAUGCCAGAUUGAAUUGAGUAAUGGAGAAAUUGAAUUCUCGACCCAUGAGCCGGAAAUGAAUGACAUUCGGUGUUUCACCCGUGUAUCUCGUAGGUAAUUCGAACUCAAAGGUGGAGUAAAACUCCCGGAUCAGCUCAACAAAAGCGGGACAAGAAAUAUGGAAAUAUGGGCGCCACCCAAUGGCUGUGAACAUUUGCUCAACCUCCUCCCGUAUACCCAGGGCAGUUAGAGAGAGUCUAUGACAAGACUUACAGGAUAUUAUACGCCUCUCGCAGACCUUAGCGUACCUCUGCCGAUCGGCGGGUCUGGUAAAUGUUAAGUGCCCCCCAAAAUGAACAGGUGCAUCUACCUGAGCACCCCUAUCCCUACCCAAACGGGUUCGAACACUAGAAGAGGAGGGUAGGUUGGUAGGUGAGUUGACAGGAAUAGAGGCUUGUGGAGGGGGUUGAGACUGAGAGGUCCUAGACCUAGAGGAGGAUUUCGGUCUCACCAUUCCCCCCAAAGUAAGUUCAAGGCAACAGAAAAUCCGACAAGUAUAGAAACCAGCAAUUGACAAAGCAAAAAUCUCCCAGUAGUAACCCAGCCAAUAGCAAACAAAAGAGUUCCAGCAAGUAAUCAACAAGCAAUUCAGAAAUAUCUCAACUAAAAUCUCAAGAGAAACCCCAGCGAGUUAUCCAGCAAUUCAAGCAAUAUCCCCAAGCAAUGUGGUGGUCAAAAUGUCAUCUCCAAAUUGAACAAAUAAUCAGAGCAUUGCAACACAUUGAAAAUCUCAAUAAACGGCUCCAGUUGGCCAAGAAAAAUUGCUAACUCAUACUCAGCAAUAGUAGUGCAGCAAAGGGACAGUAACCACGCAAUAAAAACACUUAGCUUGCACUCAAAUGGUCACCCCAAAUAACAACCCAGUAUGAAACCCGCAGGCAGAGUAUUCCUCAAACCGUUAGCCUAAACCCAGUCAACAACCACGGCCAGAAAUAACCCCAUAAAUAGUGCAAUGAGUAAUCCCCAGCAACAUAAUCAGGUGUAAUCAACUGGAGCAAGCAAUUUACAUGGCAUAGAAACCUCCCAAUCAAACAAGUGCAUUAUUCUAGCGCACCCCAAAAUUCCAAGAAAUGGCUCCAGUUGGCCAAUUAAUUUCACAAUGUCACCCAACUCAGGAGAAAUAGCAAUUCCACACAAAAAUAGUCAAACCAGUACCACUGGCGAAAAAUCUUUCAAAUAUGCACAAUUUGCUACCAAAUAUCACCGGCUAACACUGAAAAAUUGAGGGCAAGUGUCAAAUACCUCCACAGGGACUACCCCAGGCGGCAGACAGAGAAGCGGCGUUGAAGCUGGUGGUCGAGCGGGGCGGCGCUCGCGUCGGCGUGCGCAGCGGCGACGGCGCGCGAGGAUGGAGUUUCGGGAGGUUGCGUGCGGGCUUGGCUGAAGACGCGGCGCGCGCUAGGGCUUCGCUGCGGCAGGCGUGCAGCAGGGGAGAAGAAAGAAAAGAGAAAGAAAGAAAGAAAAAGAAAGGAAAGAAAGAACAGAAAAGAAGGAAAAGAAAAAGGAAUUUUUCUUUUUUUUCUUUUUCUUUAGGCUACGGUUUAGAGGACAAAUUUUUCUUCUUCUUGUUUUCUACUUUUUUAUUUUUUUAUUUUUUAGUUUUUAAUUUAUUACUAUUAUUAUCAUAUUUAAUUGAGGAAAAAAAAUGUUUUUUUUUAAAUCCCUACCUUUCCCACGAACGUGACGCGGGCACGUCAAGAGGGCAAGAGAGCUCCCAGAAGUUUCAGAAUUUUCUGAUCGUAAGCGUCCUGCACAUCACCACGCGGGCACGUCAUGAGGACAGGAGAGCUCCCAGAAGUUCAGAAUUUUCUGAUCGUGAGCGCCCUGCACGUCACCACGCGGGCACGUCAUGAGGCCAGGAGAGCUCCCAGAAGUUUGAAGUUUCUGAUUCCUGCCCGUCAUCACGCGGGCGCGUCAUGACUGAAGGUCACCUACAAAUCAGCAAAAACGAAAACUAACACCCAAAAUCAGUCAAAUUCAGGGAAAGCAGAUUUAAACUAUGCUACAAAACCAACAAACAAUUAAAAGAAAUAAUUAGGUUGCCUCCCAAUGAGCGCCUUUCUUUAAUGUCUUUGGCUAGACAUGGUAAAGUGUCACUGAUUAGGACACGGUGGUGCGUCAAGCCUUAUUGUCUCCACCUCUCUACCUGAAAAUCCUUCGUAAUAAUAUUUGAGACGGUGUCCAUUCACCACAAAUUUGUUGUCUGUCUUAGCACUCUGGAUCUCAACUGCACCAUAGGGAAAAACAUGAGUAACAAUGAAAGGUCCAAUCCAACGGGAACGUAGCUUACCUGGGAAUAGCUUGAGCCUGGAUUGGUACAGGAGGACCUUCUGACCAACUUCAAAUGUUUUUCUUGAAAUUUGUUGGUCAUGAAAUGCCCGGCUUUUCUCCUUAUAUAUCAAGGCGUUUUCGUAUGCUUCGUUCCGGAUCUCCUCCAAUUCUUGCAAAUCCAACUUCCGUUGAGCACCGGCCUCCUCUAAAUUCAUAUUGCAGUGCUUUAUCGCCCAAAAAGCCUUGUGCUCGAACUCCACUGGAAGGUGACACGGCUUCCCAAAUACCAACCUGUACGGUGACAUCCCAAUAGGAGUCUUGUACGCCGUCCGAUAGGCCCAGAGUGCGUCUUCCAACCUUUGGCUCCAGUCUUUUCUAUCAGGGCGCACCAUUUUCUCUAAAAUGGACUUAAUCUCCCGAUUCGACACCUCCGCUUGACCAUUGGUCUGAGGGUGGUAUGACGUUGAGACCCUGUGGAGUACACCAUACUUGCGAAACAACGCAGCUAUGGUUUUGUUGCAAAAGUACGUUCCCCUAUCACUGACAAUAGCUCUAGGCAUUCCAAACCGCACAAAGAUAUUAGACCUGAUAAAAUCUGCAACUACUCUCGAAUCAUUAGUUCGAGUGGCCUUAGCCUCCACCCAUUUAGACACAUAAUCAACUGCCAGCAAAAUAUAUAAAAAACCAAAUGAAGUAGGAAAAGGCCCCAUGAAAUCUAUACCCCAGACAUCAAAAAUUUCAACAAAAAUCAACGGGACCUGGGGCAUUUGAUCUCUACGGGCUAUAUUACCUACCAUUUGACAGCGAUCACAUGACUUACAAAACACAUAGGCAUCUCUAAACAAUGAAGGCCAAUAAAAUCCACUUUCUAAAACCUUAUGAGCAGUUCUCUUAGGUCCAAAAUGACCUCCACAGGCAAAAGUAUGACAAAAAGCUAAAAUUGAUUGAAAUUCCAUUUCACUUACACAUCUCCUCAUCACUUGAUCGGCACACCUCUUCCAUAGGUACGGGUCAUCCCAGAUAAAAUACUUGGCAUCGCUCUUCAAUUUAUCCCUCUUCGAUUUCGGCCAACCUGCAGGAAAAUUACCAGUUACCAAAUAAUUGACCAAAUCAGCAUACCAAGGCAACUGAGAAUUUAAGAAAAAUAGGUAUUCUUCGGGGAAUGCAUCCUUCAAUGGCUCGCUAUCCUCUUCAACUAGUAUGCGACUCAAAUGGUCCGCUACUAGAUUUUCUGAGCCUUUUUUGUCCCUUAUCUCCAAGUCAAAUUCCUGUAGGAGCAGUAUCCACCGUAUGAGCCUCGGUUUUGCAUCUUUCUUGGUCAUCAGGUACCUCAAUGCUGCAUGAUCAGAAAAUACAAUCACUUUAGCACCUAACAAGUAUGACCUAAAUUUUUCCAAAGCAAAAAUAACUGCCAGAAGCUCCUUCUCAGUGGUGGAAUAAUUCAACUGGGCUCCAUUCAAGGCCCGGGAUGCGUAAUAGAUGACAUGAGCCGCCUUGCCUAUUCUUUGCCCCAGUACAGCCCCAACAGCGUGAUCACUGGCAUCGCACAUGAUCUCAAAUGGCAAAUUCCAAUCGGGGGGUUGGAUGAUUGGGGGUGAAGUCAGCAAUUCCUUCAGCUUGUUAAAGGCUCUCUCACACUUAUCAUCAAAUUCGAAGGCUACAUCUUUUUGUAGGAGUUGGAACAACGGGGCUCCAAUCUUUGAAAAAUCCUUGAUGAACCUUCGAUAAAAACCUGCAUGUCCAAGAAAAGAGCGCACCUCCCGCACACUCGCGGGGUAAGGUAAUGCAGAAAUAAUGUCUAUUUUAGCCUUGUCAACUUCUAUGCCCUUAGACGAUACAAUAUGACCCAGGACUAUUCCGUGCUCAACCAUAAAAUGACAUUUUUCCCAAUUAAGCACAAGAUUAGUCUCUAUACACCUGAUCAGGAUUAAUUUCAGGUUAUCUAGACAAGUAUCAAAACUAUCACCAUACACACUGAAAUCAUCCAUGAAAACUUCUAUUAUUUUCUCAACAUACUCGGAAAAGAUGCUUACCAUACAUCUUUGGAAAGUCGCAGGUGCAUUGCACAACCCAAAUGGCAUUCGUCUGUAGGCAAAGGUCCCGAACGGGCACGUGAAGGUUGUCUUCUCUUGAUCCUCCGGGGCAAUUGCUAUCUGAAAGUAUCCUGAAAAUCCAUCCAAAAAGCAAUAAUAAGCCCUACCAGCUAAACGUUCAACCAUUUGGUCAAUGAAAGGGAGAGGGAAAUGGUCCUUUUUGGUGACGGCGUUUAGCCUACGGUAAUCUAUACAUUGCCUCCAUCCAGUGGGUUUGCGCACUGGCACGAGCUCACCAGUUUGGUUGGCCUCUACCGUCACUCCUGCAUUCUUUGGGACUACCUGGACCGGACUCACCCAAGGGCUAUCAGAUAUUGCAAAAAUGAUGCCCACAUCUAGCAAUUUUAGAAUCUCUUUCUUUACGACUUCCAUCAUGAGGGGAUUGAGCCUUCUUUGAGCCUGCCUAACAGGUUUGGCAUCGUCUUCCAGCCUAAUCCGGUGCAUACAAAUGGCCGGGCUGAUCCCCUUAAUGUCUGCGAUUGUCCAGCCUAUUGCCUCUUUAUGCUCCCGAAGGACCCGGAUCAAUUUCUCUUCCUGGGUCUUUGACAGUGCCGAUGAGAUAAUCACUGGGAGUGUCUCAUUAUCACCUAGGUAUGCGUAUUUCAGGUGCUCUGGUAGAGGUUUCAACUCCAGUACAGGUGCCUGCACCACAGAUGGCAAUACCCUCUGGUGAGCCUUGGGAGUAAAAAUAGGUAAGACUUCAUACCUUUUCGUGGUGGUCUGCAACGAGUGUAAUGCACCUAUUGUGCAUUUUAAAUCCUCGCUCCACUCCACCUCAGGAGUUGUCUCCAACUCGAGGUGCUUGGUUAAAGCCACCUCCAGCUCAUCCCUGCCAUCAGUUUCAAACACUUCCUGCACUACAGGGUCAAUAGCACUCACAGAAAAAACUGAGCUAAAGUUGGAGUUAGAGGGGUACUUCAUAGUAUCAAAAAUAUUAAAAUGCACAAUUUACCCAUCAAACUCCAUGGACAAGGUACCCUUAUUAACAUCAAUUUUCGUCUGCGCAGUGCUCAUAAAAGGUCUACCCAAUAACAAAGGUGAGGGAUCAGGGGAGUGAUCAUCAUCCAUAUCUAGUACAUAAAAAUCAGCUGGAAACACCAAAUCAUUAACCUUUACCAACACAUCUUCAAUCAACCCAUCAGGAUAUGCAUUAGUUCGGUCAGCUAAUUGAAUAAUUAUUCCAGUUUCUUUUAAUGGACCUAGUUUCAAAGAAGCAUAGAUAGAUUUAGGCAUGACAUUAAUUGAUGCUCCCAGAUCCAGCAUGGCCCUUCUGAUCACAGUAUUACCUAUCUUACAGGGAAUAGUAAACAUACCUGGGUCCCCGCACUUUGGUGGGAGCUUUCUCUGCAGGACCGCAGACACAUUUUCUCCAACUAUGACCCGUUCAUCUCCCCUCAACCGCCUUCGGUUGACACACAAGUCCCUUAGGAACUUGGCAUAUUUUGGUACUUGUUUGAUGGCGUCUAAGAGGGGGAUAUUUAUCUCAACCUUGCGAAAAACCUCCAAGAUCUCCUUCUCCUUAUCCUGCUUCUUCGAUUUUUCCAACCUGCUAGGAAAAGGAGGCGGGUUAGUUUUAACUGUAAUUAUUGGGUCAGGAAGUACCUCUGGAUCUGCACCAUUGCUGUCCUCCCUUUCGAGCUCAUUUUCGAUCUUCUCUUCAUCCUUGUCCUUGGGAAUCACAGGUUCAGGCCCCUGAAUUUCUUUCCCACUCCUUAGGAUCAUUGCGCUCACGUUCUUCGGAUUCAACUCCGGUUGAGAUGGCAGCUUCCCUUGGUUCUGGGACUCCCAACGGUUCAUUCUGGUGGCCAAUUGACCUAUCUGAUUCCUUAUGUCCUGCAUUUCGGAGUCCGUCUUUUGCUGAUUUUGCAUAAUAGCUGCCUCCGUCCUUUGCUGAUUCUGCGCCAUGGUUGUCAUCAUUUGUUUCAGCAUCUCAUCCGUAGAUGAACCAGAUUGAGGGAGCGGAGGUGGUCGGGGUUGGUAUUGCUGCUGGUACCCUGGUGGCUUAUUUGGCACAAAGUUAGACUGCCUGUUUGGCGUGAAGUUGGAUUGCCUAUUUCCACCAUAACUGAGGUUGGGAUGAUCUCUCCACCCGGGGUUGUAGGUGCUUGAGUAAGGGUCGUACUGCUUCCUUGGCGCGGGCGCGUGGUCAGCCAUGUUCACCUGUUCCGCAGUUUCUUCCUGAAUCAUUGGGCACAUGUCUGCAGAGUGACCUAUACCAGUGCAAAUCCCGCAUACCCUGGCUUGUGAUGCAUUUCUCACAGCCUAUUGCCUAACGAACGCAGUCAACUCAUUUAGCUGCUGCUGCACAGAGGGUGUCUCUAUCUCAUUCACCCUACGUAUUGGGACAUCCUAUCUUGUACUGAAUUGCUGUGAAUUCUCUGCCAUCCCCUCUAUUAACUCCCGUGCUUCCUGAGGGGUUUUGUUCACCAGUGCCCCUCCACUUGCAGCAUCAAUGAUGCUCCUGUCUCUAAAAAUGAGCCCCUCAUAGAAAUAUUGUAUGAUCAACUGCUCACUUAUUUGGUGAUGGGGGCACCUGCGCAACAAGCUCUUAUACCGUUCCCAAUACUCGUAAAGUGACUCCUCGGGAUGCUGCUUGAUCCCACAAAUUUCUUUCCUUAGACUCGCAGCCCUGGACGCAGGAAAAUAUUUAUCCAGAAAUUUUUUCUUCAAUUGGUCCCACGUGGUGAUGCUACCUGGUGACAGGUAGUACAGCCAGUCCUUCGCAGAAUCUUUCAAGGAGAAGGGGAAUGCCCUCAUUUUUAUCUGCUCUUCUGUGAUUCCCGGGGGUUUCAUACUGUUGCAAACGACAUCAAACUCCUGCAGAUGCUUAUACGGCUCUUCACCUGGUAAACCAUGAAAAGAGAGUAAAAGCUGAAUCAGACCAGAUUUUAGUUCAAAUGGAAUGUUGUCAUUUAAAGCUGGGAAAGUAAUGCAUAACGGCUGCUGAGUUAAAUCAGGAGCAGCCAACUCCCUUAAUGUUUAUGCAUUAGCCAUGGUGCCUUCCUGCUGGUCAGAGUCACUCGAAGUGUUACCAAACGAAUCUGUUGGUUCAACUUCUGACUCGGGUCUUUGAGAUGUAGCACUAGAGUGCUCUUCUCUGAGCUGUCUGGUUUCCUUUCUCGUUCUACGCGCGGUCUUCUCUACCUCAGGAUCAAAAACCAAAUCACCUGUGCGACAAGAUCGAGGCAUACACUAGAAGAAAACCAGAAAAUUAGGACAAAAUUGAAUUUAAGAAGAAACAAAUAAUAACGCCAGUCCCCGGCAACGGCGCCAAAAAUUGACAGGUCGUCAACCUGUGCAAUAAUAAAAUUAAACCUAAUUGCCAGUUAAAAUGACCAAAACCCAAUUCCAAGUACUGGAGCAGGGACUCUAGGUGUGCAAUGGGUUACUUGAUUCACCCUGUUCCCGAAGAGUUUGCUUGAUCCGAUAUACCCGAAUGGAAUGGUUAUUCCUUUUCACAAAUGAUUAGGAAUUUGUAGACAGGGCAAGUAGGGUCGUAUCCACAGAGACUGGGUAUAUUUGUUUCUUAAGAAAUCCAAAGUAACACAGGGGGUGAUUUUGUAGGAACGACGAUAAUUAAAUAAAUUCAAAUGAGAAAGUAAAAAUAAAUAAUUAACUAGAAAUUAAACCACAAUUUACUGAACUCAGGAUAACAAUAGUUAAAGGCCUCAAUUAAUUAAAAUAAGGAAACAAUCAAAAAUAAAAUAAAGUAGGUAAUUAAAAGUCAAAUGGCAAUCCACUACAAUCAAGGAAAUAUUAACUAAAGAUCUAGCCAAGAAAUAACUUCAGCAAUGGUUCACCUAAUCGAUCAUUGAUGCAAAGCAAUCCCAAUUAUUUACUAAUAAAUAGGUUAUAACUACCAAACAAGCGAUGGCAGUCAACCCCUCCUUACUGUGUCGGUGAUCAAGGUACGCCCGUUAAUCACUGCUCUAAUUGAGAAAUAAUCCUAGGUACGCCCGUAGAAUUUAAUUCCCCAACUGCCUUACGUAUUAGAGGAGCCCUAUUCUACCCAAAUAACACACUACCAGGGUUAUUUUAGAUUAGCCCGCGUAUCCCCCUGACACGAAUCUAAUCGUGCCAGUUGUCACUAAUUUGAGGUAAUUAAACAAUUACGGAUUCAAUACCCCAAUUGACAAUAGAUUAUCAAACCAAUGAAUUAUCCGGAUCCAAGACAAUCAACUAAUUAAAUAAUCAUAAGCACUGCAACCAAGGAAUAUGCGAAUACCAAUAAAUAAAGGAAAAGAUAAAAUUAAAUCGAUCUCACAAUUUACAGGUGAUCCAAAGCAUCAGUCGUUUCUUGACUAGAACGAGGGGGUUAGCUCAUAUUGGAUGAACUAAGCCCGCGGGAAAUUCCAGCAAAAGUCACGGCCGUUGUAUGCAUUUCAAGAGCCGCAAUUCGUCAAACACUUGGAAAGCGAAUGUAAGGCACGGGUAACAAUUGAAGCUUUCUAAUUGUUCCUAGCAUUCGUAAAGCAAAUUCACUCCAGAAGUACAGUGAGGAAAAGUCAAAGAAAGUGGGCUUCAAUUCCUUGCUCCUGACAUGCGUGGAGACAAGCCAAUGCAAGACUACAAUAAACUAACAAGGAAAAGUCAAGAAUUGGAGCUAAGCUCCCCUGCCAUGCGCAGGAAUCCGAAAAGUAAAAAGUAAAGCUUCAAAGAAAAGUCAACAAUUCUUCCUAAGCUACAGACGGAAGAUCCAGCACAAAAGCCAGCUCCCUUUUUUAUCCCUUUUUCCCCCUUCUUAUUGCGGCGGCUCACCAGGAGAGGAGAGCCCUCCGUCCGUCCUUUCUUCCGAAAAUUACCAAAAUGGGCAUGACAUCUUCUCUUCCAAAAGUGCCCCUGGGACAAGCUUUCUCAUCUGAAUUCUUUUUUUUUCCAAUUUGGCACCUGUUAUCAUAUUUAUAUUCUACUCCCUGAAAUAAACGUCAAAUACUAAAAGUGAGUAGAAUCCAGCAAAUAAAUCCACAUCAAGUCAGGUAAUAGGAGGAAUUAAUAAUAAAAUAAAUGAAUAAAUUGCACCCUAUCAGAAAAAUGCAAAAAUUUGUUAUUUAUCAUUAAGGAUCAUAUCGCAUAUAACAUCAAAAAAUAGUAUAUUAUUUAUAUCUUUCACUUAAUAUAAUAUCCAAAUUACUCUUUUCAGUUACAUACCCAUUGUUAGACAAAAUCAACAACAAAUAACCAAAAAAUUUGCAACCAAAAUAUUACCAAAAAAAUAAACUUUAACAUCAUAAAUAUUUUUAUCAACAUAUUAAAGUUAGUUAUUGAAAUUUUUAUGGUGUUAAACUUCACUCUUAGCAAUAUUUUGGUUACAGAUUUUUUUGAUUAUUUAUUGUUGAUCGUGUUUGACAAUGGAUUUGUAACUGAAAAGAAUAAUUUGAAUCUUACAUUAAGUGAAAUAUAUAAAAUAUUAUACUAUUUUUUAUGGCAUAUGUGAUUCUUUUUUUUUUUUUUAUCAGAACGGCAACAUUGUAUUAAUAGUAAACCAAUUACAGUAUAGGUGGGCAACCGCCCUCACAAUCUGCCUGGACUUGUUCCAGCAGCCAAACUGGGAAGUUUUCCUUCCAUUCAGUAUUUUGUUCCAAAGUAAUAGCUACUUUAGCUAGUUUAUGGCUAACAAAGUUGUUCACCCUAUUUGCAAAGGUAAAACAACAUUCAUCAAAUUUUAUUCAUGUACAAUUGUUGCUAUCACCACGUCCUCCUCCUCCUCCUCACUGCACACUACUUGACUACCACCCUUCGCCAACCUUGCUGUUGCAUGUGCAACUAUCAUGGCCUCUCUUAGCGCCUUUGCUUCUUCGACCUUUGGACUGGCACAGCUAAAAUUUGGAACAGCCCAGGCCCACCCGCAAUCUUCCCAACCAAUCCCUGGCCACCCUUUUCCCACCCAGCUUCUAUGGCAUGUGUGAUUCAAUCCUUCUUGAUAGGAUUGGUAAUAGAGGCAGAGGGGGGAGCCGGCUGCAUCCGGUCUACUUUUCAUAGAUAGUACAAUAUUGCGAAAUCGAUCGCAUUCACACAAGAAUAUUUCGAAGUCAUUGCAUCGCUAAGUUGCAAAAAAGUACAAACACUUGUUAUUAUAUAGCUUAAGAUUCAAAACUUUAGAGCACAACCCUCCACCUAACACAAUUGAAUAAUGAAUAUUCACGAUUGUCAAAUCUGUCAAAGCACAGUUUGAGGACAACCCAUUCCAACCUGCAAAAGAUUUUUGACUUUUUUAAAGUUGUUGAGAGCUGUAAAAAGACUUACCAUGCUUACAUCUUCCGAGCCUUGGGAGUUAAAAAUGAAGGCACUGAGUGCUAUAAAAAGGGGGCUAGAGGCUGCCUAGAAGCAUAUCAGCCUAAAACAAGAAUUUGUAGUUAUGAUGGGAAGCAAAGCAAAAGCAAUGGGGUCUGGGCUGACUCCUCUUCUUACCACUGUUUUAGUGGUAUUUGUUGCUCUUGGCUUGCCCUCAGAAACUGCAGCUGAUGAUCACUACAAGUAUUCAUCUCCUCCUCCUCCUUACCACUAUCCCUCACCACCACCUCCAGUGCAUUUACCUCCACCAGUGUACAAAUACAAGUCCCCACCACCACCUCAUCAUGUUUACAAGUACAAAUCUCCACCACCCCCACCACCACACCCAGUUUACAAGUAUAAGUCGCCACCACCACCUCCUCAUCCGGUAUACAAGUACAAGUCUCCUCCGCCACCUCCUCAUCCGGUACCACACCCAGUUUACAAGUAUAAGUCACCACCACCACCUCCUCAUCCGGUACCACACCCAGUUUACAAGUAUAAGUCUCCUCCGCCACCAGUUUACAAAUAUAAGUCUCCUCCACCACCACCUCCAGUGUACAAAUACAAGUCUCCACCACCACCAGUUUACCACUACAAGUCUCCACCACCUCCUCCCCCAGUUUACAAAUACAAGUCUCCACCACCACCACCACCAGUUUACCACUACAAGUCACCACCACCUCCUCCCCCAGUUUACAAAUACAAGUCUCCACCACCUCCUCACCACUACUAAGCAAUUGCUUCUGAGGUAAUAACACUUGUUCAAUAUACCCACUUCUGCAUGAUAAAGCAUAUCUCUAUCAACACAAACUGUCAUGUCUAUCAUGCUAAGUGCCUUCACUUCAUCCACCAAAAUGACUGCUAGAAAAUUUUUUUUAUGUUACCAAAGAAAGGCAUCAUUUUUUCCCUCUGUUAUCAAGAACUUGUACAGUAUAUAGAUUAAAGAGUAUUUUUUUAACUAGCUUAUCAACUGAGAAAUGCAUAUAGCUGAUAGCCAGCUGAAUAUUUGCAGGCAAAGGAGAAGGAAACCAGUGUUUGAGACCUUCUUGAAGAUGUAGAAGCAUAAGAAUUAAAGCCCAAUGUGAAGAUGAUGAUUUCAAGUUUUUCUACGUUACCAUUUCUUUAUCUAAAUUGGUUGUAGCGCCUUAGUUCCUUUGUUUAUGGGAUUUGUAUCGUUUUACGUACCAUGCAGUACAUGUCAUGUUUGUAAGGUUUUCUAUCCUGCCGGCAAACCGCAGGUUCCAUGUAAUAAAUCAAUACUAUUUAUAUUACGACACUUUUCUCUGUUUCUCUUAUAUUUUGUCGUCUUUAAUAUUCUUAAUCAUAUUUUUAACAAAAAUAUUCAAACACUUAGGCAAUCUGGUCUAAUGCUAAUUGUAUGUUUUACUUUUCUUUUUCACCUGCUCCCCUUUUCAACUCAAAAGGAUGCAAUAGUUUGUGAUCACUGUUGAAGACGGAAGCAUGAUACUAAUGAAUAUAUCAUUGAAACUCAAGGAAACUAACAUUAUGAAAAGUGUAAAUCUUGAUUUGAUGCAACUAUUUAUUCGUGGAAUCUAUAGUUACAAAACUCAAACUCUGACUGCGCCAUUGAUAAAUUAUUAAUGACGCUAUCAUCAUUAUUUAUCCCCAACUAGUUUCGACUACAACUGAACCCAAUAUUUUCCCCAUGAUAAAAGUUUUUUACUAUUUUACUGGCCUCUCUUCAAAUUUUAAAAAUUACACUAAUCUUCAUUGAGAUUAAUUAUCUUGUAGCAUUUAAGUCCAAUUAAUAAUUAAAAAAUAAUAUUAUGAGAGAGAAAAUAAUAUAAUUUUAUCAUUGCCCCCCAUCUUGCUAUAUUAUUUAAUUAAUUUAAUAGCAACCCACACAUUAAAGAAAAAUACUAAAAUUUGCUGCUUUUCAUUAAAGAUCAAAUUGCAUAUGCCAUAAAACAUAGUAUAUCAUUCUAUAUGUUUCACUUAAUGUAAGAUCCCAAUUGUUCUUUUCAAUUACAAACCCAUUGUCAAACAUGAUCAAUAACAAAUAACCAAAAAAUUUGCAACCAAAAUAUUACAAAAAAAAACUUUAACAUCAUAAAUAUUCUUACCACCUCUAGUGCAUUCACCCUCAUAAAAUAAUUCAAGACCCUACUGUCAUAAAAUGACUGAUCAACUCCUGUAAACCUAAUUUGACAACAUUUAAAUGGAGAACUUUAGCUAAAAGAAUUAUGGUCAAGCUAAAGAAAAAACCAGUUAUUUUCCAACAUAUGCAAUCAUUGAUCAGGGAAAAAAAAAAGAAGCAAAAAGACAUCUUCAAUCAUUUAAUAGCUUACAGGGCAAAUUAACCCCUAAGCGAAAACUGGUUGCUCUAGAAUCAAAAUUUUACUUUAGUUACCCAGGCAACUUUUUUUGUUGCCUUUUCUUUUUCUUUUUUGGGUAUAUAUAUAGCUCCAGUUUUGCCCCCUCUGUCAAGCUUAUAUAAUUAUUAAGAUAAUAAAAGUGCCUUUAAUAGUAUUAAUAUAUCCAUUGACUUGAGCUGUCAUCGAUCGGUUUGGGCUACUUCGAUUCCAUGAGAACAAAUGGUAAUAAAAGUACUCAGAAAAUGGGGAGUCAUGAAACCCUUUUGUUCUAUUCAUUGCUAAGAUGCUUUUCUCUAUAAAGACACUUCCUAACGAAAAUACUUUGUAGAUUUCUUUACUCCAAGUGGUGCAUGGAAAAUUAAUAUUUUCAAUUAUCAAAUAAAAUUCCCUUUUUUCGGUGUAGAUUUCAUCCAUUCAGCUGUUAACACUCCGAAUUGACUAAUCUUUUCGUUUCCAUUUUCCAACUUGCGAAUACGGCAUCUUACAUAUUGUCUGCUGAAUAUGAAUACAUAUCCCUUUUCUGAGCAGGUGCAGAGUCAUUAUCAUUUUUAUUCCCACCUAACAAAUUAGUUAAUAAUCUUUUAAAGAACAUGUUAAAUUAAUUUAUUGGUAUGAAUAGUAGUCAAAGAAGUAUGUUAAAGUUAGUAAUCUUUAAAAUAAUAUGUUAAAAUUAUUCGUACAAAUUAGCCAGAGAAGUAGCAUAAACACCGCGAUGCAAUUAAUACUUUCAAUCUCAAGGUCUCUAUUAUGGAAAUUUGCAUCGGUCAACAUACACAAAGCAUUAUUGUAUGCACGUCUCUCUAUUAUGGAAAUUUGCAUAGGUCAAUAUACACUUGGCAUAGUUGCAUGCACGUCCAAUUUUUUUUUAUUUUUAUUUUUGGUAUUUUACUUCCUGCCUUAAGUUGCCUGCAGAUGUUUGUAUUACAAAUAUAUGGUAUACUAAAUAUAUAGUAUGCACAUUAAUUUCUUUGGGUUGCUUAAGGGUAUAUUGUUAAUAAUAGGGGGUUUAACCAUAAAUUAUAACAAUGAUGAAGUAAUAUAUAUUAGAAAAUUAACACAAUUAUGAUUUUUUUUUUUGUAAAAUUCAAAUUUUAUUAAUAAGAAAUGAAAUAGGCAGUAAGCAUUUACAAACCGAAAACAAAAUCCUACAACAACUCUAGGACUCUACACCUUAUUAAAAAAAAACAUUUUGAUAGCGUUUUUCCAAAAGCAGAAGAUGGAAAAUUGCCCAUUUGUACUGGGGAGUUCGUGAUCUUUUCCUCAUUCUAGUCUACUUACAAUUCUUGGAAAAAGGAAUACUCACAUCUCAAACAACAGCCUGUUCAUCUGCAGUGUCCUGCCGAAUUCUAGAAAGUUUGGUGGCAAUGUUAAUUACAUUUCAAAAUUGACUGCUGCGAUAACUAAUUCGAUGGCUUACUACAUGGUCAACGUUUGGAUCUCUUCCUGUCCUUUUUGGAUGCACAUUUUUUUUCUCUAGGUAAUAUAUAAUCUCCCAACUCAUUUCUUUACAAAUGCACCUUUAAUCACCACCAAAAGGUGUGGACAUGAUCUUUACCCUAGAAAACUAUUCACCGACAGGCAAAUUGACGUCAGAAAUACUAAGAGGAAUUCUAGUUUCCUUCGGGUUAAUGCCAUUUUGUACCCUUCAACUGUAACUCAAUUUCUAAGCUGUAAUUUGUGACAUUAUAGUCCUUAAACUAUGAAACCCUUUCUUAUUUAAUUACAAUGGUUAAUACAAUGCCCGUGACUAGACAAGUAUGAAGCAACCAUAACAAAAAAAAAAUCCAAAAUUAGAGAAAAGAAAGAAGUUGCGACCAAAGUAUGUAUCAAGGCAUAGUAUAGAAAUAAAAGUGUCAAAAUUAAGAGUUUAGGGAUAAAAAAGAAUCAAAAUAUAGUUUAGGAAUUGAUUUGUCUCAAUUAGAGUUUAGAUGUCAACUAAGAAGAGAGAUAUAGUUGAAGGGUAGAAUAUAGAUAUAACAGUUCAAUGAUUGAUAUCAACGAGACAAUGACAACUUUGGAUUAUUACCAACCUCUUCUUGAUGGAAAAGGAAAUAGAGAAGAAAGUCGGGCCUGGUCUAAGCCUGUUUCGGAGGCAAAACAACAUUAUGAAAUCACCGGCAUUCACACAAAUAUGUCAAAGUCACCGGCAUGCUAAGUUGCAAAAUUUAUACAAACACUGAAUAUUAUAUUCUUCUCAAAAUUUUUGUUUAAGAUUUAACAAUUAGAGCACGGUACACGAAUUAGCAAUAUUAAAUAAUGAAUGUUCACGAUUGAUAAAGUUAUCAAAGUACAGUUUGAGGACAACCCAUUCCAACGUGUACAAGAUGUUUAGCCUUUGAAAAGUUAAUUAGAGAAGGUGACGAGAUUUUACUAGGCUUACAACUUCUAGGCCUUGGGAGUAAAAAGUGAAGACACUGAGUGCUAUAAAAAGGGGGCUAGAUGUUGCCUAGAAGCAUAUCAGCCUCGGACCACAUUUUGUAGCAAUGGGGAGCAAAGCAAAAGCAAUGGGGUCUAGGCUGACUCCUCUUUUUACCACCGUUUUAGUGGUAUUUGUUGCACUUGGCUUGCCUUCAGAAACUGCAGCUGAUUACGACAAGUAUUCACCUCCUCCUCCUCCUUACCAUUAUUACUCACCACCACCUCUUGUGCAUUCACCUCCACCACCGCCAGUUUAUAAGUCACCCCCACCACCUUAUCACUACUUCUCACCACCACCUCCAGUGUAUCCAUCUCCACCACCAUCUGUUUACAAGUCACCUCCACCACCUUCGCCAGUAUACAAGUCCCCACCACCACCUUAUCAAUAUUCCUCACCACCACCUCCAGUGCAUUCACCUCCACCACCACCGAUUUAUAAGUCACCUCCACCACCUCCUCCAGUUUACAAGUCCCCGCCACCACCUUACCAUUAUUCCGCACCAUCACCUCCAGUGCAUUCACCUCCACCACCACCGAUUUACAAGUCACCUCCACCACCUCCUCCAGUUUACAAGUCUCCAUCACCACCUUACCAUUAUUCCUCACCACCACCUCCAGUGCAUUCACCCCUACCACCACCGGUUUACAAGUCUCUGCCACCACCUUACCAUUAUUCCUCACCACCACCUCCUAUGCAUGCACCUCCACCACCAAUAUACAAGUCACCUCCACCACCUCCUCCAGUUUACAAGUCUCCACCACCACCUUACCAUUAUUCCUCACCACCACCUCCAGUGCAUUCACCCCUACCACCACCAGUUUACAAGUCUCCGCCACCACCUUACCAUUAUUCCUCACCACCACCUCCUGUGCAUGCACUGCCACCACCAAUUUACAAGUCACCUCCACCACCUCCUCCAGUUUACAAGUCCCCACCACCACCUUACCAUUAUUCCUCACCACUACCUCCAGUGCAUUCACCUCCACCACCACCGAUUUACAAGUCACCUUCACCACCUCCUCCAGUUUACAAGUCUUCACCACCACCUUACCAUUAUUCCUCACCACCACCACUCUUCAAUUUGGAUGUAAUUCAAUUUUCCUUGUAAUCGGUGGCCCUCCUUCGGAAUCCAAAUAGUCAUUGAGUGCAGCCUUCUUUCUUUAUUUUUUACUCAUUUUCACCUCAUAAAUUGCUUUCAUCCCCUAAAACUUGUUCGCUGGAAUUUUGAAUUUACCCAUACAACUAAACUCAGAAAAUUCUUACACAAAGGGAUUAGUAGCAUGAAUAGCAAACACAGAAUAAGAGAUAACAGUAUGUUUUAUUGUAUUAAAAAUAUUAAAGUGGAUUAUUUCUCCAUCGAAUUCCAUUGUGAGAGUAUCGUUACUAACAUCAAUCUUAGUUUGAGCAGUACUCAAGAAUGACCUUCCUAAUAUAAUGGGUGAUGGAUUUGGGACACUUUCAUCAUCCAUAUAAAACACAUAAAAAUCAACAGAAAAAAUUAAUCCAUCUACUUGAACUAAAAACAUCCUCAACUACCCCAUUUAGAUAAGCAAAUAUACGAUCAGCCAAUUGAAUUAUUAUCCCUAUUUCUUUUAAAUGUUCUAAAUUUAGGGAAUCAUAAAUUGAUUUAGACAUCACAUUAAUAGAAAUCUUUAAAUCUAUCAUGGCAUUUUUUAUAUUAGAAUGUCCAAUCUUACAUGAGAUAGUAAACAUACCUAGAUUCUCGCAUUUAGGUGGUAGUUUCCUUUGUAAAAUUGCUGAAACGUUCUCAUCUACCACAAUAUGCUUGUCCUCCUCAAUUUCUUCUUGUUGACACACAAGUUUUUCAAGCAUUUAACGUAUUUUGGAACUUAUUUGAUUUGCGUCCAACAAAGGGAUAUUGAUUGCCACCUUGCGAAAAUCUCUAAAAUCUCCUUUUCUUUAUCUUGUUUCUUUGAUUUCUCUAACCUGCUUGGAAAAGGUGGUGAGUUAGUUCCAACUCUAAUUAUAGAAUCAACAAUUACCUUUGGAUUCACAUUUCUCAUUCCUUCCUCCUCAAGCUCUUUGUCGAUUCGAUCUUCAUUUUUAUCCUUUGGAAUCACAACUUCGGAUCCCUGAAUUUUCUUCUCGCUCCUUAAGGUCAUUACACUUACAUUCUUCAGGUUCAGUUCAGGUUGAGACGACAAUUUUUCAUAGAUUUGGGAUUCCAGGCGGUUGAUUGCUAUUACCAUCUGACUCAUCUGACUCUGCAGUGCUUGCACCUGUCCCAAUUGAUUCCUCAUACUUUGCAAGUCAAAAUCCAUCUUUUGUUGAUUAGCAAUUAAUUGCUUCAUUAUCUCUUCUAUAGAUGGACUUGAGUUUGAAAGAGGUGGUGGCGGGCGAGACUGAUACUGUUAUUGAUACCCUUGCUAUCUAUUUGGUGCAAAAUCUGGCUACCUAUUUCCUCCAUAGCUGAGGUUGGGAUGAUCUCUCCAACCAAUAUUGUACGUAUUCGUGUACGAGUCGUAUGGUUUUCUUGGCACGGCGCGUGACCAGCCAUGUUCACUUGCUCCGUACUUUUCUCUUGAAUCAUUGAGCACAUCUCUGUAGAAUGACCCAUAGCAGUGCAGAUCCCACACAUCUUGACUCGUGAUGCAUUUCCUAUAGCUAAUUGCCUAACAAAGGAUGUUAAUUCGGUCAACUGCUGUUGGAUAGAAUAUGUUUCUACCUCAUUUACUUUGCGUGUUGGGGCAUCCUCCCUCGUACCAAACUGUUGCGAAUUUUCCGCCAUUCCUUCAACUAGCUCCCACGCUUCUCGAGAAGUCUUGUUCACCAAUGCCCUUCUACUUGCAGCAUCAAUUAUACUCCUGUCUCUAAAACGCAGCCCCUCGCAAAAAUAUUGGAUGAGCAAUUGCUCACUUAUUUGGUGUUGAGGGAACUUGAUGCAUAACUUCUUGAAUCGCUCCCAAUAAUCAUAAAGCGACUCUCCUGGAUGCUACUUGAUACCGUAUAUCUCCUUCCUUAGACUUGCAGCUCGAGAUGCAAGAAAAUAUUUGUCCAAGAACUUUUUCUUCAGCUGAUCCCACGUGGUGAUGCUACCUGGUGGUAGAUAGCACAGCCAGUCUUUUGCGGAGUCCUUCAAGGAGAAGGGAAAUGCCCUCAUUUUUAUCUAUUUUUCUGUAAUUCUCGGAGGUUUUAUGCUGUUGCAAACGACAUCAAACUCUUGCAAGUGCUUAUACGGUUCCUCACCUGGUAAACCAUAGAAAGAUGGCAAGAGAUGAAUUAGACCAGAUUUUAACUCAAAUGAAGUGUUAUCAUUUAAAAAUAGAAAAGUAACUGAGAUGCAGCACUGGAAUGUUCUUCUCGAAAUUGUCUGGUCUCUUUCUUUGUUCUACGCGUAGUCUUCUCUACCUUAGGAUCAAAAAUUAAUUUACCUGUACGAGAAGAACGAGGCAUACACUAGAAAAACACUAGAAAAUUAGAACAAAAAUGAACAUAAAAAGAAACAAAUAAACCAACGUCAGUCCCCAGCAACGGCGCUAAAAAUUGACAAGUUGUCGAUGCCUGUGCAAUAAUAAAAAUAAACCUAGUUACCAAUUAAAAUAAUCAGAGCCUAAUUCUGAGUACUAGAGCAGGGACUAUAGGUGUGCAAUGGGUUACUUGAUUCACCCUAUUCCUGAAGUUUGCUUAACCCGAUAUACCAGAAUGAGAUUGCUUAUUCAAAAGGAAUUAUUGAUUUGUAAACAGGGCAAGUAGGGUCGUAUCAUCAGGGAUUGAAAAAAUUUGUUUCUUUUCAAAUCCACAGUAACAAGGGGAUGUUUUUGUAUAAAUGAUAACAAUCUAAGGAGUGCAAAUAGAAAUAAAUAGAUAACUAGAAAUUAAAUGACAAUUCACUAAAAUUAGAGUAAUAAUAAUUAAAGGUCUAGCUAAGAAAUAACUUCAGCAAUGGUUCACCUAAUUGAUCAUCGACGCAAAGGCAAUUCCAAUUAUUUACUAAUAAAUAGGUUAUAACUGCAAAACAAGCAAUGACAGUCAACCCCUCCUUACUGUCGGUCGGUGAUUAAGGUACGCCCAAUCACUGCUCUAGUUGAGAAAUAAUUUUAGGGACGCUCGUAAGAUUUAAUUUUCCAAUUGCCUUACGUAUUAGAGGAGCCAUAAUCUAACCAAAUAACGCUACCAGGAUUAUUUUAAAUUAACCCGUGUAUUCCCUUGAUACAAAUUCAAUCAUGUCAGUUGUCACUAUUUCAAGGUAAUGAAACAAUUACGGAUUUAAUAUCCUAAUUGACAAUAGGUUACUAAAUCAAUUCACUAUUUCGAUCCAAGAUAAUCAAUCAAUUUAACAACUAAUAGCACUGCAAUCGGAGAAUAUGUAAAUACCAAUAAAUAAGAGGAAAAGAUAAAAUUAAAUCGAUCUCACAAUUUUUAAACAAAUCAAAGUAUCCGUUGUUUCUUGACUAGAAAAGAAAAUUUAGUUCAUUCCUAAUGUGAAAGACCCACGUGAGAAUUCAAAAAUAAUAUUCACGGAUAUUGUCUUGAUUCAAUAGAUUCAAUUGCGUUGGAAUAAGGAUAAAAAGCCAAACUAUAGAGAGUGAUUCAAUGUUUUGUUUCGUUUGCAUUUUUUCUACACAUAUGGAAGAAGAAAAACAACUAAAGGACGAAAAAAAAAAGUCAAAGAAAGGCACCCAAAGUAGUGCUUGGUCUCUACCAUCCUAUUUCCUAUCUAAUUACUACUUCCCUUCUGCGGCUGCCUAGAGGAAGAAAGAGAAAGCAGACUUCAGGUCUUGUUCCAUCUCCUCCCUUUUCGGCAAUUCCCCAAAAGUAGAAAAGUUCCUCCGUUUACCAAAAUGCCCCUGGAAUGAGGACUGCUACUUGAACUCAUUUUCUUGAUAACUGUCAAAUUAGCACUUGUUAUGGUAUUUGCGUCUACUUCCUGUAAUAAAUGUAAAUUGCCAAAAGUGAGUAAACUGAUAAUUAAUUUACAUCAGGUCAGGUAAUAGGAAAAAUUAAUUAUAAAAUAAAUGAUAAAAUUGCAACCUAUCACUUAGAAUAACCAGAAAUAAAACAAAACAAGAAAUGAAAGAAAUAAGAGGGUAGCAUAGACAUUUUGGAUUUUUCUGUUAAUUUGGAUGAUUUCCACCUACGGUCUAAUUUAAUCCAAAACACAAAUGGAUUAUGUGGAGAUUUUUAAACAAUGAGGGAGUAUCGUGACCGAAUCCCAAACCACAAAGGGGAUUUACUAUAUUUUACUCUUAAAUUUUGGUUUCAUCUCAUAGCAUACAAGAGUACUAUUUCACUGUCUGUCGACCAGGGAGGAGGGUUGGGUUGGGUGGUACGGGGGAGGGAGUCUAAGUAAGAGGUCUCAGGUUCGAAUCCUCCUGUUUAUACUAAAAAAAAAAAUUUACUAUCUGUCGACAAAGAUUUUCUAUGGUUGAUGUACCAUAGGAAAAAUCUGCCUAUACAAUUAUUUGGAAAAAUUAUCCAUCCAAACAUAGUCACGAUAGCAUUUUUUCAAAAACACUAGAUGCAAAAUUGUCCCCUUAAACGUGGAAAUUCAUGAUCUUUCCUCGACUAGUCUACUUGUCAAUUUUUGAAAAAAGAAUACUCACGCCAAAAACACGGCCUCUUCAUCUGCAGAAUUCUAAAAAGUUACGUAAACUCUAUAAACAAGUUGAUAGGUACAAUCGUACCCAAGAUCAAGUACAGAUAGUUGUACAUUCACUGCUGCAAUAACUAAUCUGAUGACUUACAAACACAUCAUGGUCAAUCGUUGAAUGGUAAUGAGUCUUUUGUUAUGCAUUAGUAUUAGUGUGUACACUCUAAUAGAUUGAUACUUAUACUCUUUAAAUUAUCAUAAUAAUACCCUUAAUUAACUUUAACCCUUAAAAAGAAUACGUGUUAAUACACGAGAGUGUGUAACCUGAAUUGUUACUUAUACAUUAGUGUGUAAUAGAACGGCAAGCAUUAUGGUGGUCAUUGAGCAACUUAUAGGAGAAAUAGUCCUAUAAGCUGUUCAAUGACCAAUCACAACUUGCUAAUUGGAUGACUAAUAUAGCUCUAGCUGUAAUGUUUUAAUUAAAUUCCACACUAACGUUGGGAUGACUUUUUAAUCAAAAAAAAAAAAGCCUUAGUUCAAGCUUUUCCCCUUAUUGUGCAUUUUUUAAAACAUUUGAUAGGCACUGCAAAUCUGUCAUUUUGGACAUUUUAUUAUUAACUAACAAUGAAAGCCGUGGACAUCAACCCAUAUCCAACAAAAUAUUAAAUUAAUAUUAGAAAAAUUAUUAAGUAAUUGGAAAAAAAAAAGAAGAGGCUAAUUUUCAUUGAAACCCACCGACAAACUAUCCGUGUCCAUAGCUUUUGAAUAGUGCAUUCAACGUUUAAUUGUAUGGUCCAGUUCAUUGCCGAUUACAUGGAGUAAAGAUUGUGCUCUUUCCUUUUUCACCCCUUUUGGAAUCGAUACUGUGGAGAAUUGGGUUUUUCCCUCCUUUUUUUCUUUUCUUUCCUUCUGUGCUUUGCAAAACAUACGUAAAAAUAUGAAAUCCGAAGCAUUCUUUAAUUGGGAUUAAGUAUUGUUGUUGAAAUUAAAAAGAAGAAAGAAAGAACAACAAAAAUCCCAAUCUGGGUUGAUUGUUGAGCUCUAGAUUGGCUGCAUCGUGCUUCCAUAGAAGUUCUCUUAGUGUGAUACGCUGCUUUCAAUCAGUUUUAAUAUUUAAGUAGAGUGCAAAAUAACUUUACUAUUUAAUGGGUUAUAAUGCACCAUUUGGUACCUCUCACCCACCUAUGAUUUGAUUUACUACUGGCAUGGUAAUGGACAGAGUUGGGGGAGCAGGAGGAGGGAGAUGGCGGUACCAGUCCGUCAACCACAGCACACCCUCCCUCGGACUUUGCGUGGUAGCGAAGUGGAGGCAGAUCGAGCACACAUGCACUAACGCCUUAAGUAUGUACAAUAUAUGUAUGCCAAAAGCAUAGCCAAGCCUACCAGCGCAUUUCAAUAAUAUAACCCGGAAAUUAAGGGCAUUGAAUUAAGUACGAUGAAUCAUAUUGGUGCACAAUUACAGUUUGAAGCUACCGAUUCGAGUAAAUUUAAGCGUAAGCACAAUCAAUCGCCAGUCAAAUGCUGAAAUAUGCAUAUGCAUGGAUGAAUGUAUGGGUUUCUUAGUUCCAGACCAAAGGCCAACAAUAAGGGAAGGAAGGACAGUUCUCAUUUUUAGCACGGACAAGGAGAUGAAGAAAAGUGUAUGUAGCUUGAGACAGAACAAUGGCAUGUGACCGCUCCUGAGACCACAUAACGUGGGGUGGGGAUGGGACGGCCAAGAAUGAAGAUGCCUGUCGGUCUCUCCGUGCUGCUACCAUAUGAAUCCCCCGUUAACCAAUUCAAGAUAAGCCUGAAGUUCUUUUCAUCCCCAAACCCUGUCCCAUCUGUGUAAAUCCAACAUCAUCAUUUACGACCUGCAACUCAGGUUAAGCAUGUUCUAUUGAGAUUCAGACACCACCCUUCAAAAGAUAUACUACUGUGAAACCAGCAGCUUAAUAUCAUUGUAUAAAAAAAAAAAAAAAAGAAAGAAGAAAAGACAUGAAAAGCAAAUUUUGUGGGGAUAAUUUCAAAAUCUCUCCUAAAGUUUUUUACUAUUUUACUGGCCUCCUUUCAAAUUUUAAAAAUUACACCAGUCUUCCUUGAGAUUAUUUAUCUUGUAACAUUGAGGUCCAAUCAAUAAUUAAAAAAUGAUAUUAUGAGAGAGAAAAAAAAUAAACUUUAACAUCAUAAAUAUUCUUAUCAACAUAUUAAAGUUAGUUACUGAAAUUUUUAUGGUGUUAAACUUCACUCUUUGUAAUAUUUUAGUUACAGAUUUUUUGAUUACUUGUUGUUGAUUUUUUUUUUUUUAGUGUAAACAGGAGGACUCGAACCUAAGACCUCUCACUUACACUCCCUCCCCCCGUACCACCCCAACCCAACCCAACCCUCCCCUCGUUGUUGAUCAUGUUUGACAAUGGAUUUGUAAUUGAAAAGAACAAUUUGGAUCUUACAUUGAGUGAAAUAUAUAGAAUGAUAUACUAUUUUUUAUGGCAUAUGUGAUUCAAUCCUUGAUGAUAAAAGCAAAUUCAAGUGUUUUCUUUAAUGUUUGUGCUGAUAUUAGAUUAAUUAAAUAAUUUAGUAGAUGAAGGAAAAUGGUGAAAUCAUAUUAUCUUCUCUUUCCUAAUAUCACUAUUUAAUUAUUGAUUGAACUUAGAUAUUACAAAUAAUAAAUCUCAAGGGAGAUUAGUAUAAUUUUCAAAUUUUGGAGAGAAGCUAAUGAAAUAGUCAAAAACCUUAAGGGAGGUUUACAAAAUUAUCCCAAAUUUGUGGGAAUUAGAAUAAUUGUACUGGACGGCACUGCCGCAACAGAGGGAAAGAGGAGGAGGUGCAGUUAACUUUUUGUUGUUUGAAAUCCUUGGUGAAAUAUUACAGAAAGACAGAUAAAACAGUUAGUACAUAGAUGUAUAUGACAGGGAAAAUGGUACGUCUGUUAAUCACAUUUGAAACACUUUCAUUGGUGAAUGACGAAAACUAUCAGGCUUGCCCAAUAGUUGAUCAUUGACCAAGACAAAUCUUGCCAUGCUAGAGGUACCAUCUUUUCGUACCUCUUUAGUGCACAGGACAUUCCUUUGUUUCAUCUAGCUAAUAAUCUACCAACUCAUUUCUUUGCAAAUGCACCUUUUAUGGUCACGUCUACGAAAGCUUUACAGGAUCUUUACCCAAAAAAUCAAUUCACCGACUCGCAUUUGAUGUCAAAAUUUCUUUACUUUACUCCAAGAUUGACUGUUAAUAAUAAUGCCACUUUGAAUUAUCACACCAUCCUUCUUGAUAGGAUUUGUGCUAGAGGUAGGGAGGGAGUCGCUGCAGCCGGUCUUCUCUUCAUAGACAGUACAAUAUUGCGAAAUCGAUCGCAUUCACGCAAUAUUAUAUUUCCAAGUCGUUGCAUGGGUAAGCUGCCAAAAAGUACGAACACAUGUUAUUAUAUAGCUUAAGAUUCAAAACUUUCGAGCAUAACCCUCCACCUAACACAAUUGAAUAAUGGAUAUUCACGAUUGUCAAAUCUGUCAAAGUACAGUUUGAGGACAACCCAUUCCAACCUGCAAAAGGUUUUUUUACUUUUCUAAAGUUGUUGAGAGCUGUUAAAAGAUUUACCAUGCUUACAUCUUCCGAGCCUUGGGAGUUAAAAAUGAAGGCACUGAGUGCUAUAAAAAGGGAAUAGAGGCUGCCUAGAAGCAUACCAGCCUAAAACAAGGAUUUGUAGUUAUGAUGGGAAGCAAAGCAAAAGCAAUGGGGUCUGGGCUGACUCCUCUUCUUGCCACUGUUUUAGUGGUGUUUGUUGCUCUUGGCUUGCCCUCAGAAACUGCAGCUGAUGAUCACUACAAGUAUUCAUCUCCUCCUCCUCCUUACACUAUCCCUCACCACCACCUCCAGUGCAUAUACCUCCACCUCAUCCUGUUUACAAGUACAAAUCUCCACCACCCCCACCACCACACCCAGUUUACAAGUAUAAGUCACCACCACCACCUCCUCAUCCGGUACCACACCCAGUUCCUCAUCCGGUGCCACACCCAGUUCCUCAUCCGGUGCCACACCCAGUUUACAAGUAUAAGUCACCACCACCACCUCCUCAUCCGGUACCACACCCAGUUCCUCAUCCGGUACCCACACCCAGUUUACAAGUAUAAGUCACACCACCACCUCCUCAUCCGGUACCACACCCAGUUUACAAGUAUAAGUCACCACCACCACCUCCUCAUCCGGUAUACAAGUAUAAGUCUCUCCGCCACCAACACCCAGUUUACAAGUAUAAGUCACCACCACCACCUCCUCAUCCGGUGCCACACCCAGUUUACCACUACAAGUCACCACCACCACCUCCUCAUCCGGUACCACACCAGUUUACCAUACAAGUCACCACCAAUCCUCACCCAGUUUACAAAUACGAGUCUCCACCACCUCCAGUUUAUAAGUACAAGUCACCACCACCUCCUCCACCAGUUUACAAGUAUAAAUCUCCUCCACCACCACCACCAGUUUACCACUACAAGUCUCCACCACCUCCUCCCCCAGUUUACAAAUACAAGUCUCCACCACCUCCUCACCACUACUAAGCAAUUGCUUCUGAGGUAAUAACACUUGUUCAAUAUACCCACUUCUGCAUGAUAAAGCAUAUCUCUAUCAACACAAACUGUCAUGUCUAUCAUGCUAAGUGCCUUCACUUCAUCCACCAAAAUGACUGCUAGAAAAUUUUUUUUAUGUUACCAAAGAAAGGCAUCAUUUUUUCCCUCUGUUAUCAAGAACUUGUACAGUAUAUAGAUUAAAGAGUUUUUAUUUUAACUAGCUUAUCAACUUAGAAAUGCAUAUAGCUGAUAACCAGCUGAAUAUUUGCAGGCAAAGGAGAAGGAAACCAUGUUUGAGACCUUCUUGAAGAUGUAGAAGCAUAAGAAUAAAAGCCCAAUGUGAAGAUGAUGAUUUCAAGUUUUUCUACGUUACCAUUUCUUUAUCUAAAUUGGUUGUAGCGCCCAAGUUCCUUUGUUUAUGGGAUUUGUAUCGUUUUACGUACCAUGCAGUACAUGUCAUGUUUGUAAGGUUUUCUAUCCUGCCGGCAAACCGCAGGUUCCAUGUGAUAAAUGAAUACUAUUUAUGUUACGACA
rnacentral:lncRNA from 1 species